CUUUUUUUUUGUUUAUUGAAGAACAAUAUGAUAGUAACAAUGAACCCAACAGAUUUCGUUGGCAUAUAUAACAGGAAAUUUCUAAGCCUAACUUGUUUGUUAUUUCUUUGACCUAAGUCCAAGAACUCAAGUCGAGAUCUCUCCUUUGCUUAUUAUACACACAAGCAAAUGUAUAAGUCCCCAUAUGCAUUACCAGUAAUCUCCACAAGAACACACUCCAUUCUUGAAUCGAUGAAACCGGUUCACAUCUCUGACUAGAAUCUCUUUCUCCAUAAACUUCGAGAUGAACUUUGUAAACAAGUGACAGUCCUCGCACAAACGCAAGUUCUUCGUGAUUCUGAUUGGUUCUCCUUUCGAUGUAUUUAUCAGCCCAAACGCCAACGCAAGUUUCUCACUGUGUCCCAACACUAUCCUCUCUUUUUCUUCUGUUUCAAGCUCAUACAGAACUCCUUUGGUCUGUGGUAUGUACCCUUUCUCCUUCAUAUCUUCGGCUAACUUAACCAAGAAAGCAUGAAUCUGUUCCAUAAGAGGGUUAAACUCAUCAACCGAGACAAACGAGUACAUUUUCCUCCUCACUUCCAUCCAGCAUCGACCAGGCAGCUUCUGCAGUCCCCUGUGUUCUAGAAGCUUCUUCACUCUCUUAACCUCAUCCCACAUCUGAGCUUCCGCGUAAAUGUCUGCCAACAACACAUAGUUCCCUGCAUUUUUUGGUUCAAGCGCAAAGAGCCUUCUACUCGCCCGCUCUGCAAGCUCAACAUUACCGUGAAUUCUACAAGAACCAAGAAGGGAACCCCAAACCUUAGGCCCUGGUUCAGUCCUCAUGUCUUGUACCAUCUUUGCUGCCUCGUCUAACCUAUUCGCCCGACCUAACAGAUCAACCAUACAAGCAUAAUGUUCGAUUUGUGGUUUUAUCCCAUGGUCUCUCCACAUUGUUUCAAACAGUCUCUUUCCUUCUUCAACAAGACCCUCGUGGCUGCAAGCUCCCAAAACGCUGACAAAUGUUACGGGAGUUGGGGAAGCCCCGUUGGCGAGCAUCUCUUCAAAUAUCUGAAUUGCUUUUUUUCCAUACCCGUGAACGCCAUAGCUUGAUAUCAAGGAAUUCCAGGACACAACAUCCCGGUCAUGCAUUCGAUCAAAUACUCUUUGUCCCACUUCAAGCUUACCGCAUCUACCAUACAUCGUCACAAGAGCACUGAUCACUGGCAAUAUGGAGUCAAGCCCCCGUCUGAGUAUGUACCCAUGAAUCAAUUUCCCUUGCUCUAAAGCCGCAAGCGAAGCACAAGCUUGAAGCACACUAACCAUAGUCACAGAAUUCGGAGAUGAAUCUUUGGUUUCUCUCAUCAUUUCACGGAAAGUCCUCAGAGCUUCAAAAGCUUUCCCGUUCUUUGCAUAGCAGGCGAUCAUAGCGCUCCAAGAAACAACGUUCCUCACCGGCAUUCCCCCAAACACAUAGCUGGCAUAAUCCACACAGCCAAAUCUAGCAUACAUGUCCACCAACGUAGUCAUAAUGUAAACAUGAGAACUGUAACCUCGUCGAGUAAGAUGUGCAUGAAUCUCUUUCCCUUUCAUCAGAUGAUUCACCGUGCAUUCCGAUGCAACACAAGCCUUGAGAACAUAAGUGUAUGUGAACCUAUCUGACUCAACUCCAAUCCUAUUCAUCUUCCAAUACAAACCCAACACUUCUUCUCCAUGACCUGCUAACGUAAGGGCUCGAAACAAAGCGUUCCAGACAUAUAUAGUUCUCUUACGCGUUUUAUCGAACACCUUCCGUGCAUAAUCCACAGAACCCAAAUCCGAGUACAUACCAAUAAGCUUCGUAGCCAAAAAAGGAUCUUGAUCAGACCCAUUAUCCAGAAUAUGUCGAUGAACACGUAGAGCAUCAGAAAGAGAGCUCCGAUGACCGCAGCAGAGAAUCAGAAGCUCGUAAGUCUGUUGACUUGGGCUAGAUUCCUGAGACAAGACGCGAAUCGCUUGUUUAAGUUUACCCUCUUUGCACAAUGAUUGAAUUAGCUGAUUAUUAGAGAUUUUAGCUCCGGCGCCGGAGGAAAUUGAAGGAUUGUUUAAAGCAACGGAACACGACGGUGGCUUCAGAGGAGAGCGAGGUAAGAAGUUAACUGUAUGAUAAGUUGGUUGUAUUACUUGAGGAGGGUGAGACAGAAACAUUUUUCCGAUGAGUUUACCGGAAAAUUCCCAAAGAAAAACAUAAAAAUUCGCGGCUUUUCUAUCAAAUCUGCUUUUUGGAUCGACGAUAAUAAAGAGAGGGGCUUUUUACUUGCCGAUGCCACUAGUUUUCUCUGCUACUUCCGUUGGUUGGUUUACACGUGCCAAUCACGUGGUUAGAAAUGGGCCUUCUUGAAUUAGGCCCAUAUUUGGUUAGUUUUGAAUUGGGCUGAUCUAAGUUUACGAGGCAUCUUUUGCGCCGGGAAUAAUUUUCUUCCACGGCGGCCACCUGCGGGCCACCAGUAUUCUGGCGAGAUCCAUUUCCAAUCACCCAAUGUAACGCUAAUUUAACAAUUAUUUGAUUCUAUAUCCCUUGGUGAUUCACGAGGAAAUAAUUUAUAUGCAAUCAAAUCAAAUACAAGAGUAUUUUUAAAAACAUAUAUAAUAUAUAAUUCAUGUAAAACAUAAUUUCAUUCAUGGAGGUUGGCUUAAAAGAAAAAUAACGAUAGAAACAGUACAUUAUUAGUAUCAUGAUACACUACUAUUGUUUAGUAGUAAUUACGACCCCUAGGGUUGCGAGUAUUCCCACAACACUUAUUAGAACAAAAGUAAAAGUCGUUGAUUUGAAGUAUAUAAGGAAGCUUGCAUCUUGAAGAACACCUAGAACAAUGGGGUCUACAAAUAGAAGUGUUGGGUACCACUACUCCAUUUGCGAUUUUGUUCGAUGAAAUGUGUCCUGGUACGUGAUAUGAGAAGUCUCCCACGACACACGAUAUGUGCAAAAUGAUUCCACAUAGAUUACAUGUAUACAACCAUUCCUUUGGAUCUACUUUUGUUUCACAUACCUCACACCAAAGUUGACCAUCUUCCUUAUUUUCACCGUAAGACAAGUAGAGAGGAUGAUCGUCGUACCUCUGAUUCAUUACCUUUCUAGGUAAAGUAGCGCAGCGGAAGUCCAACCGAAAUUCACACUCAUCACAACACAACAUAUCCCUGGCGCUAUAUGUGAUGUCACAUGCAGAACAUUUUGUAUCCCCCUCAAGACUGAAGUAUAAAGGAUGUGGAUGGCUUUCAUGGAGAAAUGGUUCAUAUAUCGAACUACAACGAACAUCUAGAGUAGCGGAACCAAACAAAUUACGAGACUGAGUUUCGUACCUAAAACCGCUGAAAUUCUGGAAACAAGCAGAACAAUGUCUUCUUUGGCGUGGAGAAUCUUUCAAAUAUGUAUCUGUCGAUAGAAUUAAAGGUUUAUUGUUGGAUACAUGCCUUAUCUUUCUAGGCAGACUAGCACAUGUUUCAUGUAGAAUAAAGUCGCAUUGCUCACAACCAUAAAACGGAUCGUUAUUGAUUUUGGAGGCACAUGCUUCACAAAAUUUGCUUUCGUGGUUACCAUCCUUGUUGAGUCUUAAAUUAUGGCCAUGGAUGAAGUGCUUGAUCAGAUUCUCAUCGACCACCUCGAAUGGCGCAAUUUCCUCCUCUUCCGGUGUUCCUUCUAGUUCAACUUUGUACCAUACAUCCUUUCUCGUCGCGCAUCUUGCAUGAACAGCAUAGCUAGGACAUUUCGAGCAAGAAUAAGCCCCAUAAAACCCAUCUACUUUCUUACGACAAACUCCACAUGUCCAAUUCCCGUGUCCAAGAAGACUAGUGUAAGAGAUGCGAUGAUUAUGACGAUUGAUAUUUAUCACGCGGGGUAAAUCAAUACAAGCUCGAUGGAUCAUGAAAUUGCAUUGAAGACAAAAAUAAGGACUUCGAUCACCAGCCGUCCCACAAGCGUUGCAAGUAAAAUUGACUAGUCUUGGAACAAGGUGGAGUUGAUGCUCAUGGGUCGUAGGACUCACAACAGAAACUGGCGGUGGUUUCGCCAUACAGUAAUCCUUGCAAAUGGUGACAUUACAAACAUCGCAGUGGUAAACUCGAUCAUAGUUGUUAGAUAACUUUUUGAACUUCUUCUUGCAAAGAAGGCAUUUCUCGUGAGCAUACUCUGGUGCUCCGUAUUGGAGAAACUUGAGAGGGUGUUUCGGAUGAGAAGUUUGGUAUACGUUUGGAAUGAGCCCGACACAAUCCAAAUGGAAAAGGAUAUUGCACAGACGACAUUCACAAAGUUGUUUUUCAUUGAUUUUGAUAUUCGUGUUGCACAUGUUGCAAUUGCGCCCUUCCUUUAGUAAGAACGUCUCCACGUUCUUAGAGAGUAGAAGUGGAUGCUGAUGCACUUUGGAAUUAUCAACACUAGUAGGUAGCGGCGAAGAUGAGGAUGAGGAUGAAGUUGAGGAUGGAGGUCUUCUUGCACAAACCAAAUGCACAUUGAAGUCGCAUAUUGAACAAUGAUAACCAACUUGCAAUCCACUUAUACACAAACUACAACAAAACCGUCCACAUUUCAGGUUGAGCUUGAGAGGAUGUUGAGGAUGGGAAGGGUGUUUGAUCUCUGGUACCGACUCGACGCACUCCUUAUGGAAGAGGGUAUCACAACCUACCUCAUUGCAAACAUAGCCACCGUAAAAAUAACCAAAAACACUGCAUCCUUUACAAGUGUCCAUACAAAUCCGAUCAAAGAUGAACAAAGGAUGCUCGUGAACUGGUAACUCUACCUUUUCCAUCGCGGAAUGAUAUCCAAAUCAACCUAAUCUCUUGUGAUUUGAAGGAAAAGGUGACUUUUUUUUUUUUUUUUCUUUUUUUUCUUAAAUGGAAUGAGAUUUUUAAUUGCUGUAACGAUUCAAUCUCUCAACUCGAUCGAAGAAAAUAAUUUAUAGACAUACAUCCAUACUUUCCGGGAAUUAUUCAUUUUUAAUACUCCAAAUAAAAGUCGUCUCUAUAAUAGUUAUCUGUGUUAUUAAAUAUUUUGAUCGUACUCAUAGAAUUAUAGAAAUUCCAUACAACUACUUUAUAGUUUAUGUUAUUAUGUAUAAUCAAUCAUCCACUUGAGUAGAUCCAAGAUUAGUGAUAAGAUUUUUUUUGGCCCUUUCAUGACUUUUAUUUUCAACGUACGAGCUAGCUAGUUGGCUACCAAUUUAAUCCGGGAGAACAAAACGAUCGUCAUCUUGCACAUAUAUAGGUUUUGGUGUGAGUAUUGGGUUCCCGGAGGCGAAAUAGCGAAGAACUGUGCUUUCUUGAGAUACAAGCAACACAAGAGCAACGGGGUUUUACUUGUCGAUGCCACUAGUUUCUCUGCUGUUUCCGUGGUUGCAGAUCCCACUAGAGACAGCUAAUUCUGCCGAUUUUAAUUCAUUAAAAAUACACAAUAAUACUGUUAUUAAAUCACUGGAUCCUAAUAGUACGUUAUAGACUUAUAGUCUGCCCAAUUACAACUCUAAUCUUAAUUAUAUUAACUUCCACUUGUGCGGAUCCUAUGUUUGUGACGAAUGUGUUAUUUUGCCUUUUAUUAAAUUGUAGAAUAUUAAUACAAUUUGCUAGAGCCUAGAGCAAACUCCUUGAAAACGGAAAAACCAUGAAUCUAUUGUUAUGAUGAAGCUGCUUUGGCGGUACAUGUUUGGCGGCUUACGUAGGGGAAAUAGUUUAAGAGAAGAACGCUACUUGCUUGUUAAGCAAGAAACCUCCGAUAGCAACAAAAAAAGAAAGUACCAUAAGAUUAAAUUUAUCACUGCUUUUGGAAGACAGUAUAACUAAAAUUGUUGAAUAAAUUAGUUUGAUCACUAGUUAAUUAUAUAAAAAGCACUAUACUGAUUUGAUCAAAUUAAAUGCAAGUAUUUAAAAAAACUAUAAUUUAUGUAAAACAUUCUUUUAUUCACGGAGGUUGGCAAAAGAGAAAAACAACGAUAGAAACUGUACAUUAAGUGUUCCCACAACAUUACUAUCAUCAUACACUACAACUAUUGAGAACAAAUUAUGACCACAAUAGUUGUGAGUGUUCCCACAACACUUAUUACAACAAAAGUUUCCUGUAUUUGAAGAAUAUAAGGAAGCUUGCAUCCUGAAGAACACCUAAAAAAUUUCUUCACUCGGGAAAUCAAAACAUAGAUGCCAUUUUUAUAAUUUUAAAUAUUGGGCUACCAGAGGUGAAACAGCGGAGAAACCAGAGCAUAUAUUCGGUGCUUUCUCCAUAUACAAUCAACAUCUACUAGUAAAGAACACUAUGUUUUAAGUGUUAGUGUUCUUAGAUAAGAAUCCAUGAAUGGAAGUACCCUUUAGUGCAUGUCGGAUACAUAUAUGUAUAAAUUGUACAUAUAACACUAGGGGAUUCAUAUAUCGACAUGUGAAAAUGUAGAGAAUGAAAAGAAAGCAAAGCAAAUUUUGGGUAAAAGAAAGAUGAUAACUGUACAAGAUAGAAUGCAAUUCAAAACCAAAACUUUUAUUAUGAUAGUAGAUAAACAAAACGAUAAUAUAACAAGAGAAAAACUCUCCCAAGAGAACUAUCCCUUGGCCUAACCCGAUAAAAUCCUUCAACGCUCUCAAUUGUUUAGAUAGGUUUCACAAACAAAACCUAUCAUUAUUAAUAAUAAACGUAAAGUAAAAUACUCUUUGAAAAGUAAAUAAGAAAAUAGAAAGAAAUAAAUAAACCAAGUGCGCUACUAAUAAUACGACGACUCCCAAGGAUUUUUAUGACAAUCAUUAGAACAAAAGUAAACAUUAACACCAUCCUCGGAGGUUUCAAGAAUGCAAGGGAGUUUGCAUCUAGUGUGACACCUGGAGCAAAGUGGUCUACAAAUCGAAGUGUUUGGCACCACUUUGUAUAAGCUUACUACCGCGGGCGGUACCAUUUUGUAUUCGCUAACUACGGUUGAUAAUGGUCCUGGCAUAUGAUAGGAGAAGUCACCCACAACGCAAGAAACAUGUAAAGUGACCCCACAAGCAUCACAUGUAUAGAACCAUGUCUUUGCAUCUACCCUUUUUUCACAUACGUCACACCAGUAUUCACCAUCCACAUUAUUUUCACCAUAAGACAAGAAAAGUGGAUGGUCAUCGUACCUUUGCUUCAUUACUUUUUUUGGUAAAGUUGCGCACCUGAAAUCCAACCUAAAGUCACACUCUUCACAACAUAACAAAUGCCUUCUUGUUAUGUGACAGAUGUCGCACUUCGCAACCGCCGAAAAGGUGAAGAACUUGUAGUAUAAAGGAUGUGGAUGCCUUUCAUGAACAAAUGGUUCAAAUAUCGAACCACAUCGUAUAUCCAUAACUUCGGUACGCGAGUUAUACGCAAUAUGCAGAUUAUACGCAAAUCCAGUGAAAUGUUGGAGACAAAGACUACAUUUUCUUCUUAGGCGUGAAGAAUCCUUGCUAUCGUCUGUUUGUAGAGAGAAGGGUAUGUUGCACAAAACAUGCCUUUUCUUCCUAGGCAUAUUAGCACAUGUUUGAUGUAAAAUAAAACCGCAUAGCUCACAACUAUAGAACGGAUCAGUAUUGAUCUGGGAGACGCAUGCUUCACAAAGCUUGCUUUCAUGGAGAUUUAUACCAUCAUUGUUGAAUAUUAAAUCAUGAUCAUGACUCAUGUGCUUUAUUGUGUUCUCAUCAACCACCUCGAAUGGCGCAAUUUCUUCUUCUUCCGGUGUUCCUUCUAGUUCUACCAUGUCCCAUACAUCUUUUCUAGUUGCACAUAAUGAAUGAACAACGUAACUAGAACAUUUCGAGCAGGAAUAAGCCCCGUAGAACCCAUCCACUGUUUUGCGGCAAACUCCGCAUUUCAAAUUCCCUUGUCCGAGAUGACAAAUGUAAGAGAUGCGAUGAUCAUGGCGGUUGAUGUUUAUGAUGCGGGGUAAGUCGAUACAACCUCGAUGAAUCAUGAAAUUGCAUUGAAGACAAAAAUAAGGGCUUCGGUCACCUUGUGUCCCACAAGCAUUGCAAGUAAAAUCAAGAAGUCUUGGAAUGAGGUGAAGUUGAUGCUCGUGGGUCUUCGGAGUAACAACAACUAGUGGUGGUGGGUUUCCCUGACAAGAAAUGCAUAUGCUGAAGUUACAAACAUCACAGUGAUAAAGCUCAUAUUUUUGGCCUUGUUGAUCUUCAAACUCUCUUCCGCAAAGAAGGCAUUUAUGGUCGGCGUAGCUCGGGGGUCCAUUUUUGAGAUAUUUGAGAGGGUGUUUGAGAUGAGAGUUGUGGCGUGCAUCUGUGGUGAAAAAGAGCUCAAGGCAAGUCACAUGAAUGUAAAGUUUACACCGACGACAUUCAUAAAAAGGAGCGCUAUCUCCAUUGCCGAUAAUGUAGUUACACCCUUUGCAAUUGCCAGUUUCUGCAAGCCAUGCUGUUUUGAAAGGUUUAAGAGGAUGUUCAUGCACCUUGUAAUUCUCAAUACUAGAGAGUUGUGGCUGAAGUGAGAGUGGUGGGGACUUCGCACAAACCAAAUGCAUACCAAAGUCACAUAUCGAACAAAAAUAACCAAUUCCCACCGGCCGUUCACACAAAUGACAACGUUGACGUCUAUUGCCAAGCUUAAGCAGAUGCUUGGGAUGGGCAUGGUGGCUGAUCUCGGGUUUGGACUCAGCGCACUCCUUAUGGAACACCGCAAAACACGCCAACUCAUUGCAACGGUAGCCUCCAUAAAAGUAGCCUUCACGUGAGCACCCGGAACAACGGCCAAAAUAAAAGCGUUCAAAGGGUAACAAAGGAUGGUCAUGAACCCGUAGCACCACUUUUUCCAUGCUGAAUUCACUAAAUUAAUCAAACCUCAAUCUCUCUUCUCUAGUGAUCUCAAUGUUAUUAUCAAGAAAAAUGAAUUUGUUUUCCUUUCACAAUUUACAUUGAUGAUCUAAGUAAAAUAGUUUAUAGAUAUAUCCAUAUAUUUUAAAUUAUCACUAGGCCACUUGAAAAAUAUUCUUUUGCCGAUGUCAACUGAGAGACAGCUAUGUCUCACCAUGUCAAUCGAUACUUUCCGAGUUUAAUUCAUUAACAAUACUAAUUAAUACUUUGUUAAAUAAUUUGAUCCUAACUAUACGGUACUUUGUCCAACCAUUACUCUAAUCUUUAUUAAACGUAGACUAUUUGAAUUAUCUUCCACUUGUGCGGAUCCUAUGUACGUGACGAAGGUGUUAUCUUUGGCCUUUAUUAAAUUGUAAUAUCUUUCUACAAGUUGUUAGAAGCAACCUCAUUGAAAACGACAAAGCCAUCGAUCUGCUGCUGGAUCUUCUCCAGUUUAAGUGUUCUUCCAGGAUUUAGGGUUUCAACCAAAUGUGCUCCAGCAGGUUCUCCAUUAGGGUUGUCUCAUCGUCAUUGUUUGCAAUGUGACAGAUAAAACAAAGCCCUUUAAAAAAGAAUACAGCUACAACUGCUACUAACUAGUGUUUAGAGAACCCUCGGUUUUACUAAGAAUCCAUGAACAAAAACGUCCUACAGUGACAGCAGUAUUCUGAUACAUACACAUAGAGUAUAUAUACACUAGAGGAUUUGUAUCUACUCUGACAUGUGAAAUAACAGAGAAUGAGAACAAAGCAGAGCAAAAGUUGGGUUGAAAACGUUUGCUUAUUAUAGCCUAAAAUAUAUAUUUGCAAUUGCAUUACUAUGUGUAUACUUUCCAUUUGUUUUGGUUAGUAUAGCCUAACCAUUCGACACCAUAUACUCAUAGUAAAACGUUUUCAAAGUGAGAAUGGCUCUCUAUGAUACUUUAUUAACAGUUUAUUAACGGUCAGAAUAAAUUUUAUACGUUGAUUAUUAACAUUUUAAUUUAAAGUGUUGAUUUCGUAGGGCAUGGUGAUCUGAAUAUUUCAAUAACGAUAACAUAGACUAUAGAGUAUGUAAUGAAUUGAACUUUAAAAGCAUCGCCAGCGUGGGGUGAUUAGAAUAUAGUAUUAUCUUUUUAGGUAAAUAUAUAUGUUAAGGAGUGGUCGUAUACAUGCGAUGAUUGUGGAGUCAAUUAGAGAAAACCACAGCCACAAUUACAAAUCUGCUGCUAAUUAGUGUCUAGAGAACCCUCUGUUUUAAUAAGAAUCAUGAACUGAAGCAUCCUGCAGUGAGGUUCUGAUACAUACAUAUAAAGUAUUAUAUACACUUAGAGGAUUUGUAUCUCUGACAUGUGAAAGAACAGAGAAGGAAACAGAGCAAAAAAUUGAGUUGAAGAAACAAGAUCAUAUUCAAAAGAAGUGGCAGAGAUGAUAUAACCAUGUAAAUAUAUAUAUUGUUGCUUUUGCAACUUCGGAGACUACUCGUGGAGGUUCAGAAUUAUCCGCCACCAACAUCCGUCGUCGCUUUUUCUCCUCCCAUUCUUCCCAUAAGAUUUGAAUCAGGGUUAUAACUUAAGAAGGACUGCAAAAGCAAAUUUGUGAACUUGUAAGAGCUCAGACGAGCAACAACGCUUUCAAAGCUCAAAAAAGAUGAAACAUGGAAACUGCGAAACAAACUUUUAAAAGCUCUUUGACUCGCUGUAAGUCGAAUGAGCAACUAUCAGAAUCGAAAAUUUAAGAAACAUGAGAUUCGAUGAAAGCUAGUUAUGGACUUAUUAUGAGAUGCAUGAACUUUAACUAUAAUAUUGCAGAUGAAACUGAUAUAGCUAGCUGAGAUUCUGAAACAAAGAGGAAGUUCAACGGUUUUUGAGAAACACUCAAAUCUGUACCUCUUUCUCUUCAAAAGAACCGCGACCUCCGAUCCACAGGCUUAAGAAUUUGGAAAGAGCACAUUAAACUUUCGUCGACACUCAUCAAUGCACCCGCAUUGUCAAAUUCACCACAGUAGUUUGGAGCAGAAAACAUAGUCACAAGCUGUCUAUCAGCAAAGAACUCAUACCCAUCCUCUACAACCUGUGGGAGCAUUAUAGGUUCUUGAGCAGCAGAUUCGAUUUCCCAAACAAAAAAACUAGAGGAAACAUUUAUACAAUGUACUAACCUGGUGGGCACGACAGACUAAAUCCAUAUCAUUCUUUAUUAAAAACUCAGCAACUUUGUCAGCACCAAAAGUGUAGGAGACACCACGAUCAUUCAUCCCCCAGCCUUUGACAUCUUUACUAGGAUCAGACCAAAGAAGGUCACAGAGCAAACCAGCGUCUGGAACAUCAGUUGGACGCUCUAUGUUCUUAAUUUGUUCCACAUUGAUCAACUCAGGAGAUAGUCCACCAUGCAUACAAAGUAUCUUUUCAUCUAUGACAGCAGCCACAGGGAGACAGUUAAAAGUAUCGGUAAACACUUUCCAGAGCUUCACGUUGAAUCUUCGUUUACAUUCGUCAUAGAAUCCGUAAAUUCUGUUAAUAGAUGCACACUCAUGGUUUCCUCUUAAGAGAAAAAAGUUUUCAGGGUAUUUGAUCUUGUAAGCAAGCAGAAGACAAAUAGUCUCCAAACUCUGCUUUCCGCGGUCAACGUAAUCUCCUAAGAAUAAGUAGUUUGCUGCAGGAGGGAAACCUCCAUACUCGAAAAGCCUCAAUAAAUCUGAGUAUUGACCAUGAAUAUCACCUGCAACAAUACAAAGACAAAAAGCUACAACAUCAACCUAGGUAUUAACCAGAAACCGAGUCUCUAAGAUUUCAAGACUAUCAAUCGCCUAAAGACAAAUGUUACACAUCAACCUAUGAACCCAUAAGAACCAUAAUUAAUGGUGUUUGAAUACAAGCAGAGAAACCAAUGCAUUUUCAUAAGAAAAGAUCAAGAAGAACUUGCUUCCUAUCACGUGACCAUACAAGCUCUAUUACCAUUAGCAUUCUAAUGACUAAACUAGAUUCUCUUACGCAAAUUCCAAGACUCCAUGAACAGGGUAAGCCCAACAAAGACAUCUAUUAUUAAGUGACAUCAAUUGGUAAAAAGAUACAUUGCUCCUUUAGCUUAACAUUAUUCAACCUCAUGAGGUCCAAUUUAAUGAUCUAAGCUCAUCUCCUCACAGAAAAAUGCAAACUUUUUUCAUUACACAAUCAUGAAAAUUGAAGAAUCUCAGAUCCCAAACAGGAAAAAAACUGAUAAAUCGAGAGAGAAGUAAAAUACCGCAGAUCUUAACAGGGGCAGCGAGCUCAAGAAGACAAGGCUGUUGAAGAAAUAUCUCUCUAGAGACAAAGCAAAGCUGUCGGAUCUCAGAAUCGUUGAGCAUAGCUUGUUUGGUCCCAGCUUUAGGGUUUCGGUAAUCAAGUAAACGACGAAUGAUGUCGUCGAGAACAGCAGGGUCCAUGCUUCCCUGCCCUUGUUGCGCCAUUCACUCACUUACCCACCUCCCAAGUUUCAAUCUUUCGGAUAGGAUUCGAUCGCCAAGAUAAGAAAAAUAAAAAAUCAAAUUUUCAAAAUCUGAACCAAAAAAAGUUGUCGCCUUUUUUAAUGAUUUGUCUUCCAGAUUUGAUGAUUUGUUUUCUAUUUACAAGUAAUUUCUUUGAUGGGUGCUUUUGCAGAAGAUGAUUUGGCAAUCUCUGGUUCUUCUUUUCUCCAUUGGGCAGAGAGAACUAAAAAAGCUUCUCUUCUUUUCUUUUUUUUCGUUUUAGAUAAAUGACACAUUUUCAUUUUUUUCAUAUAUAUAUAUAUAUAUAUAUAUAUAUAUAUAUAUAUAUAUUUUCGUAUCGACGUCGAUUUCUGCUGUUAUUAUUAGGUCAAACAAAAAAAUAUUAAAUAUUCACAAACUUCAUAAAUAUAUUCACAAAAAAAGGUUUAUAUAGAAUUCAUGGUUAAUUUGUAUAGAUUUUCUUUAUAAUAUUAGUGGAUCCCAUAGGGACAAUGCCAUGGUCGACUUGUAAAGUUUAAUGAAAAAAAUCUAUAAAAGAAAAUCUCAUUAAACAUUAAUUACUAAAUUUCUUGUUGAUGUUAUAAACUUUUUUUAAAAAAGAGUUAUUGUAAAAAGUACAUCAAUCGAAAACUAUAAGCUGCCAAGUGUGCAAUUUUUAAGUGUUUUUGAAAUAAUACAAUUUGAUAGUAUUAACUGAAUUUAUUUUUCUAAAGAAUGUAAUCGAUUUUUAUUAAAUUUUGGAAGAAAUUUAAAAUAAAAAUGACUAAAAAAGUAAGAUUGUUAUAAGAAAUUUUUUGCUUAAUAAUUAAUUUGAUGUUAGAAAAAAACUAUAAUUAGUUUAAUCUUCAAGUUGGUAACAAGUGUAAAAAUUUAGAAACAUAACAUAUUAGAAAAUAUUUUCAUUUAAUAUUACAAAAAUUAGAAUAUAUAUCCAUAUAAUUGACUACAUUUAGAGUUUUUUUUUGGACAAAUUAAUUUUUUCAUUUUUUUUUUAAAAGUUGAAGACAAAGCACAAUUUUUUUUUUGUUAAAGGGUUUGAAGACAAAGCACAUUGGUUUGGCCGAGAACUAUAUAUAAACAUAUGUGUAGAGCUCCAGUCUUCAAACAUUUUAUUUUCUACAAACAUUUUUUAAAAUUUCUAAAUUUGUUAAGAGUUUAGUAAAAUAGUGAUUUGGCUUGAUAUGGAUCAAAAUAAAAUGUUAGAGAAAGUUCUUACAAACACCGAUCUUUCCCACAUGGGUAGGUUAUAUUAACCAAAAUUGCAGAUAGAGAAGAUACUACGCACUAUAGAAAAUUUUGUAAUGCCUCCAAGUGGUCUUCAAGUGGAAGUUUUAGAGAAUAACAAGAGUUACUGGGUAACAAUAAAAAUAGACCAUGAUAAAUAUUUUAUGUGCUCAGGGUGGAAUAAUAUAGAAGCAAGAAGGCUCAAAACAGGCGAUAAAAUUAUAUUGUAUUUACAAGAUAACAAAUUCAUUUUUACUAUGCAUUGAUUCUUUAUUGUUUAUUUCUUAAAAAUGUUAUCUCUCAUUAUUCUAUUUUAAUAUACCUAUUCUAAUAUUUUGUCUUAAUGAUAAUAUUUUGGAUGGGUUUAUGUAUUUUAUAACUACAAAAAUAGCUUAUCAAUUUAAAUGAGAUCUAAAUUCUAAAUUAUGGGUAUGUGAGUAUAUGUGAGUAUAAAGUUUGGACUAUGCAUUGAUCAAAAGCUUUUAAUCGAAGGAUAUGGAAGUUAUCGAUUAGAAAGAUGAGGUUUUACUAUCUUCCUUAUUGUUUCUCUGAAUGGUUUCUCGGCGCAUAAAUAUAUAUAAUGGAUCACCAAGAAUUUUCAUGUUAUUUUGCUCAUUAGAAAUCACCAAGAAUUUUCAUGUAUAGCAUUUCCGAACUUAGAAUUUUCUAAUAUGAAACAAUUUAGAACUAAAAGGCCUUUUGGGUUGUGUCCAAAAAGAAAAACCUCACACGUUGACAAUGUAAAAUUCCAUGAUUUAUUAUAAACUCUUUCAUGCAUGCAAUUGGUUAGUUUUUGCAAGUUGGGCUACAAUGACGUUUUUGUUAUCGGUUUCUCAAUCACUCCUUUUCUGUCUCCAUGUAUCGUCGUCACUUUCCUCUAUUUUACUUGAAAAUAAUACCAUUAAUUCAAAACAUCUUUUAAUUUGGUCGGUUCAAAACAAAAUAAAAAACCAUAGCCAUUAUUUGAUAGUAACUGCAGUUCAAUUGCAUUUUUAUUUGUGAUAAUAGAUGGAGCAAAAUUAGUUUGUCAACAAUUUUUUCUUUCGUAAUACUAAAAUUUAUUUUCUUUGGUAGAAGCUUGUCAGUGUGUAACAUGAAGAGAGGAUUUUGGAACCGGAUACAAUACAUUGAUAAGAGAGGAAUCAAUGAUUUGAUUAAACAAAGCCAAGACGAACCGGACUAAACCGGAGAUAGAAAAAAUACUUUAUAAACCAGAAAUCAAUAGAAACACACCAAGGGAAGAAGAAGGGAAAGCAAGCAAGCACCAGAAGAUUCUAAGUAUACUACUAACAAGCUUUAAACUGAACACAAACCCCAAACCGAAGAGAAUAAAAACAGAGUAUUCUACAUAGUCUUGCAUAGUUACGUUUCAUCAGCCAAAACUUGAAAAGAAGAGAAGCCAGUGAAAACAAAAGUUUGAAUCUCUGAACAAGGAGCAACCGAAAUAAACAGUUUACCUUUAGUUUAAGAAGAGCAACAUGCUCGUUUCGCGCCUCCAGAUGUGUCAUCGACGUUAAUCGUAGUUCCUUGCCCAGGGAUUGCAGAAUUAGCUGCUGCUGCUUCUUGUGCAGCCAGUGCCUUUUUGCUUAUGAUAUGGUAGAUCUCACCUAAGAUGGUCUGAAACGCUUUCUCGACGUUUGUUGCUUCAAGAGCAGAUGUCUCCAGGAAAGAGAGACCUUCCUUCUCAGCCAAACUUUGACCAUCUUCCUCAGCAACGGAUCUCAAGUGGUUCAGAUCGGAUUUGUUCCCAGCCAUCAUGAUCACAAUGUUGGAAUCUGCAUGGUCUCUCAGUUCGCGCAGCCACCUUAAAACAUUGUCAAAGGUCUGUCUCUUAGUAAUGUCGUAGACAAGAAGUGCACCCACUGCGCCUCUGUAAUACGCGCUUGUGAUCGCCCUGUACCUCUCCUGACCUGCAGUGUCCCAGAUCUGGGCCUUAAUGGUCUUUCCUUCAACCUGUGUAUGCAUGAGAGAUUCACCGUAACAACCAGUUAGAUCUUAGGUAUUGAAGCAUUCCCAGGUUUAUGAAUAAGAAUGCUAAUUCAACAAUCAAAAGUAAAGAACAUAUAUCUUCUCAGUUGUUAAAACCAGGUUAGUAACAUUAUUAACAAUCAACAUUUUAAAUGCAUCUUUCCGCAUUCAACUACAUAAGUGUAUCAUAGAAUUCCUCUUGUCAAAAAAUUUAUCGGUUGACUUUACGAAAGUAUAAAGGUGGACAAGGUCAAGCAUGACAAAUGAUCAGGAAAUAGAAUGAAUUAUUGAGACAAGCUGUGAGAAUCUUCUUAUUUUUUUUAAUUGGCCUUCACGACCAUCCAUUUAUAGUCUUAAAAUGAGAAAAGCAUCUGUCAUAACUCAUAGCCAGCACAACUAAGAUUUUUUCUCUUGAACAAAAGAUUCAGUAGCUGAGAAAAAAUCCGCCGUCUACUCUCUCAAAACACUGUAUUCUUCAAUCUUAAGAAACCAACGCAACCAAAAACCUUAAGACCUAUCACUUAAUUGCUAUCCAAAUCAAAGAAACUAACGAAGAAGCAACUUUAAACGAAACAAAACAGACUAAAAGCUCUAGAGCCAUCACUUGAAAUUAACCAUCGAAUACCUGAAUUCUACACUACACUAAUGAGGUCAUGAAGCUACAAGCAAAACCAAAUUACAUAAUUGAAAUAUACACUACACUAAUGUGGUCAUGAAGCUACAAGCAAAACCAAAAUACAUAACUGAAGACGGUAAAUCUAUGUAUAGCAGUGAAAGUAAAAACCUUCACGGAUUAUAGCUAAAGAUAAAUCAAAACAGAGACAAGCUAAUAAGAAGAAAAAACCUAUCCCAAAAUCCCAUCUUUAAGCCUCUUAACAUUAUAUACCAAACCUAAAUUACUAUCUCUUCGUAUUACUCUGAUUCUAACAGCAAAUAUUCUGAAUUUCACUCCUAAAGUACUUAAAGAGAGAAACAGAGAAAAAUUCGAAUCUCACCUGAGUAGUUCUGGUGGCGAAUUCAACACCAAUAGUGGAUUUAGAUUCCAAGCAAAACUCAUUCCUGGUGAAUCUCGACAAGAUAUUCGAUUUCCCAACACCAGAAUCACCAAUCAACACAAUCUUAAACAAAUAAUCAUAUUCCUGAUCUACUCUAUGCGUCAUUUUCUCCUUCUCUCUUCGAUCUCGCAAUAAAACCUACAAAUUCGAAAGAAAAAAAAGACAGAAACUUUAUUACUUUUCUCCAAAAUCAAACCCAGAUCCAACGAAAUUAAGACGAACCCACAAGUAAUUCAGAAGACGAAAAACGAUUCGUGUACCUUAAUGGCGGAUGAAUCGAGAAAAAUAUCGAAUUUUUUGAGAUCUAUAAAGAAAGAAACUUUGAGUAAGAAGCUUUAAAUGUUUGUUCUCACUCACAAUCAAUGGAGGAAAAUGGAAUUUUUCUUGUUUAAUUUGAUGGGCUUCGUCUUCUUCUUCGUGAGAAAGAGGAGAGGAGCAAUAAAGUGAAUAUACGGUGUAUCUAUACGUAUCUCUGUGUCAGGGAAUAGAAACGACGUCGCGUUUGAGAAAAAGACAAAGACUUCAGUUAUCGUGCUGAUGUGGCAACUAAUGAUUCGUUAGCAGGCUGGCAAAAAGUAAGAGCAUGUUCCAAGGGGUAUUAUUGGAAAUGUAGUUUUGAGCUUUAUAAUUGCGUUAAAGAGCAAUGAUUGUAUUUGUGAGUGUGGUAAUGAUAAUAAGCAACGUCAAUUUGAAAAUGUCGAAUUAACAACUUUAAUAGAAGAAGAAAAUAAUGAAAUGAGGAUGUGAUGAAUUGACCACUACAUUCCCAACUUCCCAUAAUAUUUGUAAGAAUAUAGUUCUGAUCCAUAUAAUAUAAUUAAACAAUGUGGUGGUUCUGGUGGCGAUGGCCGAUGGGCAAAUGAAGAUGGUAGUGGAUCAUGUGGCGGCUUUAGAAGGCAACAUGCUACAAGUCUAGUGGAAAAUACGUCGGAGAUUGCGAUGGUAAUAGGCUAAUAGCUAUAGAGGACGAGACUAGUCUUUUGGUGCGACACAUAUAGAAUGUUACAUUCUAAUCUGAUGAAGAUGAGGACCAUUAAGUCAUUAACGCUAAAUUAUUAAUCCCUGAAACGUCAUACUUUUUUUCAACCUAACGUAAUAACUUCAUUUUGUUAUAAAUUUGAUUUUGUGCCCUCUAAUAAACCAAGUUUUUUUUUUGUUUUUUUUUAUCGCAAAAACAUCAAAUAAUUAAAUUUGUUCGAAAAAGUUAGUUUCGUGGGCCAACUACUCCGAAACGAGAGGGUUUAUAUGGGAAAAAAGUACACCUCGUACUCUUGCACUCUUUGCGAGGCAGACAACACGGACAUUCAUAGUGCGUGGAAUAUGAGAUAAAGAAAACCGACCAAAACUAGCUUUAAAUCUAGCAAAAUCUUUUCCACCGGCCAAUCUUUACUUUCAUCAAGGAUCUUAAGUAAGCUUAAGCAAUCGGUUUCAAAAUGUAUAGAUUGGAUACUUUGUUGUAAAGUGCACUCCAUUGUCCAAAGAAGAGCUCCGAGUUCUGCGUAGAGGGCAUUGCGAUAACAAUUCUGGCUACUUUGACCAAACAGCUUGGUCGUUGAGCUAGUCAACAUGAACCCCAAACUAACAUUCUGGUUAAUACCAGUCCACGAAGCGUCAAUUUGGCACAUAGCUUCUCCUCUUUGAACGUGCGCAUACUCACAAGCUUCAACUACUUCAGGUUCUUCCUCCGCAUCAAUGUCAUGUUCUAGUUCUUGGGCAACUCUCCAACUUUUCGACUCAGAAAUUACAUGCGCUAGAAUAUAUGGUGUUAUGUACUCCCGUAACGUAUUUUCAAAAAGUAUAUAUUUGACCUAUUUAAACAUUUAUUACUUUAGGUUAUGAAUAAUCCUGACGCAAUUCUUGCUGAUUAGUCUUGACGCAAUUGUACGUUGCUAUUGAUUUUAAACGAAUACAGCACAAAAGAAGGCAAUCGCGUGGACGAAAGAGGAGCCGAUACAUACAAUUGCAUACAUCUAUUUGUAUACUAUAUUUGCUUUCUAUUGGAUAAUUCACCCUAACUAUUAAGAGUACAUUUAGUCACAAUAUCUAAAUUAAAUCUAUAAAUGUGAAUAUGCACAUAGAGUUUUCACAAGUGGUCAUAUUUUAAGGAUAAUAUUUGAUACAGUUCUUAAUUUCUUUGGUACAUUUUUUGUUACCUCUCUAGAAAGGUUAAUUAAUUAGAUACAUCGCCUGCAAAAGUACUUUUAAGAAAAAAUAUUCGCGUGGAGAAUAUUUCGUUCGUUCAUGUAAGGUCAAAUGAUGAACCUCUUACCCAUGAUUAGGCUGCCAUAAUUAAUAAACCGAAUUCAGAAUAUACAUUCCUUACUUCCCAUCAUUCUGAAUUGCCCAAAUUAUACUCAUUUCUAGUCAUAAUAAAAAAAAAAUUAACUUCUAGUGGUUAGUCAAUCUUUUCUUUUGUCAAGAGAAUAAAUAUCAAGUCAAAGAAAAUUCUUUCUAUUUAAUAUUUUUCUCUAUAUUCAUGAACAAACAAUACAAGUAAAAGAAAAAUAAAAGAUGAUGCAAGGAUUAGUAGAACAAGAAACGGUAGCAAAUUAAACGGUGCAUUCAAAAACCUAUUAAUAUGGAAAGUACAUUAUACUGUCAUUAAUAUAUAAGAAUAAUUUGAGAAACAAAUCUUAAAGGAGUUUGAUGAGGACUUUGAUUACGUUCUAUGUACAUACAGUAUCUCUCCCUAUAAUAAUCCUUUCAUUCUCACAAUCUUGUAAAAUUUGAUUAUAACCAAAUCAAUCAAAAAAAUGACAAAACCUGCUGUCUCCUAUUGUCUCCUCUCAUGUAUCUUUGCCUUGCUUGUUGUGAGUUUCGCUUCAGCAGACAAAGAUGAUCAAGACAAACAGGUAAUUGCACAAAUCCUUCUUCGUUAUUUGAUUAUUAUAAUCAUAUCAUGGUUCUAAUUAUAUUACUAAUGACUAACCAUAACUAUGAUGAUGAUACUUGUAGGAGUAUAUAGUAUACAUGGGUGCACUUCCUGCUCGUGUUGACUACAUGCCUAUGUCCCAUCACACUAGUAUUCUUCAAGAUGUCACCGGAGAGAGGUGCACUGAAUUUAUUCAAUUUUAUUGUUUAGUGUUAAUGUGAUUAUUUGUAUAUGGUUUCAUGUCUAUCGAUCAAAGUCUAACAAAUGUAUUUCUUAUUUGUAGUUCGAUCGAGGAUCGUUUGGUUAGGAAUUAUAAAAGGAGUUUCAACGGAUUCGCAGCCCGGCUAACCAAAUCCGAAAGAGAGAUACUAGCAAGUAAGUGAACAUAAAUGGAUUACGACCCGAAAGUUUUCAAAAAUAAUAAUCAAAACUCAAAUUAGUUUUCUUCUCUAUGAAAAAACUUUAUUAACUCAAUGUGUUGCUAUUUCUUAAUAUCUAAUUUCUUAGGUAUGGACGAAGUUGUGUCUGUGUUUCCUAACAAGAAACUGAAGCUCCAAACAACAACGUCAUGGAAUUUCAUGGGCCUCAAGGAAAGCAAACGUACAAAGCGAAAUACUAUCAUAGAGAGUGAUACAAUCAUCGGUGUCAUCGACAGUGGAAUCUAUCCGGAAUCUGAUAGUUUUAGUGGCAAAGGCUUUGGUCCUCCUCCUAAAAAAUGGAAAGGUGUUUGCAAAGGCGGCAAAAACUUCACUUGGAACAAGUAUAAAACUCUUAAAUUUGAUCAUACAAUUAAAUUGUGUAAGGAUUUUUCAAUUGCUUAGUUAUAAUGAAUGUGGAUGAUUUGUUUGUUUUAUAGCAAGCUUAUUGGAGCACGGUACUACACCCCCAAACUAGAGGGGUUUCCUGAGUCAGCGAGGGACUACAUGGGACAUGGAUCGCACACAGCAUCCACGGCUGCUGGAAAUGCUGUGAAGCAUGUGAGCUUUUACGGCCUCGGCAAUGGAACCGCAAGAGGUGGCGUUCCAGCUGCAAGAAUAGCGGUUUAUAAAGUAUGUGACCCUGGCGUCGAUGGGUGCACAACUGACGGAAUUCUAGCGGCAUUUGAUGAUGCCAUAGCGGAUAAGGUGGACAUCAUUACCAUAUCCAUUGGUGGUGAUAAUAGUUCGCCUUUUGAGGAGGACCCUAUCGCGAUCGGGGCUUUCCAUGCCAUGGCCAAGGGAAUCCUCAUAGUGAAUUCCGCAGGAAACAGUGGUCCAGAACCUAGCACGGUCGCGAGUAUUGCGCCGUGGAUGUUCACUGUUGCUGCUAGUAAUACUAACCGUGCGUUUGUCACUAAAGUUGUUCUCGGAAACGGCAAGACAGUUGUGGUAAAGUACCAAGGGACAAAUCUUUGUUCCUCUCUUACGACAACAUAUUAUCAUACAUAUCUUGUCCUCUUUUAACAUUACUGCUUGUUGCUAAACAGGGAAGAUCGGUAAAUUCGUUCGAUCUUAACGGAAAGAAGUACCCUCUAGUAUACGGGAAAUCAGCUUCAAGUAGUUGUGGUGCUGCUUCCGCCGGGUAACUUCCAUCACAAGAAACAUUAUUUUGCAUCUAUUAUGCUCUUCACAUGAGGGUUUAAACGGUGAUUUUCGUUUUCAGGUUUUGCUCACCAGGGUGCCUAGAUAGUAAACGUGUGAAAGGAAAGAUUGUUUUAUGUGAUUCCCCGCAAAAUCCCGAUGAAGCUCAAGCUAUGGGAGCCAUUGCAUCUAUUGUUAGGAGCCACCGUACAGACGUGGCAAGUAUCUUCUCUUUUCCAGUCUCUGUUCUAUUGGAAGACGACUAUAACACUGUUCUCUCGUAUAUGAACUCCACCAAGUAAUAUCCAUAACUCUGUCUUAUUAUAUUUCUUACAAAUACUCCAUCCUAAAGCUCAAACUUUUGUUUGCUUUGGCCAGGAAUCCCAAAGCGGCUGUUCUGAAAAGUGAGACAAUCUUUAACCAGAGAGCUCCCGUCGUGGCUUCCUACUUUUCUCGUGGCCCAAACACAAUCAUUCCUGACAUAUUGAAGGUAUAUAUAGAAAAGGAGAAAAAUUAAAUUACUCUGUAAAUUUGACUGAAAGUGAAUAUGUAUUGCAGCCGGAUAUAACGGCACCAGGAUCAGAGAUCGUAGCUGCUUAUUCUCCUGAUGCCCCACCAAGCAUAUCAGAUACAAGACGUGUAAAGUACUCCGUUGAUACCGGAACUUCAAUGUCUUGUCCGCAUGUUGCUGGUGUAGCUGCCUACUUAAAAUCGUUUCACCCACGCUGGUCUCCCUCCAUGAUCCAAUCAGCCAUCAUGACUACCGGUAUGCAAAAUCAUAUCCACUCUGUUUUCUGAAUAUUCUCAUCAUUUUUUUUACUCACAACAUAACUUUCUUGUAUUGCAAGAAAACUUAUAAUACUCUGUUUUUUGGUGUUUUUUGUAGCUUGGCCAAUGAAUGCAUCUACUUCUCCAUUUAACGAGUUGGCCGAGUUUGCUUACGGAGCUGGCCAUGUCGAUCCCAUAACUGCAAUUCAUCCUGGACUAGUCUAUGAAGCUAAUAAAUCCGACCACAUCGCCUUUCUCUGCGGCUUGAACUACACUGCAAAGAACUUAAGACUCAUCUCCGGUGAUAGCAGCAGUUGCACAAAAGAACAGACUAAAUCGCUACCCCGAAACUUAAACUAUCCUUCGAUGACUGCUCAAGUAUCGGCGGCAAAACCAUUCAAAGUGAUUUUCCGUAGAACAGUCACUAACGUCGGUAGGCCUAACGCUACAUACAAAGCAAAGGUAGUCGGUUCUAAACUCAAAGUCAAGGUUGUUCCGGCAGUCUUGUCUUUAAAGUCAUUGUACGAGAAGAAGUCCUUCACGGUAACAGCUUCCGGCGCCGGUCCCAAAGCUGAAAAUCUUGUCUCCGCACAGCUGAUCUGGUCUGAUGGUGUCCACUUUGUGAGAAGCCCCAUUGUUGUUUAUGCUACGAACUGAUGAGUCUGAACCAGUUAAUGUUUCUAUCUGUUCAUGCUAUAUGUUUGUUGUUGUUUUUAUUUUUUCCUCCAUCACUUUAGUUCUAAACAUCAAAUCUAGUUAUUUUUGCUGUUCUUGUAGAAAACCUUGUUGUUUUAAAUUUCGAAAUGGUCAUGAGAGUUUUGAUUUAAUUUGGAGAAUGAUCGAUGUACUUGUUUUCUUAAAUAAAAGAUAUUGAUUAGAAUCACAUUCUACUCUUAAAAUUAGGUAUAUGUAACGCUAAUUAAGGUUUUGAGUUUUGUAGCAUAUCUAUUGUUUUUUAUACCACUUUAGAUCAGAACCUUACAAGAGUUGAAAUACAAAGGGUAAAUACAUAUGUUGGCAAGGAAAACAAUCCUUCCAAGAACUAAGCCGGCGAGCACAAGACAUCUCCCGGGGACUAAGACAGAUCUAAUGGGGAAAAAACCCAAAUUAAAGAACAACAAUGAUACUAAACCUAAACUUUCAAGAUUCAUUACUAAAAAAACUCAAAACUGAAAAGCAAAGUCUAAAUCCAAAUUUUUUAAAUUAAAACAGAUCUGAAACUAUAGAUCUAUCCAAAGGAAAUAAAACCAAGACUCUCCUUACCAUAAACGGCGCUGAGACAUCAAUCAACAUCCCGGGACCCAAAAGACAAAGUCUCAAGAAGAAAGGAAGGAGAUCUAGAUCUUCAAUGGAGAGAGAUCUGCAUCUGAGGCGUUGAAGGAUAGAAAAAAACCUGCCUCUGCCAUAGUUGGAACGGCCAGAAUUGAAACUGCAGACGAAGGAGACAAACAAGCAACAAAACCGGAAGAGGAAAAGAUUUAGACUUUACAGAUUUAGAUCUGAGAAUUUAGAAAAGAAACCGUUAGAAGAAAAUAGGAUUCAGAUCACAUUAAACCCACAAGAAAUCGAAACUAGAGACACUAAAACAAAGAAAUCCGGUUCCGGUGCUGAAAAAGCCACCGGAACCGGUAACCCUAGGCGGCGGCGGAGCUUUGUAGAGAGAAAAAAAAAAUUUGUUUUAAGAGAGAGAAGGAGUUGUCGUCAGUAUGUUUUCAUUUCUAUUGCAGUCAAAAAAAAUAAAAAAAAAUUCAUUUCUAUUCAUCCAUAUAAAUAAAAACCGGUGGUGUUGGUUUAGGUGAUCUAUAGUUUUAUUAAUCAAUGUGAACAUAUAUUUUAAUUAUUUCAUGAAAAUAAAAAUGAAUACAAAUUCUACCUUAUGGAGUCUGAAACAUACGUUGGACCCAUAGUAGAAUUCGUUUUCUACCUUACACAUUCCACUAGAUCAACCGGUACUAAGAAUCUUCCAAACAUGGCCAUUGGAAUCUAAAGCGACAACGACCUUGUUGCAGAAAAAGUCGUCAAUCUAAGUACAAUCGCUAAUACAUUUUGACUUUUUCUUUUGAUGGUCAUUUUCGCAAUUUCUUCAUUUUCCCAACCAGUUCUGGCCACCUACACUUAUUUCUUGGAAAAUUAUUUGUUUUUCAAUCGGUAUGUAUAUAGAAGCUAAUAUAAUAUCAUCAAAAAUGAAACGACAUUAAAAAUUGUUAUAGGAGUUAUUUGAUACAGUUCUUAGUUACUUUGCUCUGUAGAAAGUAUAGAUACAUCGCCUGUAAAAUCAACUAAAACAAAUAUAAUCGCGUGGAGAAUAUUUCGUUCAUGUAAGGUCAAAUGAUAAACCUCUGCCAUAAUUAACCAAAUUUCAGAAUAUACAUUCCCAUAGUUUUUCAAUUGCCCAAGUAAUACUCAUUUCUCUAGUCAUAAUAAAGUUAAACUAUAAAUAAAUCCAUUUCUGGUGAAGUUAGUCGAUUUUAGUGGUUUAUUAAGAAGAAUAAACCGUUUUUAAUUUAUUUAUAAACGAGAAUUAAUAUCAAGUCAAAGAAGGUUAUUUAUUUAUCAAGUUUUUUCUUUGUCAACGAUAAUAAAUAUCAAGUCAAAAGAGGUUCUUUCUAUUUAAUGUUUUUUUUGUAAAUAUUUUAAUAUGUUUGCUGUAUUCAUGAACAACAAUACAACAAAAAAAGAUAAUGCAAAUAUUAGCAGGAAAGAAAAACGGUAGUAAAUUAAAUGGUAUAUUCAAAACCAUUAAUAUAACUAGAGGAACAAAUCUUAAAGGACUUUGAUGCGUUUUUAGAUCAUGUACAUAAUCUUAAAGGACUAUAAAUAAUCGUUUCAUCCUCAUUCUUAUAAAAUUUGAUAAUAACUAAAUAAAGUAAACCAAUAAAAAAUGGCAACUGCUGUCUCCUAUUGUCUCCUCUCAUGUAUCUUUGCCUUGCUUGUUGUGAGUUUCGCUUCAGCAGGCAAAGAUGAUCAAGACAAACAGGUAAUUGCACAAAUCAUUCUUUGUUAUUGAUUAUUAUGAUCAUUUCAUGGUUCUAAUUAUAUGAAUAAUGACUAACCAUAACCAUGAUGAUGAUACUUGUAGGUGUAUAUAGUAUACAUGGGUGCACUUCCUUCUCGUGUUGACUACAUGCCAAUGUCCCAUCACACUAGUAUUCUUCAAGAUGUCACCGGAGAGAGGUGCAAUUUUGUAGAUCAGUGCUAAUGUGAUUAUUUGUAUAUGGUUUCAUGUCUAUAUAUCGAUCAAGAAUUCAUAGAACCUCUAACAAAUGUAUCUCUUUUUUUGUAGUUCGAUCCAGGAUCGUUUGGUUAGGAAUUAUAAAAGGAGUUUCAACGGAUUCGCAGCCCGGCUUACCGAAUCAGAAAGAGAGAUACUAGCUAGUAAGUGAACUAUUAAAUGGAGAAAUUUUUUAAAAUACUUAACAAAUCUCAAAGUACAUUUCUUCGCUCUAUGAAAUAAUUAAUUAACUCUAUGUAUUGUGAUUGUUUUGCUAUUUGUUAGGUAUGGACGAAGUUGUGUCUGUGUUUCCUAGCAAGAAUCUAAAUCUCCAAACAACAACGUCAUGGAAUUUCAUGGGCCUCAAGGAAGGCAAACGUACAAAGCGAAACCCUCUCAUAGAGAGCGAUACAAUCAUCGGUGUCAUUGACAGUGGAAUCUACCCUGAAUCGGACAGCUUCAGCGGCAAAGGCUUUGGUCCUCCUCCUAAAAAAUGGAAAGGUGUUUGCAAAGGCGGCACAAACUUCACUUGCAACAAGUAUAAAACCCUUCAAAGUUAUAAUACUGGUGUAAGGAUUUGUCAUUUUGUAGUUGAAAUGAAUGUGAACGAUCUGUUUGUUGUAUAUCAGCAAGCUUAUUGGAGCACGGUACUACACACCCAAACUAGAGGGGUUUCCUGAGUCCGCAAGGGACAACACGGGACAUGGCUCGCACACAGCAUCCAUAGCGGCUGGAAACGCUGUGAAGCAUGUGAGCUUUUACGGGCUCGGUAAUGGAACUGUGAGAGGUGGCGUUCCAGCUGCAAGAAUAGCGGUUUAUAAAGUAUGUGACCCUGGUGUCAUAAGGUGCACAUCUGAUGGAAUUCUAGCCGCAUUUGAUGAUGCCAUAGCGGAUAAGGUGGACAUCAUUACCGUAUCCCUCGGUGCGGAUGCAGUUGGUACAUUUGAGGAGGACACGCUUGCGAUUGGGGCUUUCCAUGCCAUGGCCAAGGGAAUCCUCACUGUGAAUGGCGCAGGAAACAAUGGUCCAGAACGUAGAACAAUCGUGAGUAUGGCGCCGUGGCUCUUCACUGUUGCUGCUAGUAAUAUGAAUCGUGCGUUCAUCACCAAAGUUGUUCUCGGAAACGGCAAGACAAUUGUGGUGAGUACCAAGAAACAAAUCUUUGUUACUUUAAGACAACACAUUAUCGUACAUAUCUUGUCCUCUAUCAAUAUUACUGCUUGUUGCGAAACAGGGAAGAUCAGUAAAUUCGUUUGAUCUUAACGGAAAGAAGUACCCUCUAGUAUACGGAAAGUCAGCUUCAAGUAGAUGCGAUGCUUCUUCAGCCGGGUAACUUCAAUCCCAAGAAACAUUUUCUUUGUAUCUAUUAUGCUCUUCACAUGAGGGUUUAAAGGGUGAUUUCGGUAUCAGGUUUUGCUCACCAGGGUGUCUAGACAGUAAACGUGUGAAAGGUAAGAUUGUGUUAUGUGAUACCCAGCGAAAUCCCGGAGAAGCUCAAGCUAUGGGAGCCGUCGCAUCCAUUGUUAGGAACCCCUAUGAAGACGCGGCUAGUGUCUUCUCAUUUCCAGUCUCUGUUCUAUCGGAAGAUGACUAUAAUAUUGUCCUCUCAUAUGUGAACUCCACAAAGUACUUAGCAACUUUCUCUGUUUUAUUAUAUUUCUUACAAAAACUCACAUCUUAAAGCUCAAAACGUUUUUUUUUGUUUUGGCUAGAAACCCCAAAGCAGCUGUUCUGAAAAGUGAGACAAUCUUUAACCAGAAAGCUCCUGUCGUGGCUUCCUACUCUUCUCGUGGCCCAAACCCACUCAUUCAUGAUAUUUUGAAGGUAUAUACAGAAAAGCAGAAAAAUUAAAUUACUCGUAUUGGUCAUUCUAACAAUUCUGCGUUGGAUUGAAUGUGAAUUGGUAUUACAGCCGGAUAUAACAGCGCCAGGAUCAGAGAUUCUUGCUGCUUAUUCUCCUUAUGUCCCACCAAGCGAAUCAGAUACAAGACAUGUAAAGUACACAGUUAUUAGCGGAACUUCAAUGUCUUGUCCCCACGUUGCUGGUGUAGCCGCCUACAUAAAAACGUUUCACCCACUCUGGUCUCCUUCCAUGAUCCAAUCUGCCAUCAUGACUACCGGUAAGCAAAAACAAAUCCACUCUGUUUCGAGCAUACUCUUUUUUUUCUCACUCACAACAUAACUUUCUUGUAUUGCAAGGAAACUUAUAAUACUCUUUUUUUUUUUUUGGUGUUUCUUGUAGCUUGGCCAAUGAAUGCAUCUACUUCUCCGUCUAACGAGUUGGCCGAAUUUGCUUACGGAGCGGGCCAUGUCGAUCCCAUAGCAGCAAUUCAUCCUGGACUAGUAUAUGAAGCUAAUAAAUCCGACCAUAUCACCUUUCUCUGCGGCUUCAACUACACUGGAAAGAAGUUAAGACUCAUCUCUGGUGAUAGCAGCAGUUGCACUAAAGAACAGACUAAAUCGCUAACACGAAACUUAAACUACCCUUCGAUGUCUGCUCAAGUAUCAGGAACAAAACCCUUCAAAGUGACUUUCCGUAGAACAGUCACUAACGUCGGUAGACCUAACGCUACAUACAAAGCAAAGGUAGUCGGAUCUAAACUCAAAGUCAAGGUUGUUCCGGCAGUCUUGUCUUUAAAGUCAUUGUACGAGAAGAAGUCCUUCACGGUAACCGUUUCAGGCGCCGGUCCCAAAGCUGAAAAUCUUGUCUCGGCACAGCUGAUCUGGUCCGAUGGUGUCCACUUUGUGAGAAGCCCCAUUGUUGUUUAUGCUUAAAACUGAUGAAUCAGAACCAGUUAAUGUUUCUAUAUGUUAUCGUCAAUUAUUACUUUUAAACCCUUGUUCGUUAGUUUUGAUGUUUCUGGUUCCUACACUCAUUUUAGUUAUAAACAUAAAAUCUAAGUAUUUGCCAGUUCUAAUUAAAACCUUGUUGGUUCUAAAUGGUUCUGAGAGUUUUGAUUUAAUUUGGAGAAUGAUCACAUAUAUUACUACUUGUUUACUUAAAGAAAUAGGAUAUUAGAAUCACGUUCAUAGUAUUUUUGUUCUACUCUUAAAAUUUUACGAUUUUGUCUUCUCCUUAAUUAGGUAUAUUAUAAUUUCUAAAAAUUCGUUCCCACCCCUAACCACGGUGAUAUUCCAUGAUCGAGCCAAGAAAGUAGAAAAUCGGUCCAAACAACAAAGCCACUGGUGAAAGAGUGUUUUGGAACUGAACCAGAAAGCCACACAGUAAUAACGUGCAGUAAAAAAAUAAUCUAUUGAUAAUAAAUUAAUUGAUUUAUCUUUCUUCUUGUUAAACAAUUUUCAAUAAUGGCUAAUUAACGGUUUUUUGGUAAGUGUUUUUAUAUGGAAACAAAUACAGUAAGGUUGUAGUUUGAAUACGAAAAUUAAAAAAAAAAAAAAAGAGGAAAUCAAAUAAAGGAUUAAUUUUCUUAUUCAAAGUACAUAAAUUUGUUUCCAUAUGAAGCAUAUAACAAUUGUAUAUAUAUAUAACCAGAAAAUCAUUAGACAGAGCUCAAGUAAAAUAAAAAGCAAUCAAGUUGUGUUAGUUGAAAGAGAAAUAAGAAGAGAUGUCUCGCUAUCCUCCAUGUUGGUCUGGCUCUUGCGAAGAUCCAGAGUGUUGUGCUAUAGGUAUGCUUUCCAUUCUUUUUUUUUUGUUGAAGUGAAAUCUUCAAAUUCUCAAUUUCUUUCAUUUUUAAUAAUACUAUAUUACUAUUUUUAAAACAAAUAAUUUUCCAGGAAAGAAGUAUAGGUGGCCAGAACUGGUUGGGAAAAAUGGACAAUUGGCGAAAAUGACGAUCGAAAGAGAAAAUCCUAAUGUGUUAGCGAUUGUCCUUCGAUAUGGAGAAAAGCGGAUUGAAAACUUUUGCUGCAACAGGGUCUUUGUUUAUUUAGGUUCCAACGGCCAAGUUGCAGAUGCUCCUAUGAUCGGUUGAUCCUUUUAAAACAUUAUAGCGUCUCUUUAUGUUAUACCAUUGUUGGUAGUAAUACAAACAAUCGUCAAUAACAUAUCUCGGCAUUUAAUAUUAACCUAUUAUUCUUUUGGGUAAAAUGAAAAAUUUCCUUAAAUAUAUAGAUAUAUAAAGUAAAGACAAUGUUUUUUCAAUAAUAAUAAAAAAAGAUAAACAAAUAUACAAUUCAUCAUUCGUCACACAAAUAAAGUCCUGGAAACACCAUUUUGUCUUGUACAUUGUAAGAGCUGUCAAAAUGGACGGGCGGCCCGUGUCCAAUGCUUAAUGGACUGGUCAUGGACAAACCCAUUAUGAAGCGGGCAUUAAUGGUCAUGGUCAUUAACGGACAUGGGCUUUAGCGGACUGGACGUGAUGGACAUGAACGAUCCAAUAGUCAUAAAAUAUUAGGUUAAGUGAUUUGUAGCAAAACAGAAAAACACUAAUCAUCGAAAAACAUUUCAAAGUGUUAGAUUUUUGACUUUUGGAUUGAUUGAUACUUAAAUCAUUUAAUACUUUGUUGUUUAAAUUUGCUUUUAGAUUGAUAAUUUCAAAGUGUUAGACUUUUGACUUUUGUAUUGAUUAAAAUAUGAAGCAAAUACUAUUGUGUUAAAAUUUGAUUCUGUUAUGUCAUGUCCACUGAACAACCCAUUUGGACAUGAGCGUUAAUGGACAUGGGUCUUAGUGGACAUGACCUUCAUUUGUCCAAUAUCAAAAUAGACAUUAAUGGAUUGGGCUUAUGGGCAUGGACAACCCGCUUUGACAGCUCUAUACAUUGUCAUUACCUCUCUAGAAGAUAUAUAUCUUGUCUUCCAAAUUUGCUUCUCAAUUUUCAUGCCACGGUCAUUACUGUUCAUGCUUUGUUAUUGUUUAUGAUCGUUCCUCACCUACAUUUGUUCUAAACAUCUAGUUAGAUUCUUCGAGUGUUCUUUGCAUUAAUUUUCCGGUGCUAACUAAAACCAUGUUGGCGCUAAAUAUCAAAAGAGUCACGAGAAUGAUCAUCAAAGGAGUUUUAUACUAAAUUAUACGCGCUAAAACAUUAUACUAAAUUUUCAUAGAACGGUCACAACGUUGGUAUGGCUUAUGCCUAACACUAUCUUCAAAGCGAAUAUUAGUCAGAUCAAUACUCAACGUCAAAGUUUUUCCAGAUGUCUUGUUUCUGAAGUCGAUGCACAAAGAUGAGUCUUUCACACGCUUAUUAUUCCAAGCAGAAGAUUAUUAGAGAGUUUUGAUUAAAUUUGGAGAAUAAUCAAAAAUUAAAUAUCUGGAUGAUGAGCAUCUUAAAACGGUUAUUUUUUGGAAGUUCACUACCGAGGAUGAAUCAUCGCGUAAUAUUGGAAAAUAACCAUAUGCGAUAAUUCAUCCUCGGUUGUUCACAUAACGUUCUUGUAUUGCAAGAGAGGAUUUUAUCAAAACAUAACUUUUUGUAUUGCAAGAAAGGUGUGAUCAUACUCUGUUUUUUUUGGAGGUCUCUUGUAGCUUGGCCAAUGAACACAUCUACUUCUCCGUUCGAUCAUAUGACCGAGUUUGCUUAUGGAGGUGGCCACGUCAGUCCAAUAACUUGUCUAUGAAGUUACUAAAUCCGACCAUAUCACUUUCCUUUGCGGCUUGAAUUACACAACAAAGAGUUUAAGACUCAUUUCGGGUGUAAACAGGAGUGGCAGUGAUGAACAAAGCCAAUCAAUAGCAAGAAACCUCAACUACCCAUCCAUGAACGGCCAUGAUUAUUGGGCUUUCUAAGCCUAUUCUAACUUCCCAUUAGUUUGAUAUUGUCUUUGCACAAAUUUGUUUGGAUACCUUCCCAAAAGGCUCCAGUAGGAGUUAGACCUUACUUUUUUUCUAAUAUUCUAAUGUGGGUCGUUGGUUUGUAUCCCAACAACGACACCAAACCAUUCAACCUGACUUUUGGUAGAAUAGUCACAAACGUCGGUAUGACAAUCGACUUACAAAGCCAAAGUACUCUGAUCAAAACUCACCAUCUGGUUGUUUCAGAUUUCUUGUCACUUAAGUCUAUGUACUAGAAGAGGUCUUUCACGGUUACGGUUUCAGGCCAAGGUCCCGAAGCUGACAAACUUGCAUCGUCACAUUUUAUAUGGUCUGAUGGAGUCCAUUCUGUGAAAUCCUAUCGUUAUAUAUGCUAGGAACUAAUGUGUCAAAAUCAGUUCAUAUCUCUCUAUAAUUUAUGAUUCAUUUUGAUUAUAAUGUUCUCGUUUGCUCUCCAUCUCCUUUAGAUUUUAAAGAAAUAGCAUCAUAUCUCACUAAACUAAAAAACGCGACGUUUUAACAAACGAAGCACCAUAAAACGGUGUCGUUUGUACGUUUAACACUACCGUUGUGUGUUUUAUGUUAUUGUGUGAUACAGAGGAAAGGCGACGAUUCAAAGUUCACGCCUUUGAGAGAUGACAGCCAUUCGCGUCUGCUCGCGAAAGUUCCCAACUUUCGCUUCGAUUUUCUUCCAAAACAUUACAAGGAAUCCGUCAAUUCAUCGAAUUUCAUUCUCGAAUUUAAAACCCAAAACGCUACUUCACCCAAUUCCGCCGAAACCCUUCACUGUCUUUGUUUCUCGGUUCCAUGACGGGAGACCAAGAGGUCCUCUCUGGAGAGGUAAGAAACUGAUCGGAAAAGAAGCCCUUUUCGUGAUUCUGGGUCUCAAGAGAUUGAAAGAAGACGACGAGAAGCUGGACAAGUUUAUAAAAACCCAUGUUUUCAGAUUGUUGAAAUUAGACAUGUUAGCUGUUAUCGGUGAGCUUGAACGACAAGAAGAGACUGCGUUAGCCAUCAAGGUGCGUUCUUUACGUGACAAUUUCUUCUGGGUCUUUCAGCUUAUGUCUCGCUUCAGCUCAUCUUUAGUUUGAUCUCAUGUGCUCAUGAAGUGUUCGACGAAAUGCCUGAACGGAGCUAACAUUAGGGUAGUUAUAUUGUUUAAGUUUUAGACCAUCCUUUAUAGAUCAUAUACGUAUAUUCUUAUGGUUUUGUGUCGUUUUUGUUGUGUUGUUGAUGAUUGGUUUCUUCAACUUAUAGAUGUUUGAGGUGAUCCAGAAACAAGAAUGGUACCAACCUGAUGUGUUUAUGUACAAGGACCUUAUAGUAUCCUUAGCAAAGAGUAAAAGAAUGGAUGAAGCAAUGGCGUUGUGGGAGAAAAUGAAGAAAGAAAACCUCUUUCCUGAUUCUCAGACUUAUACUGAGGUUAUCAGAGGAUUUCUUCGAGACGGAUGUCCAGCUGAUGCUAUGAAUGUGUAUGAAGACAUGUUGAAAUCUCCAGAUCCGCCGGAAGAGUUGCCGUUUAGGGUUUUGUUGAAGGGGCUUCUGCCGCAUCCGCUUCUUAGAAACAAAGUGAAGAAGGAUUUCGAAGAGUUGUUCCCUGAGAAACAUGCUUAUGAUCCACCAGAAGAGAUAUUUGGUAGAUGCUGAGGUUUGUAUGCACAUAACUUUACUCUUCUAUCUCAGACUUCAAGUGUUUCUUCAAACUGUUCUUUAUGAAUAGUGUUUCUCUCCACUUAUGAAGUCUUAGUCUUUUGGCAAUUUAGAUGUUUGCGACUGUUAUUCAUCAAUGACUUGUGUGCAUUGUGCAGGGGAAGUCUAUCUUGAUCAAGAUCCAGAAUGUGUGAUCCUGAAGAAGUAUCAGUAGAUCUGAGCAAGUGGCGAAACAAAAGACUUAGUUAGUUAGACGAACCCAGAUGAUGUAGCGACUUCUAUUCCUUGUUAUGAUGCUUCAUGAUAUUAGGCAGAGACCGAAAUUUUGUGAAUGCAUCAUCUUUAUGAAGUGACUUCUAUUCCUCGUUCUGAUGCUUCAUAAUAUUAGUCAAAGACCUAACUUUGUGAAUCUAUCAUCUUUUGAGUAAAGAAGAUUCUAAGUUGACAACUUUUCUACUUUUUCCACAUUUCUUUGGCCUCUCAUGUUGUCGAAGGGCUCUUCUUUUAUCAUUCUUACUUCAUGAACAACUUAAUAGAAGUUUAUAAUCGUCCUUGUGGGCGUGCCGGAGUGGUUAUCGGGCAUGACUAGAAAUCAUGUGGGCUUUGCCCGCGCAGGUUCGAAUCCUGCCGCUCACGUUUUUGUGUUUCAAUAUGAUAAUCAUUGACCCCCAAAAGAUGAAGACAUCCCCAUUUGAGUGCUCUUUAAAUAUACAUGACCAAAUCCAUUCGAGUAUUUGGAAUAUUAUCUGGUCAUUUUAUUAAUGUAUUAUACCAUUAUGUUAUCAUCCACUUGACGAGACAAGAAGAACAUUUUUAGUUUGGGAUCAAUGAUAUUUGACCAUUCUUUAUUAAUGUGACAUUACUGGUGAAAUCUAUGAAAAUGAUGGUAAGAUCUUCCGCCAAAAUCUUCUUUUUGAAAAAACUGUUAAGACAACAGUGGAUUGAAAAAGCUCAAGUACAAUUGUGUUUGGCUCUUUGUGAUCAAGAAAGGUUGGAAUCCUAUAUUUUCUCUCUGAAUAUAUUUCUUUCGUAUGUAAAAUUGCAUCUAACAUAGUAAAAUCCAAAAAACCAAACCGAAUUAACUAAAUCAAAAUAGUGGUGGGGACUAAAUUUAAAAGCAGUUUUUUUGUUCUUUUGACUUCUCACAUUAUCAUAUUGUAGCAUUUUCUAUUUGUCUAUAUAUACACUCAUGAUCUUCUACAUUUUUCAUCAUCUUCUCUUUUCAUUUCCUUCUAAGUGAUUAGUUAAUAACACAUUUCUCUUAGUAAUGGAGGGUAAAGGAAGAGUUGGAUCAUCAUCGUCUUCUUCCUUCACAGCUCAACUCUUUGGCCCCAAGGAACCUUCCUCCUCUGCCAACUUCAACUCCAUUUUCCCUCCUUCCAAGGUUCGAUUAUUUCUCUAUAGUUUCUUCUGUUACUUUUUAUGAUGGAUUCUUGAAAUUCAUUCUUCCUUUCUCAUUUUUUUCGUGUUUUCAGGGAACAGCAAGAAACAUCCUAAGCUCCAAACAUGGGUCCCUAGGUCAGUGGAAAAGUCUUAAUUAAGCCUCAGAAAACUUGUCUCCCUUCUUGAAUCAAUAUGGUUCCUUUCACUUUAUAUUAAGCCAGGUUUUACUAGAAAAACGUUUUGAUUCAUCUCAAAAAACCUUCUAUCUCAUGCCAAGAACGGCUCAAAAAUUCUUCAUCUAAGAUUCACCGUUCUUUAGUCAAGAUUACUAUCCAAAUCCGGGUGGUCUAAUGGAUACAUUAUCUCCUUGGUUUUCGUGGUUUCUUCACAGAACAACGUAAAGAAGCUGGAACCUGCAAUCUAAGCUCAUCUCUUUACUACGGUGGUCAAGAUGUUUACUCUCACCCCACACACAACCAUACUUACCCUACAGUGAGUUAACAUAACUAUCAUUUUAUCAUCCACCCCUUCAUGUUACUUUGAUUGUUGAUUUUUUCAUAGAAGAGACAAAAUCUUUUGACUUUACAAAACGUUGAAUCAUUCAGAUUAACAAGGAUCAGAACAGAGAUAACAACGAUGCCAAUUCGUCUGACGCCUCUAGAGGAAACUGGUGGCAAGGUACUAUACAUACCCUAACCAAAUGAUGUUUGUUACAAUAUUCACGUCUUUGUUUGUUUUGCUUAUAACAUAUGCCUAAUCUUGAUAUUUUCGCAGGUUCACUAUAUUACUAGAAGCUUCUCUAAGUGCGUCUCUGUAGAAGAAUAUCAAGUUGAAACAGAACAAUAUUUGAUUGUUUGAACAUUUUGUUUGUUCUUAAAAAAACUGUUUCAAUGAUGUAUACUUGACUGUCUAAUGUUAAACCAAAGAUUAGAUCUCUGGCUACAGAACUAAUCGAAUCUGAAACCUCAAAUCCAUCAGACAAGAGAUUGUAGAAACCCAAAAAAGGGUUAAUAGAUAAAUGCGUAGAGCACAAGGAACACAUAGAUAAUAAGUGCAGAAGGAACAAGUACAACAAGAGGAACAAUAGCUGCAAGUGCAUGAAAGCUUCUCUUACAUUCCAAAGGUCCAAGUUUAAUCUGAACAAGAUCCACUAACGCCAUUGUCAAGAACCCACAUCCCAAAACCGACGCAACACACGAAGCAACAAUCCCAACCCUUAAAGCUGCCAAGUUCACACGCCCCUCUCCCGCGUUCAACACACGCGCCUCCUCCUCUAAACAGUUCCCGUUUGUUGUUGUUGUUGUUGUCCUAAUUGCUUGCUUGAGAGACAUAGCGAUGAGACUGGAGAAGAGGAAUAAACUGAAGGAGUAAACAUGGCUUGAUACUAGCCUCUCCGCUAAUGCGGGACCUUUUGCAGAGAUACAUCGGCGGAGAUGGUGGUUCUCGGAGGCUGAUGAGGAAACCGGGAAAGUGAUGUUUCCACUUGUGGUUAGGCCGAGGAAAAGAGCAAGCGAGAAGAGUGAAUUAACGUUCACGAUGCCGUCUAUAGCCGUGACGUGGAUUAGUGUAGUUGGGAGGAGUCGUCGCCGGAGAAAUUCCACGGCGCCAUUGGAGAUUGCCAUCAAAUCUGAAUCGUUAUAGCUCCUAGACAACAAUUUUGAUUGAGAGAGAUAGAAAUUUAGUAAUUCAUAUUUAGAGAAAGUUUAGCUUUUAGUUGUCAGUUUUCCGGAGACUGUGGGAAAAUGUGAGUAGCGUAGAAGCUAAGUAUUGCGUGACGUCUCCGAGGAAGAAAACGACGGACAGGUAAUGAUAGGAAACGUGAACCGCAAGGUAUCGAACCUUUUUUCUUUUUUGGGCUUUUGUAUCGAUACGUCGUCGUAGAGGUCAUAUUUUUUUUUGUCUUUUACCCAACAACACUAAUUAGAGAAUUUUAUAUAAUCUCUAUGAUUAGCUUUUCUAUAAUUUUGUAAAAUCUUCAUAUAAUCUUGUAAAAUCUGUCUAAAUAUAAUUACAAACUUUGUCAUUAAUUAUUUUUAUCUCUUAGAGGGUGAUUGACAUCGCACUGUCAAGACUUUAAAAGCAUUUGACAGUCCUUACAGCAUUUUUUCAUACAAUCAGACUGUUAUUUGUUUUUGCUCUUAUACAGUCUUAAAAGUCAGAUUUUUUUUUACUCUCUGUAACUUCAUUUUUAUCUAAAGCCAUGUAAUUGAGACUUUAAGUGGUGUUAAAGCUUUUGCAACAAUUAUUAUUAGAACAUAUCUCUAAAAUAUUGGAUAAUAUUUUCUCAUCUUCUAUAAAUACUAUUUUCACCAAAAUGAUAUUAUUAUUUUAGGCUUUCUUUAUAAAAAACGUAAGUAUUGAUUGUCAAAAAGUGUACUCUCCCAAAAUAUUCCACUACGAUUUUGUUAAUACGUAAGUUUUCAAAUUUUCCUAAUUCAUCUUCUUAAUUUGUGUGUUCAUAUACUAUUGUCUUCUUUGUGUUUGAGUGUUUUGGUUUUGUAUAUUUUUUUUUUAUGAUUAAAAUUCUAGUGAUUAUCAAUUUUUUUUCUUAUUACUAUCUAUACAUAUAUGCUUAGUUUAUGGGGAAUUCCCAAAAGAGUAAGGAAAAAGGUCAAUACAAACUGUGUCGUGAGGUUUUGAGGCUUGUGAUAAUCUAUGGUCAUUCUUCACGAUGGUUUAUCAUUGGUCUUUGUUUAUAUACAAAGUUAUGAUUCACAAUCGCUCACUUUUUAUGAUAUUUUCAUGAUUUUGUUUUGUGAAUAAAAGUGUAUAAAAUUAUAAACCAAUAAUACAAUAAUUUAAAUCAUUAACAAUCAUAGAUUCUUUUGUUUUUAGUUGAAUAUCACAAAAAAAUUGAUGACUUUAUUAAAUUAUGAAUCCAAUAACUUCAGAUUUAUUAAGACUUUAGAUUACUUUUUACAAAUCAAAAUUUAAUAACACUAAACUUUAAUAGAAUCUUAUAAAAUCUUAAUUGAAUAACAAAAGAUUUUUCAUAACAUUUCAAACCACUAAAAAUCUAUAUAAAUAACAAACCAAUAACACCUCCUUAAUUUUGGUUUUGAAACCUAAGUUACUAAAUCCUUAAUUACAUUUGUAUAAAUUCUUUUCAAAUUAUUAGAUUUAUUCUAAAUUAAAAUUAGAUAUUCUGUGUAAAUUAUUUAUUAUACCAACGCAAAGAAGAUUAGACGAAGAGGCAUGGAGUUGUAAUGUUGUAUCAUGCAAAUAAGGUAAAUACUAUAUAUAUAUUUAGGGGAUUAUAUAGUUGUCUUUCUUUUGAACAUCUAUUUAAGGGGAUUUUCUAAAUUCUAAUAUAACGAAUGUUUGUACUACACAAAAAAAUUUAACAAGUCAAAAGAUGAUGUACUUGUACUACAGUACAACACAUACAUUUAAGAAAUCACAAUAAAUACGAACCGAUUCUCUCUUAAAAAUUUUGUCUACAAGAAAAUCAAUCAUAAACCCUAUUAACAUUAGUAUCAUGGAUCAUGAUCACAUGCAUGACAUGCCACCACCAUCACCAUCAUCAUCAUCGAUGUCGAAUCAUACAACACCACACAUGAUGAUGAUGCACAUGACCUUCUUUUGGGGUAAGAACACGGAGGUUCUCUUCUCCGGAUGGCCCGGGACAAGCUCCGGCAUGUACGCUCUCUGUCUCAUUGUUAUAUUCCUCCUCGCCGUAAUUGCCGAGUGGCUCGCUCAUUCACCGAUCCUACGUGUCAGUGGCUCAACCAAUCGAGCCGCCGGGCUCGCUCAAACCGCUGUGUACACACUCAAGACUGGCCUUUCGUAUUUGGUGAUGCUCGCUGUUAUGUCCUUUAACGCAGGUGUUUUCAUCGUCGCUAUCGCCGGCUAUGGCGUUGGUUUCUUUCUCUUUGGGAGCACUACUUUCAAGAAACCCUCCGAUGACCAGAAAACCGCCGAGCUUCUUCCGCCGUCUUCAGGCUGCGUUUGUUGAACAAUUGAAAUUACUCUUUGUUUUUUUUUUUAUCAACAAAAUUACUCGUUGUGUUAUAAAGAACUUUUCUUUUGUGUGUGGUUUGGUUUUAAAUUUUGAUAUUUCGUUUUGGUUUAACUCGAUUAAUAGUGGAAGCUAAAUAUUUUCAAUUGAUUUUCUUAGGUUACAAAAAUUCACUAAAUUAAUUCCACAAUUUCUUGAAUAUUUUGUGACUUUUGGAUUUUUUUUAUGAAAUCACAAAAUUAAUUCCACAAUUUCAUUUGAAUUUUGAAGAAUAUGGCUAUCUUUUUCUUGCAUUAUUAUAGAUAAGUGUAUUUGACAAAUUUUGAACCACAAACUUAUGAUAACAAAUGCUGUCCAUAGAAGGUUCUUGUAACCAUCCACAAGUAUUUUCAUUGUAAAUACAUAUAUGGAGAAAAGAAGAACUAAAUUAUUGAUUUUCAUCGUAUGAUAUAUGCAUGUCUACUCAAUAUAUCUAAGACAAAAUAAACUGAUCAUUUAACUUUAAUUCAGUCACCUAUUUGAUUCACGGUCGGAUUGGAUUUCGAUCGGUUUAGAUUAUCAAACACUAUUUCUUUGUGUUUGAAAUCUAAUGAACCUUAUUUUCUUUUCUUUCAGGGUUGAAUUAUUCGACUCUUAGUUUGCUUUUACUUCUGAUGUCAUACAAACAAAUUCAAAAAACAGAAAGUAGCACGAAGAAUAAGAGCCGCCCAAAACAAAAGAUGUUCACGGACUAGGUGAACCAAUUAUAUGAAUUAGGGUUGGGCAAAAUAUUCGUUCGAUCCGCUUCGAUUCGGUAUUUGAUUUGAUUUGAUUCGAAAAAUCCGAAUAUCCGUAAGAUUUUGGACCAAAGUAAAUAGGAAAAUGUAGUAUUCGUAAAAACCGAAUCAAAUAACGAAUAUUGUUUUUUAAAAAAUCGAAUAUCCGCUUCGAUCCGUAUCUUUUUAUAUAUAUUAGAAAAUAUAGUUAUAUCUAUAUAUAGAUAUCAUAAAUAGUUUAUGUAUUGUUGUCAUUUUAUGUUUUUAUGUUAAAAUAUUUGUUUGUUCAUUUUUUUAAUGUUAUGUUUUGAUCAAUGGCAUCAAAAACUAUCGGGUUUUAGUUUUUGGAAUUAGUUUGAUAACAUUUUGUUGACCGAUGAUACCAACAACGGUUGUGUUUGGUAUUUAAAACUUAUUUUGAAAGCAUGUUUAAUAAAAACUUUGAAUAUCUGAUAUGGUUAUAUAGUAUACAGUUUUUUUUAAUAUUUAAAUGUAUCAAAGCGGAUAUCUGCAAAUAUCACAAAAAAUUCUGGAUAUUCGAAAUUCCGGAUAUCCGGAAAUUUUCGAAGCAAAGCAAAUCACAAAAUCAAGUAUUCGUUUAAAACAAAUCGAAUAACAAAUAUCACAAUUUUUCCGGAUAUCCGCUUCGUGCCCAGACCUAAUAUGAAUGACUGGUCCAUGCAUUAUCGAAUUACAUUAUACAUGUAUGUGCUCUCUUUUUAAUAGAAGUGAUAUUGCAAAAACUUAUAUUAGUUCCAAGCUUUCUAUAUAGAAAUUACGAAAUACAAUUAAAAAGAUAGACACCGUCGUUGACAAUAGAAUUAAUAAAUUAAGAUAUCUUGAGCUUAGCAAUAAUUUAUUAACGGUCAACCAAUAAACAAGUACUAGUAUAGUACGUACCAAGAGAACGGCAAGGUUCACGCCUUUUCUUUUCUUUGGAAAGUAAAUGAUUUGAGAGGACUAGUUGAUUUCUUUUAGAGGCUAAAAUGGUUAUAUAAACUUAUUAAACCGUUCUCUAAAUAUUCUAUAGUUCUACUAUGCUAACCAAGGUUCCAAAAAACAGUUUAGGCCGCCUGCCUAGGCGCUCAUGAACCACAAAGUUAUGAUAACAAAUGAUGUAUAUAAACUAUCGUCGAACGAUUUCUUGAACAUUGAUUCUAGGAAACCGCACAAAAGGAUUCGAAUUCAACAUGUGAUCUUCAUCUAACCGGUAGAGUUGGUUUAGUUUUGUUCGGAUACAUUUAAUCCGGUUUAGCUGAUCGUCAAUAAGAAGAACAACCAACAUAACUACAGAAGGCAUGUGUUACGCCUUGAGAGAACCAUUAAAGUGACUUGCGCAGCAAGAAAUUGUCUAUUUUCAGUCAUUAAGAAUAACCUUCACAGAUCAACUCACAAUCUACAACUUAUCAUUUGUUUCUUUAACAUUGAAAUGAACAGAAGAAGAAACCAUUGUACUAUUUUCUCAUGACUAUAUACAUGCCAUUUUUGGAACCUCUCUUCAAUAUUAAUUAUGUUAUUUUCAGGAGAACCAAGAAGUACUGGUCGACGAUGGAAUCUUUGAAUCAUGGUGCUUCUAAAAACAUAUAUAUAUAUAUAUAUAUAUAUAUAUAUAUAUAAGUAAAUAAAUAUCAAUCUAUAAUUAAAGAAAAACAGUAAAUUAAAUUAGUAAAAGAAGCUCUCAUAAUGAGCCGAAACAUUCACACUAUAUACUUUAAGGAUUUCUCAAGCUCGGGGUAAUACAAUUCUUGACUUAGUUUUAAAAUAAAUCAUAAAUUUGUAAAAGGACUUGGGACUUUUUUAUAUACGUUAGAAAACUAUUAUUUUGUAAUACUGUGAAAGUAGGAGCAAUAAAAGGUAACAAAAAAAAACAAUUAUGAAUAUAUAGUAAGAUAAAAUACCUUUAAUGCAAUAUAUUUCUUUUAAUUAUCACUAGGGCUCAAUUUAAAUAAAUCAUUUUGUAAAAAAAAUUUGGUUUCCAAAGAUUUGUUAACCUAACUUGUUCAAUUUAAGUACAAAGUAUACUGAAAAUAUGUUUCCUCUGUAUCUUAUGGAUCGAUGCCUCUGAUUCCACUUAGUUUGACAAUCGGCUAUCAUGAAUCCACAACCCAUUAAUCGCUUAAUCACAGAAGAUCAUGAUGAAGAUAAAGAUCCAGCGAAUAUAUGCAUGUUAAUCAAAAAUAUUUAUCUUAUUUUAUAUACUUAUGUAUUUUUUCAAAAGUAAUAAAUGAUCGUGAAUGUAGGUAUUUAACUUUUGAUGCAUAUUAAAUAGUUUAAAUAUUCAAAUUUCACGCAUACUGUUCUUUUUUCUAAAAAUUUGUUCUUUUUAUGAGUAUUUUUAGACAACCACUUAACUUCAUAUUAUAUGUAAUUUUUGUUUUUUUUUCAUACUAUAUUGUUUUUAUAGGUUAAAGAAUUUAAUAUUCAUUUCAAAAUUUUUAAAUCAUGGCGUAUACGAAAAAAUAUAUAUUUAUAUUAUAUAGAUGAUGUGAUGAAUUUAUAUGUUUUACGAGGCAAACGCCUUAUGCGCAAGGCGAAUUCAGAGACCAUUUGCGUCUAAUAUCGCCUCUUGCUAUAUCAAAGACAAUUCAGAGACCAUUCAGAGAUCCAUUGCGCUUGUCUACUAUAUCAAAUCAUUGUAUAGUGACUUCUUGUCACUGUUUCUAUGCAUAACAUUCAUUACUUUGAGUGAAUAUUAAAUGGUGAUAAUGACGAGCUCCAUGUGAAUCCCGACAUGGUUGGAACAAAAGAUGGUGGAUGAGAAGAGAGAUUGACUUAAGGAAGAGUUGCAUGAUGUCCACGUCAACAUCGAGCCUAUAAAGAGGAUAAAGAACACAACCACAAUAAUACUACAAAAUGUGAGUCUUUUUUUUCAGAAACUGUAGGACAAUGCUACUUAGGACAAUCUAUUAUGCAUAUGAAAGCUGGAACAUUUUCAAGACUGUCAUAUUUUCUACCGUGAGUGGAGCAGUUGGCAUGAUAAUGUCAAUUCCACCAGUUAUCUACAAAUUCUUACAUAAGCUGGAGCGGUACAUGAGGAAAAAUAUAAGAGGAAAAGGAUGCCCCGACGAGCGGAUUCCACGAGUGUAUGUUGAGUUAUCAACAGUGGCAGAUGCACAAUAUUGGCAAGGGAGAGGGUGAGAUGACCCCCAUAAAUCUUUGAAUUUUUGUUUAUAAUCUUAUGUUCCAUUUGAUUAUUGUGGUAAAUUGGUUGCUUUCUCAUAAAUUGACCUCAUGUCUAGUGCUCAAAUCUAUUCUUUGCACCUAUGGAAACCAUAUUAUAUUGUUUCAAUCAUUUCUUUUGCAUUAUAUUUUUAGAAAAUAUUAUUGAACUAUGACAAAAUAUGUUAAAAUGGAAUGAUAAAUAUACUGUAUAUUAUGAAUAAAGAACAAUAAUGAUUAUCUCUUAUUUUCUUUAUUUUUAAAGACAAUGAAUUUUAAUUUUUUAAGGAUUUUUUUUUUUGAAAUUAAAUAUUAUAUUUAAAUAUUUUAUUAAUUAUUAAAAUAAAAUAUGAUCCCUAUAACAAUUUUUUGUAGCUCAGCCACUGGUUAUUAAGCUUCUUUAGUGAAACACCUAAUGACUGAAGAUGAUUCGUCCUUCUCGAAGAAAAAGGGGAAGUAUCAAGAUGCUAGAGAUCUUGGCGUUUUUCUUGGGUUCGGAUCGGCACUCGCUGAUCCACACCCAUGAGUAGCUCAAAGAUUGACGGCGAUUUAUCCUCAAGUAAACAGAAAAACGAUGAAGAUCGGAGACCUUUCUCUUCCUGUGAUUAUCUCCGUGAAGACUACUCCUAUAAACAUAUAUAUUGACUCUUUCAAAUUUUGGUGGGUAUGCUGUGUUCGUCAUAGCUAUGACUAUCCUAUUUUGUUUUUCAUGUUUUUUGACAUCAUUUAGUUAAACGAGACCCUAAAAUUUAUUUGGAUGAUGCUUGGAAAAAGCUAUAAGAACCAUCUUCCUCGAUGAGCCACAAAAUUUUAACUGCAAUGAGCUUAUCAGCGUAUGUUCUUGUAUCUACAAUUGCUUAUUCUUCUUUCUUCCUGAAUGUUUAAUUUUCUUGACUCUUCUUGCAUCAUCCAGGCUGUUCAGAAAGCAUGGUGUUCAUGAAAGUCAUCAGGAGAAGCUCUUUACAAACUGAUCUUGGAGGAGUGUGAGAUAUAUAUCUCUGCAGCCAUACGAUCUUUAUAGAAUCGCAAUGUCAUGAUGAUCCCUCUGUUUUCCUGCCAUUCAUGGAGAAUUGUUGGCGCAAGUUGCAGUUUCUCUGUGACAUUGGUGGCCAAGGUCAGACAGUUGGUAAAAUCAUUGUGGGACUUGGGUGAGGAGCUUUUCCCCAAGAAUCUCUGACAAAGAUUUGCUACGAUUUUCCCAAGCAAUCUAUUAGGUAAGGAGCUUUUCCCCAAGCAUCUCUGAAGAAAUCUAUUGACAAGAUUUGCCUCUCUUGUUUCCUAGAAGACGCUUUGUUGGAGAAAACGGCCAAACAAUGUUUUAAGGAUCUUGAUUUGCCUAGGGAGGAAUAGAAACAGAGUCUCUUGACCUUGAGCAUAUUGAAAAGAUUCGAUUCGGCUAGGGCGUUUAUAUUAUGUCUGACCUUUUCUUAUGAUUGUUAGAAACGACUUAAUUAUGUACUCUACAUGGAAGUUCUAGUUGCUAUAUUAAAAAAAAAAUUGCAGAAAUUCUAAGGCGAUGUGUGUUUGUAUGUUGACGUAGCAAAAAUAUGCAAGACGUAGUAGAUGUUUUAUACACUAGCAUAACCUAUUUGUAUGUAACAUCUUGUAUGGUUAUAGAUUUGAACAUGGUUCAAUUCAUAUGAAACAGUUGGUCUUAAGAUUGUGGUACAUAUGUUGAGCCUUGUUCUUUGGAAGGAAGCCUUGUAGCUAUGGUCCGUAGUUCGUCCACGAUCUCAGUGAAGCUUGGCCUCUCUGAUGGUUCUGCAGACCAGCAUCUCUCCAUCAGCAAUUUCCAGUCCAUGUCACAGAAGUCGGGAAUUUGUGGCGGUAGCGUAUUACUAACUAUACCACCUGAUUUCACUUUUUGGUUAGAAUCGAAAACAAAGGAUACACGCCUGCACACAAGAAUUAUGGAUCAAGGGUUUCACCUAUAUGAUCGCUCCAUAGUGCAAGUCGGCGUAAGGUUCUUCACCGGUGAAAAGUUCCCUGUAGCAUCCAGAAUUCCAGAUAAAGGUAUCAGAUAGAGGGGAUAAUAACAUAAUAGAGACAAAUAACCAAGCUGAUUAUGAUUUUUAUACUAAUCACCAUCUUUACAGAAUUUCUCAAAUUCCAUCUUUGAUUCUCUUUUUACCUAUAUUCAACUUUAUAAAUUAGAAAAAUAUUACAGCAUAACAGAUGGAUUUUAAAAUUGAAUUAUUUAUUCAUAAACAACUUAAAAAUGUUCAUAACAAAGCUAUAUCGUUUUUUAAUUUCUUGAGUUCCCCAACUUCUUUUGGUGUGUUAGUUUAGUAAACUACGUAAAUACCAUUUUUACUUUAUUCUAUGUUUUUACUGUGAUUAUAAAUGUUAUACAUAUUGUUUAAAUCUAUAUAUAUACAUAUAAAAAGUACGACAAACAAAAGUACAUUAUAUAUAACAUAUUUAUUUAAAUAAAUUUUUGAAGUCUGAACAUAUUAACUUAAACUAGAUUUUAACCCGCGGUAUACCGCGGGACGAUUUAUUUUUAAAAAUAAUAUAUAUUAAAACUUGCAAAUUUUAUUUUUACAAAAUAUUUAUAUUUUACAGUUUAUAAUUGUUAUUAAGUAACGCUAUACCACGAAUUCCUGAGACAAUUGUUAAGAAACUGAAGUUUUGACCCCUAUUAAAAAAGCAUAUUAAUAAUAUUUUAAAAUUUUAUAAAUAUUGAUUCAAAUACAUCCACCAUAUAACCCAAUUCCAAAAUAAAACACGUUAUGUAAUUUUUUUACCCGUCCAGUGAUUUUUUUUUAAAGUAGUAAUUUUUAAAAUUUAAGAAUUAUUUUUUAUAUAUAAAAGUUUUGCAAAUUGUAUCAUUCUCUAAUACAUUUAUAUUUUAUAGUUUAAUUUUAUAUAUAGUAACAUUAUACAUACCACAUAACAUUUUUGGUUUUAUAUAAUUUUUUCUAAAUUAGGAUGAUUUGAUAUGUUUAAUAUUAGUGGUCUUAAAAAAUAAUAAAUUAAAGAUUUAACCCAUAUUGAAACGGUGGAUUAAUUAUAUUUUACUUUUUUAUUAAUGUUGAUUCAAAACCCUGUCCCUCCAAAUCCGUCUUGCCAAAAAGUCAUUUAUUUUAUUAAUAUUAAUUUUAUUAAUGAUAUGACUCUGAAUUAUAAUCUAAACAUUUUAACUAAUAACAUAGGAGUGCACCAUAUUUACUUAAUAGGGGAAUGUACCAUAUGACCCGAAUGCAUUUUUAUCCAAAUCCACCAAAAAAGUCUUGCAAAAAUACUAUAGAGAUAAGAAACGAUAGUCGGUUUUGAUAGAUAUAAGAUUAGCAAAUAUAUUAGUUAGCUUAAAUUAGUUAAAGAAUACAAAUUAAAAAAGUAUAUUACAAUUUAUUCAAAUAUAGUAUCAAAACUUAUAUAACACAGAGAUUUGAUAAAUUUUUAAUUGUUGAAUACUUUUUUUUGUGCUAAUUUUUAUGUGAUUAAGAUUUAAUUGAUUUCAUAUAUAAAAUAUUAAAUUGACUUAUUUGUUUAUAAUUUGAUAACAGAUAGAUAUUUGAAUAUUCAGUAUAUUUUGCUUCAGUUUAGGAAAUCUUUGAUGACCCGUCUUUAGAUCCAAUAAGCUCUAUAAUCUAGAGAUUAAUCUGCAGUAUACCGCAGGUAGGCUUAUAUUUUAGUUAAACUAAAAACUUUUAUUGUAAAGAUGAUUUAAAAAUAUAUGAUAUUAUUUUAUUUGAUUUUAAAUGUAUAGUAAACUGUGAGUUGUAUAUGUUUUGUUGAUAUUAUCUAUAUUGUUUAGUGUUUAAGAUUAUACACUUGUAGUUUGAUUGUUAAUUUAAGAGUUUUACAUGUAGUACACCAUCUUAUAUUAAUAUCGAUCUAAACCCGUCAAUUCUAUAAUUUUCCAGCUUGUAUUAAAAAUUGAAUCACAUCUAAUAUGUUAUUAACUAUUGUAGUAUAUAAAAUUAUAAAUUUUCAAUAUAAUAUGUAUGAAAUUAAAUAUAAAUAUUUUAAAUUUAUGUCCCGUUACUCAGUAGAAAGUUUUCUUAAAUCUAUUUUUCACCCGUUAUAAUAUUAUUUCAUGUAUUGAACAGUUUAUAUUCGUUUUUAAAAAUUCAAAUUAUGGCAUAUGCAAAAAAACUCUAAUUAUUUUUUUAUAAUGAUGAUAUUAUUUUUCCGUAAAAAUAGAAUCCUAUAAACAUGAGAAGUGAACUAUAAUAAUUAAUAAAAAAUUAAUAUGAUAAUUUAGAUACCAAAUAUAAUUUGUUGAUUUUAAUUGGUUACUUUUUUGGAAAUUAAUAAUGUAUUUCGUUUUUUUAAUUAAAUUAAAUUAAUUAAAAUUUAGAUAUCAAAUCUUAUAUGUUGAUUUUAAUUGGCUAUUAUUUUUGGAAAUUAAUAAUGUAUUUCGUUUUUUAAUUAAUUUCAUUAAUUAAAUUAGUAUUUGACUUUUUAAUCCUUAAAGAGAUAAAUUAAUUUACUCUUUAAAAUUUUAUUUCUAAUGGCAUACCUAUAUAAUUACUUACAAAAAUUAAGGUUACAUUUAAAAUGUACUUCCCAAAUAAUAUAGUAGGAUAUUUUCUACUUUUUCUUUAUUUUUAGUUUCUCGUCGUGCGAAUUGUCACGCACUAAAGCACAUUACAUUGUUACUACCUGAACUGAAAUUAUCGGACUCAGGUGGGACUUGUCAUUAGUUUAUCGUUUAAGCCCAAAAUAGUGCAUUCUCUUUAUAUUUAGUCUCUAUUGUUCAAAGCCUACCAAUAAUUUAAAAGUAAAGUAUUUUUAGUCCAACAAUAUUUGCAUCAAGUACUUUUAUUCCAACAAAAACAAUCUCCCAUUUCGCUCGCCGCUACUACAUGAAUCGCUUUUUAUUUUCGUCUAGUUUCACUUCUGUUCAAAAGGUUAAUCUAUUUGAGAAUCUCAAGAUAUCUACGCUUAUUUUCAACUCCUAUUCCUCAAAUUAGUCAUUCUCAAAGAUAUCUCAUGAUUAUUGUCUGAAUGAAUAAUUGUAGGAGUUAAAUCUUGAUAGAAUUAAAAAACUAUUAAAAAAAUCCAGAAUUUUGUAAUUUGUGGGAUUAAUAUAAAGUAUAUUGAACAUCUAAAUAAAAAAAAUAUAUGAGGAUUUGUUUUGGAAAAGUUUCCAAAAAUAAAAUGGAAAGCCAAAUAAAUUACCAUUUAAUGAAGCAAAAAUGUCUGCCAAGAUUUUUUGUUUAGUUUAGAUGGCGUGAGAUGAGAAUUUUUUUUUUGAUAAAGAAAAAUGUUUCGGGUAACGUGAGAUGAGAAUUGAUAUCUGAUUUCCCUUAUUUGUUCUAUACUUUUGCGACUUUUUAACUUGGAAACGGCCGUGUUGCACGAUUGGGUGAAAUUCCUGUCUCUUAGGGUUUCGUUUGUAUCUCCAUGAAGACUACUCCUGGUUUGAGGAUUUUCAAGCCCAUCAUCCCUCACACACGUACGUAUCAUCUCUUCCAAACUUUUUAUUUUGUAUUCGUAGCUAUCUGUCCUAAUUUUUUUUUUUUUUUUUGACGUCAUUUAGCUAAACCGGACUCUAGAAUUUAUGUGGAAGAUGCUUGGACAAUGCUAAAGCCAGCCAUAAGAGCCAUCUUCCUCGACGAGCCACAAGAUUUUGCAUGCAGUGGGCUUUUCAAUGUAUCUACACUUACUUAUUCUUCUUUCUUUCUCAAUGUUUUUCUUGCAUCUUUCUCAACGUUUUUCUUGAUUGGUCUUAGGCUGUUAAUAAAUCAUGGUGUGAAAAGUCUUCAGGAGAAGCCCUUUACAAGCUGAUCUUGGAGGAGUGUGAGAUAUACAUCUCUGCAGCCAUACAGUCUUUAGAAUCGCAAUGCGAUACGGAUCCCUCUCUUUUCCUCUCACUCUUGGAGAAGUGUUGGCUAGACUUUCGCCGCAAGUUACAGUUUCUCUGUAGCAUUGCCGGUGGUGAAGGUCAGACCGUCGGUCCACACUCAGUGUGGGACUUGGGUAGUGAGCUUUCUCCCAAGCAUCUCUUCUCAGCCCAGAAAGUUCGUGACAAGCUUCUUUCCAUCAUUCUACAACUCAUUAGAGAUCAAAGGUAAAUUUCUGUUACAUUAGGCUGGAUAAAUAUAAUGUUUUGUAUACAAUAGGUGUUGAUAGAUUUGGAUUUACUGAUAACUCUUUCGCCUUUUCAUUGUUACCACCAGAUCAUUCAUGUCUGUUGACAUGACUCAGCUAAAGAAUACCACCAGACCAGUCAUGUCUGUUCACAUGACUCAGCUAAACAAUCUUAGGGGUUUGUUUUAUGGACAGUCUCUCUACAAGUCGCCCUUCUUCAAGAAACCCUUUAUCGACUGCGCUGUUGAGUUUUACUCAGCAGAAGCAAUGCAGUUCAAGGAGCAGUCAGACAUUCCACUGUAUUUGAAACGUGUCGAGUAUGUGGCGUGAGGAGAAGAAAAAUUGCAGACACGGACUCUACUUCUUUAAAGAGUUUGAGGAAUCGUUGAUGGAAGCUGUUGAGAGAAUACUUCUCAAGGAUCAUGUUUCUGUCAUUCUUGAAAAGGUAGCUCUCUUUUCCCUUUGAUAUCUUUGAUUUCUUGUGAACAAUAGCUUUCUAAGCACUUGUGUGUUUGUAGGGUUUUGUCAAGUUUAUGGAUGAGAGAAGCCAUGAUGACCUUAGUAGGAUGUACUAUAUGUUCUCUGAGGCUGACUUACUUGGGCAUUUGAACGACGCUUUGAACUCUUACAUCCGGCAAACCGGGCAGAAGAUCUUAAAGGAAGACUCAUUAUCUUUGGAGGAGUUGAAGAACUCUGUUGACAAGAUUUGCCUUACUUGUUUCUCAGAAGAUGCUUCGUUGGAGAAGACAGCCAAACAAUGUUUUAAGGAUCUUGGUUUGGCUUGGGAGGAAACAAAAACAGAGUCUCUUGACCUUGACAAUGAUUGGAAAGAUUCCACAAUUUGGCUAGGGUGAUUAUAUUAUUAUGUCUGACCUCUUGUUAUGAUUGUUAUAAAAGACUUCAUCGUGUACUCGUCAUGGAAGUUGUGGUUGCUAUAAAACAAAUAAAAUUGCGGAGAUUCUGAGGCGAUGUGUGUUUAUAUGUUGACGCAGCGAAAAAAAUGCAAGAAGUAGUAGAUGAUUUAUAGACUAGCAUUACCUAUUUGCAUGUAACAUCUUGUAUGGUUAUAGAUUUGAACAUGGUUCAAUUCAUAUGAAACAGUUAGUCUUAAGAUUGUGGUCCCUGUGUUGAGCCUUGUUCUUUGGAAGGAAGCUUUGUAGCCAUGGUCCGUAGUUCGUUCACGAUCUCAGUGAAGCUUGGCCUCUCUGAUGGUUCUGCAGACCAACAUCUCUCCAUCAGCAAUUUCCAGUCCAUGUCACAAAAGUCGGGAAUCUGCGGCCGUAGCGUAUUACUAACUAUACCACCUGAUUUCAAUUUUUGGUUAGAAUAGAAAAUAAAGCAUACAAGCCCGCACACAAGAAUUAUGGAUCAAGGGUUUCACCUAUGAUCGCUCCAUAGUGCAAGUCGGCGUAAGGUUCUUCACCGGUGAAAAGUUCCCAGAGGACAAUUCCGAAUGAAAACACAUCGACCUGUAGCAUCCAGAUUAAGGUAUCAGAUAGAGGGGAUAAUAACAUAAUAGAGACAAAUAACCAAGCUGAUAAGAGCAGCUUAGUUUAGAAACCUUCUCAGAAACAAGGCUACUGGUUCCAUUUAGAAGCUCGGGUGCCAUCCAUGGAAGUGUUCCCCGAACACCACCUGAUAUUAAUGUCUGACAUUUCACCUUUGAGAGACCCAAAUCCCCAACCUGAAAUAAUCAAAAAUGUCUAUUAAGAACUUUAAAUGAGAGGUAAACAAAUUUGCAUUACAAUUUCAUAAUGUACAAUUCCUCCUCUAACACCAAAGAGCACCACUCUAUUCAAAACUAAUGCUAAACCUUAUGUAUGUCCAUAUUUCUCUACAGAAAAAAUCUAGACAUUUAUCUCAAAAUGCUUACAAUCCUCAAUACCAUGACUUGAUUCUCUACCGUUGUCCCUUAUGAUCAUGAAUCCCACAUUCCCAUGUUAGAGUUGGAUGCAGACAGAUAAAAAUAAACAAAAACUAUUACUUAGGAAAAACAGACAGAAAAAUAAAACUCAAGAGUAAGUUGACCUUGCAAAUUGGGCGAUGAGGAUCCCUGAGAUUGACGAGCAGGUUGUCACUUUUAAGAUCAAAGUGUACUAUCUUCUUUCCAUGCAAAUACUCCAUCCCAAAAGCAAUGUCCAUAGCGAUCAGUUGACGCUUGCACCUAUCAAAAUUCCUGUAAAAUAAACCAUAACAAUCAAAUGGCGUUAUUCUAAGCAUGAAUCUGAAGUGUCAACGUAGCACUGAGGAAUGUAUAAAAAAUACGAUACCUAACAUUCUUCUGCAACGCAUUUCGUAAAGAACCAUUGACCAUAUACUCUGUAACUGUUGCCACAGAACCUCCAGGUGAAUCCAGCACAACCCCAUAAAAAGCAACGACGUUAGGAUGGUGCAAGCCAGCUAGGUUCUGUGCCUCAUUCCAAAAGUCAUCGAUCUGAUAAUUUUUGCAUAUAAGAUAGAUGUCAUUAUGAACUAUUCAACAUAUGUCUAAAUAUUUUUUUAGGUUAUGCAUCAUCAGCUGUACAGAGACAAACCAUUCGUUCUUGCUCAGAUGGUUUGCCAGCAAAACAUCGAUCAUUGAUCCUUUUGAUUGCAACAUCAGUGCCUCGCCAUUUCCCAUGAUAAACUGUGCCAAAUGUGCCAGAUCCUAGUUCUCGCAAUUCCUCAAGGUCGCUGUCCUUUAUAAUCUAAUACGCAAAACAUAUGAUUAUACUCAUAAGAUAAUGAUCAUAAGUGAAUCAAGAACAAGAUGUCAAACCUGCAACUGAUCCAGCGAAUCAGAACCAGAAUAUCCGAAAUUCAGUCUUUCUAGAAGUUGGUUCCUGAUAUCCUGAGAAACAAUAACAAUAAUUCUGAGGCAAUAUGAAAUCUAAAGAAAUAAUGACAAGAAUAGUGAACAGUAUGCUAAGGACCUUGAAGUGUGUAGACUGCUGUUUCAUUUCAUCAUUACGUGAAACUUCUCCUUUCGAAUUAAAAGCAUACUCAUCCACCUUAAUUGGAGGUUCAUGAUAUGAAGGUGUGCUUGACUGUAACACAGAAGCGGCGACUCCUUCAGCAACAUUCUGAAGUUCUUGUUUGAUGUGCUCCUCCUCGGAGCCUUUCAGAGAGAACCAAAGACCAAUCAACAGAUCAUUCUCAAGGAUAACUACCAAAAAAAGUAGUAAUGGAGUCAUGUAUAACAUGUAAGUCAAUCUCACCUUUCGAAGAAUUAAGUAGAUCAGGUUUGACAUCCUCGUUUGAGUUAGUUUGCAAAUUCCAUGGGUCCUGGUUACUAAAAAGUGAUUUUGAUGAUUCUUUGUGGUCUGCACCACCAACACUAGAUGACAAGGAUGAUGGUAAAUUAGCAGCAUCAGGAUUUGAUGAUAAGGAUGAUGGUAAGUUUGCAGCAUCAAAUGUAGAUUCAACAACGUCAUAAGCGGGAUUGCUGGACUGCGCUUCCGCUGAAUCGAACUGCUGACCUCCAACCAAUGAUUGUAGAUACAAACCAGGAUUGCCUAAUAAGGGAGACUGUGUUGGCACACAUGAUUCCUUAGGCUGAGAUUCAUGGCCUGGAAGAACUACUCUUGUUAGCCUCUUAGCUGAAUCAGUGUGAUCUAUGUUUGGACUUACUGGAGACUGACCAGAGGUGUCAUGUAAGAACAUAUUCUUCCUUGCCAUUUGUUGAGAACUGGUACCCAUAAUAUCUUCUUUCCCAAUUUUGUCAACUGGUGAGAUGAAAUUCUGACAAUUGCUAUAUAUUUCAGGAGCAUGUAUGUUAACAUUAUCCACCAAUCCACUUAGUUCUCGGCAUUGUGCAUAUGCUACUGAAGGGUCUACGGGAUGUUGCUGCUGCCUAGUUACUUGAACUUUUAUCGGAACAUCUCUUACUAUCUCAUUGACAAAAGGUUCAGUAGUCUCGACCUGAGCAGUGGCAAGAUUGGCGUUAUGUAAAGUAUCUCUUUCUUGAUGAUUUGAAUGAUUGAGGAAGCUUUGUUGACCCGUAAACUUAUCCGUUUGUUGGAUUCUCAUGAUAUCAUCUGGACGAGAAGCAUAGAAAGCUGAGCUCACAUAUGGCACAUACAUUGUAGAACCAUCAUUUCCCUCCCGCAUAAUCGGAUCAGAAUGCAUAUGAGGAAAAGAUGUCUGGCACAUAUGACAAUCAUUUACCCUUUGAAAACUUUCAGCCAUAGUUACUUGUUGAUAGAAACUUCCAUCGGGGAGAACAACAUGGUUAGAUGGUGGAACUUGAGACCCGCCAUAACCAUCAAAUGGUAUACCAGGAGAAAUCGUACCUUGAUAUGCAGUGUUUCUUGGCUCUGUAGGAAGCGGUACUAACUUUUGAGCAGCAUGAUAGUUCCCCAACAGAUUUUCUUGGGUUUGCAUUACCGGGUUAAUCAAAACUGGUGUGGAACUAAUCUGAGAAUUCAAGGGAGCCAUUGACAUGUGAGCAGCAGGAAGGAACUGGUGGGAUGAGACACUUAAAGGACUAUCUUGAAAAGGUUGUUGGGAGAACAAAGAAGUACUACUUGGCAAAAGCUGGAUAGGUGAAUGAACAAUAUCUGGUUGUCUUAAAGCUUCUUGGCGAGAUUCAACAUAGGCCGGUGGAUGAUGUUCAGAUGGUGUAGUAUACCCCUGUUGUUGCUGCUGCAUCUUACCAACUAUUGGUUUCUCUGAAACAGUCUCAAGCUGAAAAGAAUGAGGCGGAUCGGCGUGGACAGUCAUUGGCACAACAUAAGCAGAAGAGCGUGGAUCAGGAGGAACAAGUCUUGAUACAUUACUAUGAUAAGUCUGAGGUGAAAAAUUACUCGAGGUCCAAGUAGUUGCGACAAAAUCACUCUGACCAACGCCCAAGCUAUCAACAACAUCCACGCCACUAAAAUCAGAAUUCGGAUUAGAACUACCACUAGCUACACUUUCCUUACUCACAACAACACCAUUCACAGCCUCUACAUAUCUCUGCCCAAUAUCAACUCCAUCACCAUACUCCAAUAUUCCGAAAGAAUCAUCCACCUCAGACGAAGAAGCAUCAAACAAAAAAACUCUCAACUUCCCUGACCCAUCAGAAGAUCUCUCUACCAACUUCUCAAACUCCUCCAUCAUAUUAUCAAUAUCUUCACUAGAUGAAACAGAAACCAAAGCAUCAAGAUCCUCAUCAGGAAGCUGAUACUUAACAACAACAGGGUGACCAUAAACCUGAAUCAUCUUUUGCUCAAAUUCAUCAAAUCUCACAUUCUUUUUAACACUAACGAUCCUUGUUUGACCACCAACGUAACGUAACAUGCCAUCACUUGGUCUAGGGAUUAUCUUUCCAUUGUAGCUACAUAAAAACUUCACCUUUUCCAAUUCUUCAUCAUCCAUAUCACUUCUUUUAUUGCCUAAAUUUGGAUUGUUUCUAUUCGUAGCAUCAAUACUUACCUGCUCACUCCCAAACCCAGAAAUAAUUCCAUCAGAGACACGCUUAUUACUCAAAUCAGAGCUAUAAUCUAACCCAGAAGCUGAAAGAUUGGCCGGAUUAGAAACAAGAUUCGAACUUGGGCUACUGGGUUCAUGUGCCAUUGUUUGGAGCAGGGAGAGGGAUAGGGUUUAUGAUUACUCACCUGGUCAGUAUCGUGGUCGUCGUAUUCGAGGAAGAAACGAAGAAUCCUAUUUUGUAGAGAGAAGAAGAAAGGAGAGGCAAAGCGAGUCGUUGGAACUGAUACAACGACGACGUUUCAUUGGGAGUAUCAAAACCUCAAUUUGGAUUUUCUCUGUAGUCUUUUUAGAAUUUUUCUAAAAGGGAAACACGUGAGAGAUGGGAAGAGGCACGUGGUCGAGCCUCAUGCAAAAGAAUGGUUGCGUUUGUUUUCCAAACUGCGAGAGAAUCGUGUGUGUAAAUGCUCCCAGUUCCAACACUCGACAUGUUUUUUUUGUUUUAGGUUAUUACUGAUUAUUCUUGAACUUUUAGCAAAAUAAUGAAACAAUUUUGACUUUUAUAACACACAAAAAAAGCAAUACAAUUUCAAAUAAUAAAUCGAUUAAGAGAUAAAAAUUGUGAUAAUUUGGAUAUUUUAAUUAGUUUGUGCAAUAUUCUUUUCUCGUUGAUCUCUAUAAAUUAGAGAGGCAAAUGCGACUGCUAGGAGUAGAACCUUACCAUUGGACUACAAACGCUUUUGUGUUUAAGUUGACUAUUAAAUUUAGAUAUCUGAUUGUUUAGGAUAGUUUAAAACGCUACCGUUUUGGAAUCUUUAUACGCUACCGUGUUAUUCUUCUUUGACCAAAAUUCUGGAGAAUUUGUCUUCCCUUCGUAUUUCUGGCAACUUUUUUAAUACUAAAAUUCUCUCUAAAGCCGUCAAAGACCAAAAAAAAAAAAAAAAUACGAACUCGAAAUCUCUCUCGUCUUGUUGUUGCUUACCAUUGAAGCUAUCAAUUUCUCCGUUUGAUUUCUCUCUUCUCAAAACCUAUUUCGACGGAUUAUUCCGAUUCCUGUUUCCCCGACCUUCACGCUUCGUACUUUUGUUUUUUGAAAAAUUCGUGUUUCAGGUACGUUCUCGAUUUCUAUUUCGUUUUUUUCUGAUUCAUCAAUGAAACAAAAUCGUUUCUUAAUAUACUUGUUGUUCUUUGAUUCGAUUGAUUUUUGUUAGGAAGAGCGCAUGUGUAGAGUUGGUGGUGUAAUUCAGAAAACUUUCCGGAGAUUUUUUGGUGAUGUGUUGUUCGUAGGUAAAUUUUGAAAUUUUGGAUUUAAUGGUUGAGGAAGAUAGAUGGUGUUUCUUCAAUGGAUCUGUGAAGACGAGAUUGUUGGAGAUUGAUACUUAUCUUAUUCGUCUUUAUGGCUUUGCUUGAUUAAGAAAUUGUGUGAUUGUUUUGGGGAGGGGUUUAAACAUGGAUGGAGAGGUUACUUCUUGGAUUAGGAGAGCAAAUUUCUCUCAUACUGUUUGUUAUCGUAUGAUUACGCCGAGUUUAGAAUCUAUGCCUUUUACUGUAAACCAAGAGAAGAGUUCUGGAUUGAAAAGAAUGACUUUGAGUUCACCAUCUGAUUUGAAAUCACUUGUAGGAAUUUGUCAGAGUACGCAGCAGCUGACUGGUUUGAGUUGUGGUAGUGUUGUUGGUACUGAAGUGCAGAGGAAUCCAGUUACUAAUAAGAAGAGAUCUGUUUCUCCGUUGCCUCAUAUGGCUCUUUCUGAUGCUUUUAUCGAAGCAAAGUCUGAUAUUAAGAGGUUUUCUACUCCACAUCCUAGAAGAGUGGAACCAGAGAAGGGAAUGAAGGCCAAGUCGUCGUCCCGCAAAGAUUCUUCUGAGAAAAAAUCAGUUAAUCUACGGUCCCUGUCUCACUCGGGUCCUAUUAGGGAUCUUAGUACGCAGAAAGUUAAAGAGAGGGGAAAGAGCAAGAUAGAUAAGAAGUCUUCAAAGUCUGUUGACUAUAGAGGUUCUAAAGUAAGUUCUGCAGGAGUGCUUGAAGAAUGCCUCAUUGAUGUGUCUAAGUUGUCUUAUGGGGAUAGGUUUGCUCACGGGAAAUAUAGCCAGAUUUAUCAUGGUGAAUAUGAAGGCAAAGCUGUUGCUCUGAAGAUUAUCACAGCGCCUGAGGAUAGUGACGACAUAUUCUUGGGAGCUCGUUUAGAAAAAGAGUUUAUCGUGGAAGCCACUCUUUUAUCUCGACUAAGCCAUCCAAAUGUCGUUAAGGUGAGUUUAUAUCAUGUUAUAUUAUGUUGGUUAGGUUGUAUCAAAUAUGAAUGAUGCCUUUGAAAAUUAACAUUACAUCUUUCAACUCUGUUUGAAAAUUAUGAUUAUGGUUUGUUUGACUUUUUUCCUCUGAUUGAUGUGUCCUGAAACAGUUUGUUGGAGUGAAUACUGGAAACUGUAUCAUCACAGAGUAUGUACCUCGAGGGUCUUUAAGAUCAUAUCUGCACAAGCUCGAGCAGAAAUCCCUUCCUUUGGAACAGCUAAUCGAUUUUGGUCUGGAUAUUGCUAAAGGAAUGGAAUAUAUUCACUCAAGAGAGAUAGUUCAUCAGGAUCUGAAGCCAGAAAACGUGUUGAUCGACAAUGACUUUCACUUGAAGAUUGCUGACUUUGGCAUAGCGUGCGAGGAGGAGUACUGUGAUGUUUUGGGGGAUAACAUAGGAACUUAUAGGUGGAUGGCACCUGAAGUUUUAAAACGGAUACCACAUGGACGGAAGUGCGAUGUUUAUAGUUUUGGACUUCUUUUAUGGGAAAUGGUAGCUGGAGCACUUCCAUAUGAGGAGAUGAAAUUUGCUGAACAAAUUGCCUACGCAGUUAUAUACAAGGUAAAUCAUUCUGCAUCUCCUCCUUAUUUCAUGAUUGUGAUCUAGUUAUAUACAAGGUAAAUCAUUCUGCAUCUCCUCCUUAUUUCAUGAUUGUGAUCUUGCAUAGAUCUGACUGAGUUAGAUCAUUAUUGUUCAGUUGUUAUUAAACAUUUCAUUGUUUCGAUAUUGGCCAGAAAAUUAGGCCAGUUAUACCGACGGAUUGUCCAGCGGCCAUGAAAGAGCUGAUCGAGCGAUGUUGGUCAUCGCAAACAGACAAGAGACCGGAAUUCUGGCAGAUUGUCAAAGUGUUGGAACAUUUCAAGAAGUCUCUAACAAGCGAAGGAAAACUUAAUCUUUUACCUAGCCAGAUCUGUCCAGAACUAAAGAAAUGUCCUAAAUUCUGGAUUCAUAUAUUCGGAUCAUUCCACCACCACAGCAGCGGUGGCGGCAGCAGCAGCAACAACUCAGCCUUACCUAAGCCUAAAUUCGCUUGAGACGUCUAGAGUCACUCAUUUUUGUGCAUAGAGAAAAAGAGCCAGUGGUUUAUGUUUUAGUUAUAAUCAACUGUCUCUAUUUGCUUUGAUUUAUUUGCUCUCUCCAUUAAAGAGACCUCUUCUUUCUGUUUUGGCUUGGUUUUUGUGUAAGUCAUCUCUUCUUUCUUUUCUUGUAAUUGAUUCAUUUUGUAGCCCAACAAAGAAAAAAAACAGUGAGAGUUUGUUUGAAUAGUCUAAAGAUGAAGCAAAGAGAUAGUACAAUAAUAAUGCCCACAAACUGUUCGACGAAAUUAAAAACCAAAACACAUUCAUAAACGAAGAAGAUGAUUAUCACUUAGACACCAGUAGAACCAAAACCACCAUCACCACGAACAGUCUCAUCCAAAUCAUCAACCUCAACAACAUCAGGAGUCACAAUCUUCUCGAUAAUCAACUGCGCGAUUCGAUCACCGAACUUAACCUCAAAAUCAGCAUCAGAAUGAUUAAACAAAAUCACACCAACAGGUCCUCUAUAAUCAGCAUCAAUCACACCAGCACCAACAUCAAUCGAAUGUUUCCAAGCCAAACCAGAUCUCGGCGCAAUUCUCGCGUAAGUUCCUUCGGGAACAGCGAUACUUAGAUCCGUUGGGAUAAGCGCUUUACCUCUCGCUGGAACUUUUGAAUCCACCGCACUUGAGAGAUCGUAUCCAGCGGAGAGUGGUGAGCCGCGUGUUGGUAUAACAGCUUUCUCGGAGAGUUUCUUCACUUUGAAGAAUGGUGAUGGUGAUGAAUCGCCAUGGAUUCCGUUUCGGUCGAGCUUUUGGAGUUUAGGUGAUGGUUCGUUUACGCAAGCCAUUGUUGAAAUUGGGAAUCGAAGUUUUGUUAAGAGUCUGUUUGUGGAGUUGCAGAGAAACCCUAAUUUCAAUUGAGGUCGAAUUGUUGUUGUUGUGAUGACGAAGAAGCGUCGUAGUUCCGCCAUUAAAUGGAGUGUGUGUGAGUGAGUGGCGCCAAUAUUUCCCUCCACCCUAAAAAAAACUUCUAAAAUUCUAAGUUGGGCUUUUUAACUAUUUCAUGUAGUUCUCGGCCCAUUAGACCCAAAAUUUUAUUAUAGAAGAAUAAAUAUGGACAUUUAAAUUCUUCACUGAUACAAUUUGGCAUUUUUUGAUUCUUUGGGAUUUGUAUUGUCUUGUUUUCUCUGCUAAUUUAUGAUUCUAAAUUCUAAAAAAUAUUCAUCCAUUCUAAAACUCGCAAAUUCUGAGCAUAUUUAAAUGGGCUUAGCCAAUUCAUUUAAUCGGCCCAUUAGCCCAAUUCAAGUUCUUCCUCAAUAGCAGAAGAAAAUGGAAUCUUUAUUGAUCUUAGGGUUUAUAUGAAUUUAUGAUUCUUCCUCUUAAACCCUAAUUUCGUAUUCUUACUCCUUCCUCGCCAAUCUUCAUCUUCCUCAUGUUUUCUCUAAUUCUCCAUGGAAGAAAGUCUGUGGAAUUACAGAAAUGGCGUAAUUUAAGAGUUACAGUGAGCAUUGUGCAAAAUGCAUUUCCUUUUACCACCAAAUCGUUCUCUUCUACAAUAGCUAAAGAUUCGAGUCCAAAGGGAAGUACUUUCACAGUCUCUUAUCUCGUUGAAUCAUUGGGUUUGACUAAAAAACUUGCAGAAACAAUCUCAAAGAAAGUCACCUUCGAAGACAAGGUAAAUCCAGAUUCUGUUCUGAAUCUUCUUAGAAGUAAUGGGUUUAAAGAUUCUCAGAUAUCUAGGAUCAUAAGGGCUUACCCACGAUUGCUUGUAACAGAUGCUGAGAAAUCUCUUCGUCCAAAGCUUCAGUUUUUAAAGUCUAGAGGAGCUUCAAGCUCUGAGGUCAUAGAGAUUGUUUCGAAUGUUCCAACAAUCUUGGAUAAGAAAGGUGAAGAAUCUGUUAGUUUAUACUAUGAUUUCGUUAAGGACAUUAUGCAAGAUGGUAAAAGUUUGUGUAUUUCUUGUCCAGAGGGAAAGAAAGGUAACAGAAUUCGAAAUAUAUCGGUUUUGAGAGAAUUGGGAGUACCUCAGAAGUUGUUGUUUUCAUUGCUUAUAUCUAGAUAUCAACCUGUUUGUGGUAAAGAGAAGUUUGAAGAAAGUUUAAAGAAAGUUGUUGAUAUGGGUUUUGAUCCGGCUAAAUCCAAGUUUGUGGAAGCUUUGCAUGUAGUUUACGAAAUGAGCGAGAAAACGAUAGAAGAGAAAGUGAAUGUGUAUAAGAGGUUAGGCUUUAGUGAAGCCGAGAUAUGGGCGAUUUUCAAGAAGUGGCCUUACUUUUUAAAAUUCUCUGAGAAGAAGAUAAUUCUGAUGUUUGAAACACUGAAGAAGUGUGGUUUGGUAGAGGAAGAGAUUAUUUCGGUGUUGAAGAGUCGUCCACAAUGCAUACGAUCUUCUGAGCAGAAGAUAUUAGACUCUAUUGAAAUGUUCUUAGGCUUAGGAUUCAGUAGAGAUGAUUUCAAGAUGAUGGUUAAGCGAUAUCCUUGUUGCACUGCAUAUUCUGGCGAGACGCUGAGGAAGAAGUUUGAGGUUUUGGUGAAGAUGAUGAAUUGGCCGCUAGAGGCUGUGGUCAUGAUCCCUACGGUACUUGGAUACAGCUUGGAGAAGAGGAUAGUGCCAAGGUCUAACGUGAUCAAAGCUCUCAUGUCGAAAGGAUUGAUCGGAAGUGAAAACCCUCCGAUUUCAUCUGUCUUGGUAUGUACUGAUCAGGAGUUCUUGAAAAGGUAUGUGAUGAAGCAUGACAAGCUAGUGCCUAAGUUGAUGGCUAUCUUCAACAGAGGUCGUGUUUCAUAGUUAAUCUUUUAACGCGUGAAUAGAACUGAGGAAGAGGAGUUUUUAUUUACUAGUGUCUGUUAAUGUCUAAACUGAAAUCCAUUUCUGUAAUAGUCGUAACGAAAAAUUUAACUACUAUAUUUGUGGACAUGUUUAGUGAUUUGAAUUUCAAGUUAAGUGAGAAGCGUCUCUGGUCAAAUGUAUGAAUUGUGAUCAAAUCUUACACUCCGGUCACAUACAGACUAGCCGCAAAGACGAUGUCACGUUUUAUGGCAUUUGAAGCUGCAUCCAUUUUCUUGUGUAACGCCGAGUUCCCCAUAAUGGCAGCUGCGUUCUUGAAUUCACGGCAUGUCUCAUCCAAUCUCACAAUGGUUCGAACUAUCAGACCUUCCGGGACAUCUGUCAGUUCACAUAUCUCUGCAAAUGGAGUCCCCUGCAAAAAUCAAGCAUAUAUGAUCAAAAAGAUGUCUGAAUCGUGAAGUGUUAAGAAAGAUUGCUCUCUGGUUACAACAAACCUUUGCCCACUCAUAGACGACUUCGACCAGACCAAAUUUGAGAUUCUCCUGAGCAUAUUCUUCAGGGUCUAUUUGUAAAUUGUACUGAGCUUGAAGUUCACCAAGUCUGAUUGCUGUAUCAUAGAGUCUAUGCAAAAGAGGAUCAAUUAUUAGAUUGAUCAGGUCAGAUCAAUUACUGUUAGUAAUUAUGAGAAGGGACAGAGAGUGAUCGAAACAAACCUUUGUUUAGCCUUAGCCAGCUUAGGAGUUAGUGUAGGCGCUGAAGUGUUUUUCUGUUGGAAGACAAAGGCAGACAUUAUAGCCACUGCUUCUUCUGGUUCUAAUUCUUCGAAUUGAUUCUCGAACAGACACACUGUGCAAAUCAAUUCUUCCCCAGAAUUCAUCUCGCAAGCGACACGACCUUUGAUUUGGACGACGAGGUCAUCAUCUAUACACCCAAUGUUCUUCAGAACAUCGAUCUGCAAAAAAGAGAUUAGAGCUCUACAUGUUACUCUAAAUUAUCAUUCAUAAAGAGUAAACAAAGAUGCAUGUGGACUUUCUCAUUUGAACGUACCCGGCCCUGAAAGGCAGGCAUUUGUAAUAGGGCUUCAUCAGACAUUUGAAAUUCAAGAUCUUUGAGAUCCGUCUUAUGCUUCUUAAUCUCCCUAGCUAACUUCAUGUGCUCUUCCAAUUUGACACAACCGUGGCACUUAUUCAUGGACAUCUUUUGCAAUAGGUUGGUCCAUUUAUAGUAUGUCUCCACAAGCUCAGCAUCUUUCAGCUUCAAAUCUGAAAUAGAACCAUGAAAUGAAUAUCAGAGGGAAAUGAACUUAAAGCCGGAAAAACUAAUACAGAGCUAUAAUUUAGUUAAUUAACCUUUUACUGGGUCUAGAGCAGGAGGAAAUUUGUUUCCGUCUGAUUUCAGAUCCAGAAGCUGUUGAACCGUCUGAGAAAAAGCUGCCUUGUUCCCAUCCUCGAGUAGGCGCACCUGAUCAAUCUUUAUCUUGCUAUCGCAUAUGCACAAAAAUUCUUUGUUAUCAAACCCUUUAACCUCGUAACCUACACCAGCAGCAACCCCAUGGUACGGGAGCUCUAUCUUUAUUACAACGGGACCUUUACGAGAGCUCGGCUUUGUAUAAAAUUCUUCUUCAAAACCACGUUUUGAUUUAGGCGCAAUAAAAUAACCUUGAGAAGGAUCUGAACUUUUCUUGCCAAUGCUGACCAUAUUUUUCUCCGGUGGCGGUAUUUCAGAUUUUAUCACCAAAACAACAUAUUGUCUGUUAGUGUUGGAAGGUCCCUUCAGAACGAUUCCGAGUAAAUUGUCUAUGCCCUGUAAAAAUUACACGCAUGAGCAACCAAUUUAUGAACCAGAUAAAAGAGUGGUAGAGACAGGGUCUCACCAUUCCAGAUUUCAUGACCACUACUCUUCCUUGUACAAGAAAACUCUGGGCAUAAGGAGACUGCAUGACCGCUUCCGACAUCUUGUUGUUAUAUUCAUUUGCUUCCAUGUACAUGUCAUAGUAAUCUUCAAUUGCCGGUUCACCUUUAAUACAUCUGGAUGAAUAAAUCAAUAGAUCAAUUCUACAGAGAAGUUGAAUACAGAGGUGACACAAACGAGACAAUAGAAUAGGAGUUCUUUAUAAUUCUACUGAGACUACAAAAAGCUUGGCGAUCCAUCAGAGGAUAAAAAUUCAGUAGAUUUUCAGUCUUUCAAGUAUCCGUAAGAUGAGGCUUUGUCCUUACUCAAUAUGUUUAGUUGGUAGAGAACGUUUUAUCAUGAGAAGCUGUUGUUUCUCGGGUAGUUUCUUCUGGGCAUGAAAUUCAGCAAAACUUCUUUUCAGCAUGUCCUCCACCUAACAAUAACAACCAUUUGAAAACUGGCGAGUCAGAAAAAGCCAAGAGAAAGGCUUGGUAGCAAAACGCAUAACAGAUCAACGGUCCGGACAUUGAGAUACCUUUAAUUCUUCAACACGUAAAAGAUGGAGGAUCAUUAUGUAGGUUAGUCGAAACUGAGAUUCUAGUCUUGUUGCGCUUCCAACAAUUACACGCCUCAGAUCACUCUCAUCUGGAACUUCAUCGCGACACAUGACAACAACUGUGCCCGUUUUGUCAAGUCCUCUUCUGCCAGCACGUCCUGCCAUUUGAGUGUACUCUCCAGGAAGCAAUUGUCUAAAUUCCUUGCCAUCAAACUUCCUCAAAGCAUCAAAAACGACCUGUAGCGAAUAUCGUCGAGAAGUUAUUUAUAUGAAUAAUAUGCUUUUCAGAAUACCCACACUUGUUCCCCCACAUGAUAUGAAGAUACUUAUGUGUAAAGAAUAACCCACUUAACAUUGUAGCACCAGAUUAACAUUAAUAAUAAAAAUCAAAAUAGCCUCACCGUUCUAGCUGGAGCAUUAACCCCCAUGGCAAAUGUCUCCGUUGAAAAUAGCACCUGCAGGAAGAUUAACAAAAAUAGAUCACCUGAAGCAUUUCAGAUUACGAAAACAUGGCAAUUAGAUUUCCUAAAAGCAGCAACCAUAAGCAUAGAUAACUAUUAACUCCAGCAUUGUAUUAAUGGGGUAGGCUCAUAUAAUAACACAAGUCCCUGAGUUUCUAAGCCUACCUUAAUAACACCACGGCAAAAAAGCAUUUCAACAACUUCCUUUACAAUUGGAAGCAGCCCAGCAUGAUGAACACCAAUUCCUCUAUGAAGUAAGCUUUGGAGUCUGAGAACCUAUAAAAUGUGUUACCCCAACAGUUAAUGAGUAGGAAAUCAAGGUACUUCUCUAUAUUUAAUAUGUGAGAAGACAGGAAAGUCUUAAGAUAACCAACCUGAGGUAAAUUCCGAUCAGACCCUUUCAAUCUUGAAAACGCUUUAUCGCAAAAGACACGGAUUUCACUUUUCUCAGAGCUACUGGUGAGGUCGGUCCCAGUCAAGGCGUCGGCACACCUAUCACAAUAAUUCUUCGAGAAACAGAAGACAACCACCUAACGGGAAAGGAAAUAUUAAAAGUUAGACAUAACGGACCAGAACGGACAAGACUAAAAUUGAAAAUAUAAGAAACAGAACAGAAGCUACAUCUAACAUACAGGUAAUAGGGACAUUUUUGAAAGCUUGUUGAUAAGCAGUAACCAAUUUGAAGCUGCUGAUCGUCUAAAUGCCCCAUUGUUCUGACUGUUACCACUGUAAGAGGAUUUUCCCACAUCUUUUACACUUGAGUGUUUAUUCUGCUUGCCACGAGAAUGAGCUUCAUGUUUCUGAGAUUUGCUCCCAUCUUGAUGAGCUGAAGAUCCCAUUUGUUGUUUAGGUGCAACACUAACUGCAUUUGAAUUCUUCUUCUUUUGUGAAUCUUUAGCAUCCUUUAUCCCUUUUGAAAGAAAAACUUCGUUCUCACAAACUUUGUAGAGUUCUCCAGAGUAAAAAAGACAAUGCUCUAGGGGAACUGGUCUUUUUGUCGUGCUGAUAACAAAACCCAUAAAAUUAUGAAAUUAGUAACUUCCAUAUCAAUCACUGAAUUAUAUUAACAAUUAUUUAAUCAAAAUACAUUAAAUCUCACCCAGUAACACGUAUCUCCUUUUGUUUUGUUCGGCCAAUCCAAUCAGCAAAUUCAAAUGUGUUUGGCACCUUAAGAAAUUAUAAAUGUUAUAAGUUCAGAGGCACAUGGGUAUAAAAUAGAAUGGAGAAUAAUGACUGAACCAUGAAGCUAUGCCUAUAUAUAUCUUCAUAGAUGCUAGAAACUGAACGGUUAGUUCAUUUGGAUCGUGACUAACAAAGACCCAAAGCAAAAAAAUCACCUAUUCUUUUCAAACUCAUCUUAUGAGAAAAUUCAUAGCCAAAGAUUAGUUCCAUGGCAAGCAAAACAACACCUCAAAAGAACUAAGAUUUUCUACAUGCAUGCACAUAAUAGCAUUAAGAAGUACCGUUGCAGAAAGGAGGACAAAAUUUAUAUGCCUUGGCAACAUGAUGAUGACUUCUUCCCAAACAACCCCUCUCUCUACGUCAUUGACAUAGUGAACUUCAUCAAAUAUAACCUGCCAGUCAUAGGAACGGUAACAAGGAAACGUGAUUGAAGUUUCACACAGAACUACAAAGGCUGCUUAGAAAUGGAGCGAUUUGAGAACAAUAUCAAACUUUGAAGAAGUAAAACAUCAGAAAGCUCUUUUACCCAUUCUAUAUCACGUAUGAUAUCAGCACCACGAUAAAGCAUUGACCUUAAUAUUUCAGUUGUCAUGAUCAGACAAGAUGCCUCUGGCCUUAUGCUAACAUCACCUGUGAGAAGUCCUACAUCAAACUUCCCACAAAAAUCUCUGUAUUUUUGGUUGCUGAUGGUUUUAAUUGGAGCAGUAUAAACCGCUCGUGUACAGUGCUGAAAAAAUGGGAAAAAUUGAUCAGCAAACAGGACAAAGAAUCUAAAAAUACGAAUGUGAUGGAUGUUCAUCAGAAUUCUCUACCUUGGUGGCCAAAGCGAAUGCAUAUUCUGCAACAACUGUCUUCCCCGCCGAUGUAUGUGCUGCUACAAAAACAGACUCUCCCUUUUCUAAACAACAGAUAGCCUGUAGGCAUAAGACAUUUAUUUAUUUACUAAUAACUCACACAUAAAAGACAACCAGGCACGUUCCUCAAAUGUCCGCAAAUUUAAAAAGUUGAGGGAAAUACCUCCUUCUGAAAGUUGUCCAAUUCGAAAGGGAAUUCAAUCGCCAUGUCAGGAACAAGCUCAUAAAACCGGUCUGCAAUGUCUUGGCUAUCUCCUUUAGUGGCCCAUCCCUAAAAAGAACACACCCCAAAUCACGUUUAUGAGAGGGAAAUUCAAAUCUCAAAAUGUAGAAUCCACGUUCUUACCUCUUUCCGUAGUUGUUUAUCGCUGCUCCCAGUAACUGCCUCUUCAGACAUUAUUGCUGUUUUUGCUGAUGACAAAAUCUCAUCCAGCACAGUGACGUCAGUCUCUAGUCCUUUGCUGACUUCAUUGCUUAUGCUCGCUUUAGCAUCGGGUUCAGCUUCCGCCUUUGGAGACUCAGAUCCAGCUGUAUGAUCUUCAUAACAGUUUUGAUUAUCAGAAAAAAAAAAAAAAAAAAAAAAAAAAAAAAAAUCAAAUGUAUGUGACGAUUAUAGAAAUUGAACACACCAUCUCCCUCAAGUUCAGAGAAAGUAUCUUCUUCCCAUGCCUUCUUGAACAGAUCGUCAAACUGAAUAGACAACUUGCUCUGGACGUAUUCACAAUGCGAGGCCAGUAAAAAAGAGUUUAUUACCACAAUUAAAUGUAAAAUAAUUUAUGUACACCAGUGACAUUGAUCUACAGACCGAAUUUUCAUCUGAAGCAUUGCCAUGUGAACUAUGAUCCUCAUAAACGCUCCAUGUUUGGGGAUAUGGCUAGAGAGUAUAAAAGAAAAGAGGAAGAAACAAUCAACACUGAAUCGUAAAUAAAUUUAUGAAAUUACAGAAUUAGAUAGUGAUAUCAUAGGAUAGCAUACCAUCAGAUCUCCAAGAUCUAAACUCUGCUUAAAACUAGGAGGAACAGUUUGAGCAGGACCCCCAUUGAGCAAUUCCUGUACCCAUUGGCCACUAGAGACACCCUCUGGAAGGACUCUCUCUGAAGACUGUGAAUCCUCCAAGCCACCUGGACGGAAAGGGCGAUUGUUGACACUUCCUCUCAGAAAAUCCUUCGGAGGUCCUACCAUUCGUGGAAAAAAUCCAGAAUCUUGAUCCCCAUACAUUUGUUCUGACAAAUCCACCUAACAUAAUAUGACAAUCCAUUUCUCCAACUAGAGUCAGAAACAGAAAGCUAAUAGCAGGUCAUUUUUCUACCAAACAUGUUCCAGAUUCUAGGAGAAUAUCACUGUCUAAAUGAACUAGUUUAUUUAAGAUAAUUCACGAUUUGAAAAGAAAGAAAUGAGUUACCUCCACUGAUUUUGGCUCCCAUGCUCCGUUCUCAGUAUCCUCUUUUUGACGCCUGAAUGGCAACUCCCAAGUCGGAACCACAACGGACCUUGGCAAAGAGGGUUGAAGGGGCAUCUUCACCCUGGAAAACCAAUCAAAAUCCCACUGAUUCUCAGCUUUUUCAGCAGAAAACUGAUCCGGUUCCAGUCUCGGGAUGAGAUACUUCUCCUCAAUAUGUUUCUUUAUUGAUUCUUUUGUUUCCUUGGCAAAUGCAGGAGGCUGAGAAACACGCAUAUACGCAACCAUAAAUAAGCAUUUGCAAAACCAUAAAACUUUAUUAAUAACCAAAACACAUCAGUGCACAAAUCUGAACAUGUAAGAGCAUCCACCACUGGAUACAUUUAUAUGUAAAAGUAAUCUGGAGUGUCUCAUGUCACUGAUAACUACCAUUGAACAAGAUUUUCUACUGAUAUAAACCUCUCACCACAUGAAAUUUCAGAAAACGAGCAACCUUUGAUUCCUUUCUUCACCACAUAAUACCUGAUAACAACUCUAAAAGUAACUCCUCCCUAAUCAAGUAACCAGAUAGUCCAAUAUUAACCCCAUACGUUCCUAAUUCCAUUACGAUUGUUGAGGGAAAUACCAAGUAUACUAAAAUCACACUAAGACCUAGUAACUACAAUACAGAAACGCACAGCUAUUAACAUUUCAAACGCAACAAAUUGCAUCAUAAAUCAGUGCCUAAGCGAACACAGUUUUGAAGACGUAAUCAAGUUCUUGCUGCUAAAUCAGAAAACUCACGGAUACAAAAUCGGGAAGUGAGUUCAGUGCGUCGUCUCUCUCGGCCGUGUAAAAAGGCUCGACGCGGAGGUGACCACCAUGACCGGAGAAUCCGACCCGGAAGCCGAGCUCAUUGCCUGCUUCGACUUUGUUCAUAGUGCCUUUUCUCUAUACCGUUAUCUUCUUCGCAUUCCCUUUUCUCGCCGUCUCUUGUUCCGAACUAUUCUGACUUUAUCAGCGAUCGGUCUGUGAAAGGAAGGAACACAACAAUUAGAUUUCCCUCCGGUUGAGUUCAGCGGAUUCGCAACGCCUUGUCGUUUUAAAACUACAAAUCAGCAAUGUGUUCUGUCUUAUUAUACUUUAUGGGCUCAAAUUUAGGCCCACUUGCCAACAAAUAAUUAUUUUAAUUAAUAUUAUCUUUUCUAUAUAAAAAUAAUAAUUAAAUGAUAGGGAUUCAUAUCUCUUCGAAUAAAAUAUUUAAGUUAUAGAAUUUCACUUUGUUUGAGUCGGCUUUAUAAAAUUUGAUUCUACUUUCUUCAGUUUGGAUAAUUAAGCAUCAAUCAUUUUUUAGAUAAAUUAUUAUACUUGGCUUUUAGUUUAAACUUUUAAAAAUUUUGGUAUGGCUUUUAGAGUCACCUCUACAUAAACUUCAUAAUCCCUUAAUUAAGAAAUAUUUUGUAGCUUAGUAGUGUUGUACUAGCGUCAUCUAGGUCUGGGGUUUCCUGUACCCGUUCGGGUUUGGAUCAGGUAUUUCGAAUUUUUAGGUUUUCGGAUUUAGAAAUAUACAAUUCGUUCGGGUAUUGUAAGAUUUCGGAUUUGGAUUCGGAAUACCCGAAUUUCCAAAAAUCAAAUUUUUUUAUAACCAAAUCUAUCCAAACUACUCGAAAAUACACAAAAUAUCUAAAUAUUUUGAAAAUGUUUUACUCAAAUUUACUCAAAAGUAGAUUAAAUACGUAAAAAUAAUUUAAAUAUCCAAAAAAUUGCAUAUUUUGACAAUUAUAUUAUUACAAAUGUAAAUAUUAAUAAUAUAUUAUUAUUAUAUAGUUAAAUUAUGGAUAUGUUUGGAUACCCGGUCGAACCUGUUCGGGUAUUUUGAGAUUUCGGAUUCGGAUUGGGUGCUCGGAUUCGGAUAUUAUGCCCAGCCCUAAUCGUUAGUGUCAUUAAGACUUCCAUAAUGCAUAAUGCAUUUAGUUCACAAAGAGAGAAAAAGAAAGUUCUGUAAUCCCAAGUAAAAGCAAACUAGAUUUUAACCCGCGGUAUACCGCGGGAUGAUUUAUUUUUUAAAAGUAAUAUAUAUUAAAACUUGCAAAUUUUAUUUUUAUAAAAUAUUUCUAUUUUUACAGUUUAUAAUUAUUAUUAAGUAUUUAUAUAUAUUAAUUGUUAUUAAAAAUAAUAAAUUAAAGAUUUAACCCGUAUUGAAACGGUGGAUUAAUUAUAUUUUACUUUUUAUUAAUGUUGAUUCAAAAACCCGUCCUUCCAAAUCCGUCUUGCCAAAAAGCCAUUUAUUUUAUUAAUAUUAAUUUUAUUUAUGAUAUGACUUUGAAUUAUAAUCUAAACAUUUUAGCUAAUAACAUAGGAGUGCACCAUAUUUAUUUAAUAGGGGAAUGUACCAUAUGACCCGAAUGCACUUUUACCCAAAUCCACCAAAAAAGUCUUGCAAAACUACUUUAGACCCGAAUGUACCAUAUUUUUUUUGUGCGAAUUUUUAUGUGAUUAAGAUUUAAUUGAUUUUGUAUAUAAAAUAUUAAAUUGUUUUACGAACUUAUUUGUUUAUAAUUUGGUAACAGAUAGAUAUUUGAAUAUUCAGUAUAUUUUGCUUCAGUUUAGGAAAUCUUUGAUGACCCGUCUUUAAAUCCAAUAAGCCCUAUAAUUAAAAGAUGAAUAUUGUCGUUAAAUGAUUUUGGUAAUCUUAAUGAUGUCAUUAAAAGAUUUUGUUUUUGAUUAAAUUUUUCUAAUGGCAUUAUCAUGUAAUUAAUUACAAAAAUUAAGGUUACAUUUAAAAUGUACUUCCCAAAUAAUAUAGUAGGACGAUAUGCACUUUUAUACAAAUCCACCAAAAAAGUCUUGCAAAUAUAUUAUAGAGAUAAGAAACGAUAGUCGGUUUUGAUAGGUAUAAGAUUAGCAAAUAUAUUAGUUCGCUUAAAUUAGUUAAAGAAUACAAAUUGAAAAGGUAUAUUACACUUUAUUCGAAUAUAGUAUCAAAAGUUAUAUAGAGAUUUGAUAAUUUUUUAAUUGUUGAAUACUUUUUUUUUGUGCUAAUUUUAUGUGAUUAAGAUUUAGUUGAUUUCGUAUAUAAAAUAUUAAAUUGUUUUACGAACUUAUUUGUUUAUAAUUAGGUAACAGAUAGAUAUUUGAAUAUUCAGUAUAUUUUGCUUCAGUUUAGGAAAUCUUUGAUGACUUGUCUUUAGAUCCAAUAAGCCCUGUAAUCUAAAUAUUAACCUGCAGUAUACCGCAGGUAGGCUUAUAUUUUAGUUAAACUAAAAACUUUUAUUGUAAAGAUGAUUUAAAAAUAUAUGAUAUUAUUUUAUUUGAUUUUAAAUGUAUAGUAAACUGUGAGUUGUAUAUGUUUUGUUGAUAUUAUCUAUAUUAUUUAGUGUUUAAGAUUAUACACUUGUAGUUUGAUUAUUAAUUUAAGAGUUUCACCUGUAGUAUACCAUCUUGUAUUAAUAUCGAUCUAAACCCGUCAAUUCUAGGAUUUUCCAGCUUGUAUUAAAAAUUAAAUCACAUCUACUAUGUUAUUAAUUAUUGUAGUAUAUAAGAUUAUAAAUUUUCAAUAUAAUAUGUAUGAAAUUGAAUAUAAAUAUUUCAAAUUAUGACAUGUUACUCAGUAGAAAGUUUUCUUAAAUCUAUUUUUCACCCGUUAUAAUAUUUUUUCAUGUAUUGAACAGUUUAUAUUCGUUUUUAAAAAUUCAAAUUAUGGCAUAUGCGAAAAAACUCUAAUUAUUUUUCUAUAAUGAUGAUAUUAUUUUUCGGCAAAAAUGGAAUCAUAUAAAGAUGAGAAGUGAACUAUAAUAAUUAAUAAAAAAUUAAUAUGAUAAUUUAGAUAUCAAAUCUAAUUUGUUGAUUUUAAUUGGUUACUUUUUUGGGAAUUAAUAAUGUAUUUCGUUUAUCUAAUUAAAUUAAAUUAAUAAAAAUUUAGAUAUCAAAUCUUAUAUGUUGAUUUUGAUUGGUUAUUAUUUUUGGAAAUUAAUAAUGUAUUUCGUUUUUAAUUAAAUUUAAUUAAUUAAAUUAGUAUUUGACUUUUUAAUCCUCAAAGAGAUAAAUUAAUUUACUCUUUAAAUUUUUAUUUCUAAUGGCAUACCUAUGCAAUUACUUACAAAAAUUAAGGUUACAUUUAAAAUGUACUUCCCAAAUAAUAUAGUAGGAUAUUCAAAUGUGUAACACAAAUUCACCUAAUCAAACUGUGUAAUAAGAAAAUGAAAAUCACAAUACACAAAAAGAAAGUUUGAAUGAGCUGAGUGAAUUUGAUCGGGACAAAGAGAAAUCACUAACCCAAAUUCAUUCAUUCAUAUAGCAUUUUACAUAACGUUUUCUUUGAACAAAAUCAAAAUAUUGCAUACAUCAAAAACAUAUACAUACGAAAAGGUUUAUCAUUUAUUUUAUUUUGGUUAUAUUCUUAUGAGAUCUAUAUGAUAUAUAUCGACUUUGGAGCUGCGUGGAUGUGGAGAUGCCUUUAUAAAGGCAGGUAGCGUCUAUGCGAACGGUAUAAGGACUUAGGGAACAGGACAAGCCUCAAUGUUCCAAAUCUCUUUGGCAUACUGAGCUAUUGUACGGUCACUGCUGAACUUUCCUGACCCGGCUGUGCUCAAUAUCGACAUUUUCAGCCACCCCUUCCGGUCCCUGUCACAACAUAUUAUGACUCACAUUAAAGAACUUGAGUAUUCAUUUCAGUUCAGUUUUUGUAUAAACUAAAAAAGAAACUUAUGAAUGGAUAAGUUGGGUUUAAGAGAUGGACUUACUUAUAAGCUUCGUCAACUUUGGCCUGAGCGUCCAUGUAGCUGGGGAAGUCAUACCCAACCAGGAAGUAAUCACCACGUCCAAAACCUGUGUUACCCUCAAGAGAAUCAAGGAGUGGACCAUAAUCGUAGCUCCCAAACACUCCACUUUUGACAAACUGCUUUGCCUCUUCGAACCGAGGAUCGGGUUUGAACUAAUCAGUUUUUACAGGCACAAAAACGUUUCAUGUCAGAUAAAGUCCAGAAGCAUAGGUGAUUCAUUAUAAGGCCUUUCAUGGUAUGGUGGCUCGCAUUUGUUCCACAGAGACAAAAAUUUAUGUAAGGGAGAAAAGGAGAGAGUGACAUACCAGUCCGUCUUCUCGUUCUUUACGCAGUCGAGGGACCUGAUCGGCCGUUGCACCAAAAAGAAAGAAAUUUUCUUCGCCAACCUCCUCUCUUAUCUCAACAUUAGCCCCAUCAAGGGUUCCUAUAAUAAGACAACCGUUGAGAGCGAAUUUCAUAUUGCUGGUACCACUUGCCUCCAUGCCUGCUGUGCUGAUGUGUUGAGAUAGCUCACUUCCGGGUAUUAGCAUCUCCGCUACAGUGACAUUGUAGUUUGGAACAAAUACCACCUGGAGAAGCAAAUGCGUUAGAACCAGUUAAAACUUCUUCAAGCUAUGUUCGGAAAAUAAAAGGAGAACAGUGAUUUAUUGCAUUUGCAUCAGGCUUGGCUCAAUAAGAAAGCUUCGCUCUCGGAAAGGAGGCUUGAGUAGCAUAAGACUUCACGAAAAGAAACCUAGUUCAUCUUGAGAGAUGCAUACAUGUGUAAUAUUGACAGUUUCUGAUCAAAAACAAUCUCAGGUGAGCAAGCAUCACGCUUAGCCACCUCUAAGUUACCUUUAGGUAUUCGUUGACCUCUGGAUCGCUGUUAACAACAUCACCAACAUCAUUCACCAGCUUCACUAUCCGUUUUGCAUUUGUAUAGGUGGCAAAUGCUUUACCCCCAAUCAUGACAGUACGAGGAACUGUUUUCUUCCUCUCCUCAGGCUUCAUCUCCUGUAACAUUCAGAUGCACAAGAGAAUGUCACACAAGAAAUACAUGCAUUGCCGCCUAAUAUUAGAAUUGUGGUGGUUUAAGGCCCUUUUCCUUGGUUAAGGUAUAAAAACUCAAGAUAAAAUUUAGCCGGAGGAAAGGAAUACGCUGAAGUAUCUAAACUUUUUUACAGGUCUACCAUAACAUUUAACGCAAGGGGAAACAUAGAAAAACUACUAGGAAUCCACAUGGAUGGGUUAGCCAAGUAUACCUUUAGUUUCUUGAAUCUGUAUACUACUCCAAGAAUGUUCAUCAGCUGCCUCUUGUAUUCGUGGAUACGCUUAACUUGUAUGUCAAAUAAGCUUGUUGGAUCGAUACUCACACCAGUCACACGCUCUAUAUAUUGAGCCAAACGUUUCUUAUUGGCUGUCUUUGCAGAAGCCCAUUCAGAUUGGAGUUCUUCAUUGUCCGCAAACUAGAAGAAGAAAAGAUAACAUCAGAAUAACAAGAUAAAAACCCAUUGCAGAUCUGGUUAUCAGAUAAAUAAAAAAUCAGACCUGGCGAAGACCGGUAAGUAGGUCAAGAUCGGUAAUCCAUUUGUCAGUCUUUAACCACUUUGUGAUUAUAUCACUGAGCUCAGGGCUGCAGAAACGUAACCACCUUCGAGGUGUGAUGCCAUUAGUCUUGUUUUGAAACUUGUUUGGCCAUAUAGAGACAUAGUCUGCGAAUAACUCAGCCUUCAAGAUAUCACUGUGUAACUGAGCAACGCCAUUCACCUGCAAAAAGGCCCUCAUAAUGAGUACUUGAAACCAAGACUACAUGGGAAGAAACAAUAUAACAUAACUUUGACAGUGGGACCACUUACCGUAUGCGAGGAUACAACACAUAAGUUAGCCAUUCUCACCACAGGCUUUUGUGGAUUGUUAUCUAAGAUGCUCAAACUUGAAAUCUUAUCCUCCAGAUCAACUCUUGUAUCGCGAAUGGUUUGAACAAACUGCAGAAUGGUAUAUAUUUUAUUAUUGCACCAUAUGAUAAAAACAAAUCCUUAGAAUGAUCAGCAAAAUACCCUCUUGUCAAUCUCUUCUAUUAUUUCCAUAUGACGAGGAAGAAGCUUCCACAUCAAAGAUUGUGACCAUUUCUCCAACGCUUCAGGAAGGACAGUGUGAUUGGUGUAAGCAACGGUCCUGUAAACCAUAUAAAUAAGUCCCAACAGAAAAGUGUGAAAACUUUGUUGGGAAAUAUUGAAAGGUUCAUGCAUAAAUAUUUUACUUUGAUGUCACAUCCCAAGCCUCAUCCCAUCCAAGUCCAUUGUCAUCCAUUAGCAAUCGCAUGAGCUCAGGUAUUGCAAGAGUUGGGUGUGUGUCAUUCAUUUGAACAGCAACUUUACUUGGAAACUCUGACCAUUUCCGGCUGCCUUCAGUGGUGCUCCUCUCGUGAAAUCUUGAUAUAAUAUCCUGCAAUGGAUUUCCAUAUUGUGAAGAGGAAAUAUAAAAAAUUAUGACUCAAUCGAAGGUAAAUUUACUUGUAGUAGUUUUUUUGGAUUCUCUUUCUAAUUAACAUGCCAAUUUGAAAUUUUUCUUAUUUUUAUUUUCCAGCUAUUUAAAUUUACAGUCCAUGACAUCCAUCAGAGAGUCCUAAGUUAAUCAAUACAUUAUGGCUUAAGAAAAAUGAAGAACAUGAAAGGAACCUAAAACCAAUUUGACAAACCUGAAGCGAAGCACUGCAGAGAAAGAACUGCUGUUUUAACCGUAAUAACUUCCCAUUCUCGGUAGCAUCUCCUGGAUAUAAAACAGUGCAAAUCUGCACAUAUAUAUAGCUACAUUGUUAGAGAGAAACAAAAAGCCACAAAGCAAAAGAAGAUGGAGCAGUAGGUAAAGAUGACGUGUCAUAACCUGUUGAGCUCGAGAAUGAAGCUGUGCAGCCAAUUCAUAUUCUCCUUCGUUGAACUGAAAAAGAUCAAGAUCCUCAGCUCUAGCUUUUGCUUCCCAGAGACGGAGACUGAUUGUGUUCUUUGUGCCAUAUCCCGGGAUUGGCACGUCAUAAGCAAGAGCUUGUACAACAUCACCAUCUACCCAUUUCCUUCUGCAAAAUAGUCAAUUGAUCCACUACAAUGCUUAAUAGCAAGGUCGAUGAAAAGUCAGAGAACAACGUAGCAAAACUCACUAGUGUAUAUAUGCACAGAAAUUUCAAGUACAGACGUAUGUUAAGUCAUGUAAGUUCCAACAAUAAUACUUACGAUCCAUCCGGAUUUACUUGCACCUUGCCGAAAAAUCUGACAGGGAAUACCACGUCGUGCCUCACAAUUUCCCAUGGGCUGAAUUUCUGCAAAUUCCCAUUAAUAGAGGAUGAGUUACAGUUCUCAGAAAACCAUAAGUUGAAAUCACCACACUGACAAUCAUCACCUCAAGCCAGUCCUCUGGAAUCUCUUCUUGACCUUUCUUUGUGAUUAUUUGCUUAAACAACCCAUGUCUGUACCUCAAACCAUAACCCCAAGCAGGCAGAUUUAGGGUGGCCAUCGAAUCCAAGAAACACGAGGCAAGUCUCCCUAACCCACCAUUUCCUAGAGCUGCAUCUUUCUCCUACAAGCAAACAUGGAGAGAUCAAAAAAUAAUUUAUUUAGGUCCCAAGUCUUCAAAGAGAAAAAUGGUAACUUAAAAUGUACCUGCUCAGCUAUCUCCUCAAGCUCAUAACCCAGCGUACGCAGUGCAUCAGCAUAUGGACCUUGAAGGUUCAAAUUCCCAAUGGCAUUGGUCAAAGCACGACCUUGGAGAUACUCCAUUGACAAGUAAUAAGUUUGUUUUGGAUCAACUUUGUUAAAAUGAACAUAAGUCUCAUUCCACAGCUGCAACACAACCCAAAUUUUAUAUCACUCUCACAUAAACACAAAGAACACAUUCACACACACAUAUAGAUUAGCUCCUACAACUGCAAAUUGAGAUGGAUAUAACCACGGAAAACCAUAAAUUUCUAUACCAGCAUAUCUUCAUCAAACGGAACUUAUGAAACAGUCCAGAAAUUACUUGGUUACCUGAAUGAGACGAUCGCGAAGACUCUCUGCGGUAGCGUAGAGAGCUUGCUCAGGCCCGAACUUCAAUGGAGAGAAAUGUGGACUGUACUUGGCGUGGUAGACGAUAUUCCCAGCGAUCUCCGUAGCAUCAUCGGCCUCCGGAUUCGCCUUAGCCGAGAUUUUCUCCGGUAAACUAGUCGCAGCUUUUCCAUUGGCGUUUGCCAUCGCUUAUCUCCCUAAAACAACCACAGUAUUCAAAAAUUGCUUAAACACGAAUAAAAUCAAAAUCAUAGUGAAACUCGAAUACAAUUUCACCAAGGUAGUGCCGAAGAUUAUGGAGCAAUUACCAAAUUUCGAAGCCGGAAUCUGGAAAGAGAUGAGCCAACACUUCAGAGCUUAAUAAGGGAGAAGAUACUACGGAGAAUCAGUAUAUACUAAAAAAGAAGCGUAAGAUAUUUUUCAGAAGGUGAAUGACAGAAACGUAAUUUUCAUUGUUUUAUAUUUGAUUUUCUGUUUUUGUUUUGGCGAUUUGAUUUAGUGAUUGAAAAUGUGAGGAUCACAAGAAAAGAGAGAGUGAAGUGAAGUUUUUGUGUGUCAGAGGAAGCUCCGAAGAACAUUUUUGUAUUUUUUGUUGAAAAUAUCUAACAAGCAGCCCCCACAUCUAUUUGUUUUUUAGUUAGCAACACCCUUAAUAUUAUUUUCAAUGUAAAAAGAACACCAUUGUUUUCGUAUUUUGGGACCAUUGAUCAUUUUCUAAGAAUUUAAUUAGAAAUAAAUAUUGGUAACCGCAAUGUGGACAUUCAUCAAAAGAAAAUAAGUAAUUUGUAAGGAAUUUAAUUGAACUUUUGGCAACGAAAGGAAUUAAAAAGGUAACCAAUUUGAGUAAAAAGCCAAACGUAGUGGCUCGCUUACGUAUCAAUACGGUAAUGAGAGGACUAGAGUGGGAAAUUAUUACCAGGACUGAGGUGCACGAACACGUGUGUAUGCAAAUCACGAGGUAGAGAAGUGCGAGAACCUCAAGGUCCCAAAUCACGGAUCUGCACCUGUAACUUCACUUUUCUCUGCUUCUGUGCCCGCCCUUAAUCUGUUUUUCAGUCUAAAACUAUUACAAUAUUUGAUGAAAGUCUUCGUGUCUCUAUACCAUUGAACCGUAUAACAAACAAAUACUACGUCAACAUUGUUUUCAUUAUCUUCUCUAAGGCGAUUCACGACAUUGAACAUAGAUAACUUGCUACAUUUUUUCAUUUAUUUAUCAAGGAGAGAACCAUCGAGACGAAGAAAUUCUAGUUUCUGUACAAAGCCGAGGUCUUGUUCCUGGUAUUUACUUGGAGAGCAAAAGCUGAUUCUAUAUAGAGUUGCAACUUCUUUACUAGCUGAUCCACCUAUUAAGUGACUUUGUGGUCACCUUCAAGCUGCUAAGAAGACCAGCAUAUAUAUACCAUUAGAAUUAUGCAAAACAUUGAUUCAAAAUGAAUGAAACUGAACAGGUAAAGCAAACAACAUAACCCAAGAAAAGAGAAGGGACGGACCUGUUGUGUCAAAAUCUACUCUUUCUCCAGUUGCGUAUAUGUUGUAAAAGAGAGCAGAAAGGAGAUACAAUAUUGCUGUAAGAAGGAUGAAUCCCUGGAAGGAGCCCAAUAGUUCUACAAAGAAACCAGCUCCAACUGUGCCAACUAUCGCAGCUAAUGUCCCAGCAGUAAGACACAUUCCUAAAACAGCGCAGAAACGGUUAGAGAUUUUUGGAAAAAUGUUUCCAGAUUCCCAACAAAAAUUUGAUUGAGUCUAAGGCUUAUUCCUUCUCAGAUGGUACAAAUUAGCUAUAUGUGUUUGAUAAAACAAUAGGAAACUCUGGAAACCAAUGUCUAUUAAAGGAGAAUUAGAAAGCAUACCAUGUAGAACACCGGAAUAUUCGGGAGCAAUUUCCUGAAACAAGUGGGAAUAAAUGUUAAAGAUACUCAUCAUUUGUAUUGGGUUAGGUAUGAAUCACACGCUUGGGUACCUGAAGAUUAAUAAGAAACCCCAAAUGGCUGAAUGAUUUAAGCCCAACGGCUAAACUAAGCCAGGCUGAUGCCACUAAAGGUUGUUUUGCCGUCGUUAGACCAAUGAGAGCAAUUCCAGGACCAAUGAAACCAAUGGACUGCCAAACAAGAAAUGAAAUCCCCCAGUCAGCAAAAGAAAAAGAAUGCUGAAUGCACCAGAUUUCAUUGCAUCAGGCUUCAACAUCUUUCGGAUAUGUUUACAGAACUCUUCAGUCUGAGAGAGCUCUUGAUUGAAUGAAAUCUUGUGACACAUCACGCACCUGCAUGAUUUUUCGCGUUAAGGUGAUGCUUGUACCACGCCGUAUCAACAAAUCCGACCAAAAACCAGCAAUGUAUCCUGUGAAAGCCAUCAUACUCCAUGGAACGGCACUAAACCAAGCAGCUUGUUUGAGGUUCACAUGAUAUACCUGCGGUACAAUAUUCUUAUAAAUUUCUUAAGAGAACUAAAACGAACAAGAUUAUAUUAAGAACAUGUUGGUACUAGGGCCUUACUGAAUUGAAGUAUAUGGGCAUCCAUGAAAGAAUCACAAAGAAACCCUGGAAAUAAGUCAUUAAGUCAGUUCAAAGAAUUCCAACAAAUAGGAUAACACCUGAUCAUAACUGUAAGUCACAGUAGUUGGUACUAACAAUUUCCCUUCCACAAGAAAUCCUCAUAGUAACAAGAAUGAAAGAGUUGUAUUGAGAGGAAUCUGUAUACAUACCCAGCUAUGCAUGGAAUUUGCAACUAUAACAGCCCAAGUCGGCAUCUUGGAGAGAAGGCGUCCAAAAGGAGGUAUUCCACUUGUGCUAAUUCGUUUGUUCUCCAUAGUAGAUAUUUGCUUCUUUUGCUUUAUAUACUCAAGUUCAGACUUUGUAAUCUGAGGAUGUCGAUCUGGUGCACUUGACGUUGCAGAGAGCCACACGAGCAACCAAAGGAACCCCGAUAGUCCAAAAAUUACAAAUGGGCCAUAUAUACCUCCUUGAGACAUAAGAAUAGGAGACAACAUGAGUCCUACAACAUUCCCAAGCUGAAACCCUGCCAUUGCAAUACCAACCGCCCUAGAACGUUCUGUUGGGGGAAACCAUCUACAUCAAAAGUACUAUCACUAAGAACCCAAUAAACUUCAGUAACCAGAUCAUGUGUGUGUCUCUUUAUCACAUUUGAAGCAGUAAUAAAAUACAAAGCAUCACUACCUCGCAACCAUGUUGUUCAUACAAGGAAGAGCCACUCCUUCAGCAACCCCAACCAUCGCUCUUGCAGCAAGAAGAGCCCACAAAGAACUAUCAGCCGCCCAAGGGGUAAGAAAAGUUGCCAACGACCACAAAGCCACACCCCACGCCAUGACUACUUUACCACCAUAACGGUCCACCAAAGUUCCACCAGCAAUUGGAGAAAUUAAGUAUCCCCAUAGAAACGAUGACUACCAAAGAAACAUUCAAGAAACUAUGAGACGAACGAGAACAAUGAUUAAUGAUAUACAGUAGAACGACUUAAUACUAAAAUUCCCCAAACGAUCAAUGAGAAAGAAUAACCUGAACGAUACCGGAAAAUGAUUUGCUCCAUCCACGAGAAAGCGAAAGAGGAACAAUCGCAACGGACAUCACAACACGAUCCGCAUUGCAUAGCGCCAAAGCAAGCGCGAGCAUCGCAACCACUUUGACUCUCUCCGACGUUAUAAAUUCUGAAAAAUUGGGUUGCGCCGUCAACUCCGCCGCCGUUUCUUCCGGUGUACGGCGAGCAUCGCUGCAAGAAACUCUUAAUCGAUGACGAGGAAUACCACAUAGAUCGACGGAAGUGUUUCCGGUGAAUUUCAAUGAGUUUACGACUCUCCCGGUACAGAGGACCAACUUUCUCCGGCGAUCUCGCUCCGGCAAAAACGGAAUCCUCCUGAGUGUAGGUAAGUUCGAAGUCAAAAUUGCUCGAUCUCCAUGGAUUUUUAGAGCGUUUCGAUUAUGGAAGUCAAUUGAAGAUUGUAUAGAGAGAGAGUAACACAUUUUCACCAGUCGAAGCUGCUUACGAUUACUCCGGUUAGCGAAGAAGAAGAAGAAGAUGCUCGCUCGGUGGUGUCUAUGGAUUGCAACAGCCAAAUCGCAUGAUCCGACAUCCGUCUCGUCUUGGGCCACUAAUAACAGGCCCAUAAGUGGUAAAAGUGGCUCGUCCUCCAUAUGAUUUGGGCUUCCUAAUUAGCACGAUUUGAAGUGUAUAAUGCAGUUUAUUUAUUUUUAGCUAAACAAAUUAAUCAAAACCUUGUUUGGUUUCUCUUUUGUGAGAGAAAAUAGAAAGUUAGGAGCUAAAUUGGAAAUAAAGCCAAUAUUAUAUGUAAAACAACUUUUUUUUUUCAAAAUUUAGAUGUCAUAAAUAAUUAAAUAAAAAUGUUUAGACUUUAAUACCGUGUUGUUGUGCCAAAUAUACAAGUAUUAGUGCAUAUUUAUCCAAAAAAUCUUUGUUGUUUGAACAGAAAUUCUUAGGAGCAUUCCUUAUCUUUUCUAAUAUCUUACUCUCAUUAUGCCUUGGAAAAAAUAAAAUAAAAUAAUUGUCAGUCACUGUAUCUGGGGUAAACACGUGGAAGAUUCCAAUCUUUAUCAGAAAAUGAAAAUAAUCACAGUAAAUCUGUAUAUAUCGACAAAAAGAGAAAAGUAUAAAAUGGUAAACAGUAAAUAUAAUAAACACUGUCUUGGCUUCGGGACUUACUAAUGUUUUUUGAAGAACACAGUUUCUUCUCUUGGGAACUUGUCGUAGAUCCGAAUCUCUAUGUUACUCGUGUUGGUCACUUUAACUGUAGUCGUAUUCUCCAUAGAUUCCUUUUAAAAUUCGCAAUUAUUCAAAUUAUGCAUAUCAUACACGAAUUAUUAAAACAAAAUCAUCCAAUUAUUAAACCAAGAUUUCAUUUGCUGAUAAACAUAUUCAAUCAAUGAAAUAGAAAAAGUUGACUUUGACCUAUCUAUUUAGAAUGGAAUCCAAAGAGUUGACACAUAGAAACGGCCAAAUAUUGACGGUGGGCUAUGUUAAGUGUUAACUUAUUUGUUGAUUGACAGUUAUACAAAAUUAACACAUUUUCUAUUGUUACGAUAAUUAAGUAAGAAAAGGUAAUGGAUGUGAUUGGUAACUAUAAGUUGUACGAGUUUUUUAGCUAUUAGUUUUAUCGGAAUAAUGCAAAGCUGUUAAAAUAAGCUGUAUAAUAAAUCUAAAUCUGUAUAAAAAAACUGAGAGUAAAACUUUUUGUAACGCUUUUGAUAAAGUUAUUGUGAUUGGUAACUGUUAAAGUUGUACCGCUAUUAUAAUAGCUACCAUUCAAUCCAAUACAAAAACAAAAAACAACACAUUUUCUUUAACGAAAAAUGGCUAGAUAUACGGUACUUAUACUUUUCAUAUAAAAAAACUUAAGUAAAUUCUACGAAUAUUUGCUUCAAUAUGAUGUUAUUAUAUUAAAAUUAUGAUACGCAUGUAAAUUGUAAUUAAACCAUAAUUUUUGAGUAUUCAUAUAAGAUUAUUUUUGUAAAUAAUAUUUUUUACGAACUUUUUUACUAACUAUAGAGUGUUAUGGAUAAUUUACAUUAGAUCUUUGACAAAAAUACCCAAAAGAAUGAUGUGACCUAGAAAAAUAAAGGAAAAAUGACAACAAUAGCACUCAAAUAUUUUGUGGACAAAAAUUUUUUUUUCGAAAAAAUAUUGUCGGAAAUAUUUGGCGAUGAAUUUGUGUAUUUUAUAAUUUUUUAAUUUUAAUAAUUUAAAAUAAAAUAAUUGUUUAGGUAUUAUUUAUGUCCAAAAUAAUUUUGAAUAUUACUUUUGUGAAGAAAACUUAAAAUUGUACUAUUUAUAAAAAUUAAUACAAGAGAAAAAUACUGAACAAAUAGAAAAUUGAAGAAAGGGUUUAAGUGAAAUUUCCAUAAUUGACCCUACAAACAACACUUACACUAUCAUCAAGACACUCUCACACACACUCUCUCUUAAGUCACCGCCGCACGCAAGCAAAUCAAACGAACUAUUCGUCAGCCAUGGCUAACGUCAAACAAACCAAUCGCCGUCGUUCCUCCUCCUCAUGCCACCGUCACCCUUCCGCUAAACCAACCAGCGGUUUCUGCGCUUCCUGUCUUCGUGAACGUCUCGUAACAAUAGAAGCUCAGUCUUCUUCUCUCGCCGCCGUUCAGACUCCCGAGCUCCGUCGUAUUCGAUCAUACUCCGUUCGUAACGCAUCAGUCUCCGUUUCGGAUCAGCCGCGACGGAGAUCAUGUGACGUUAGGUCAAGCGCAAGCUCUCUCCUGGACUUGUUUGUCGAUGAUGACGAAGAACGGGUGGAUAGUUCGAUUCGAAAGCCUCUGGUUCCAGAUUUAAAAGAGGAGGAAGAAGAGGAAGAAGAAGAAGAAGAUUACUACGAUGGAGAAGAUAUAAAAGGUUUUGAUGAAGGCAAGCCGAGGAAGAUCGUCGAAGAGAACAAGACGAUGAAGGAGUUCAUAGAUCUAGAUUGGAGAAACCAGAUUAAGAAGAACAAUGGCAAAGAUUUGAAGGAAAUAGCAUCGGUUUUGAGCAGGAGAUUGAAGAAUUUUACAUUGAAUAAGAGAAAUGACGAAAAAUCAGAUUCCAGAUUCGCCGGAAUUGUGAAUGGUCGUCACUCUUCUGAUGUGGAUCCUAGAUUGUCUUUUGAUGGAGGUAGGAUCUCGUUUGAGAAACCUAGGUCUUCAUGGGAUGGUUGCUUGAUUGAAAAAUCAUAUCACAAGCUUACGACAUUGUCUACUGUGACGGAAGAUGCUAAAGCUAAAUGUGGUGUUGAAGAAGAAGAAGUAGAGGAGAAGGAGAAGAGUCCAGGUGGGACGGUUCAAACGAAGAACUAUUACUCGGAUUCUCGUCGGAGAAGGAGUUUUGAUCGGUCGGUUUCGAUUAAGAGACAAGGAUUGCUUGAGGUUGAUGAAUUGAGAGGUAUAUCGAAUGCAAAGGUAUCACCUGAAACUGUAGGUUUGUUUCAUGGUGCUAAGUUAUUGGUUACAGAGAAGGAACUUAGGGAUUCGAAUUGGUAUUCGAUUAAAAAUGUCAAACCAGAGAGUAAAGAAUUAGUUUCUAAAGGAAAGAUUUGUAUUGCUGCUGGUGGUGAGGGGAAGAAGCAGGAUAGUGUUGAGUUAAAGAAACCUAGAAAGAAAUGGCCAAAGGGAUGGAACAUUUGGGGAUUGAUACAGAGGAAAAACGAGGCGAAGAACGAGAUAAAGACUGAGCAAAUUUUGAAACUUGAAGGAAAUGCGGUUGAGGGUUCUUUGGCUGAAUCUCUGUUAAAGCUUAGGAGAGUAGGUAAAGGAGAAACCAAUGUUGGUGUUAGUGAGAAGCUUUUGAAAAGCUAUAGUGUAAGUGCGAGAAAGUCUUGCGAUGGCGUGCGUAGUGGUGCUAACAUUGUCAGUGGCUUUGAAGGUGGAAGAAGCUCUUGUGAUGGUCUGUUUCAUGGAUCUAUUAACAGUGUUGAGGCUGGAAGAAACUCUUGUGAUGGAUUGGUUAAUGGCAUUGAAGGCAAACAAAAUCAUCAUCUUCUCCAGAGAAACGCAAAUGUUGGUACGUGCAGCCAAGAAAACCUUGAGAAGAGUAUGUUUAGAUUCUAUCUGAGUCCGGUAAAGAGCCAUAAGACUAGCAAAUCCGGGAAGAGUAGGCUGAAGAAUUAGUUUGAUCUGACAUUUGUGUUAACUCAUGAAUAUUAUGUUGUAAUUAGCAAAUUAGCAACUAAUGUAUUUGUUACUUCAGUCUAUAGAUAAGUCCGUAUAUCACAUCAACACCAAUGUUUGUUUUCCUUCUCAUAUAUUUUCCUCAUAAAAGCACAUCAACAAUACAUUGUUUUUGCAUGGUUUGCUUAUACAAAUACGACAUUGCGUGUAAUAUAUGUCAUAACAUAAUUCCCCGAUGUUCCUGUACAUCAAUCAGACCAGUGAAGUUACACUGGUUUUGAAUUGAGACCGAAACCAAACGGGAACAAUGGGUCAUAAGAAUUGGCAUGAGCAUCUAGUGGCAAAUGCUCAACGUGUUUGAACCAGCUCACUGGCAACUUCCCCUUGAAGUCAUAAUCUCCAAAAACAACGUCAGCCACCCCUUGCCCUUCUGUUCCAGGCAGCCAAGCAGCAACCAGAGCCUCUGUCUUUUCAAGAACCGUCGGCUCCAAAACCACAGGUCGUCCUGAGAUCAAUAUCACCAGAGUCGGGAUUAUCUCUGCAACUGCGGUGACAAUGUCAGUACCAUUAAAAGGUAUUCUGAGUUCCGAGUUAUCCCCCAUCGUCUCUGCAUAGGGCGGUUCCCCGACUGCAACAAUGGCGUAAGAGAAUCCUUCACUUGAGGCUAAGGUUUCCUUUGAUGGAGUUUUCUCAUAGAUUACUUCGGUUUCGUCUCCAACUGCUUCUUUUAUGGCGUCCAAAAGUGUAGUGCCUACAUUUGCAGACAAAGAUGGAUUCAUACUGAUUAACUUUUCAACAGCAUCUAUUAGCCUCUGCUAGCAAUCGUUUUAAUUACCAAUUGUGAUCCUGCCGCUUAGACCGAACCAUGUCUUUGUCCAUCCUCCGCACUGAUAUCCAAGAUCAUCUGCGUGAGUUCCAGUGACUAGAAUCCUCUUAGCGUUGCGAUCUAGUGGCAGAAACGGUUUAUCAGCAUUUUUGCCACUCUUUAGCAGAACUAACGACUUUCUAACUGCUUCCUGCGCCAAUUCUCUAUGUUCCUGCACACAUGAAAAAAUCUUAGAAUAGGGGUAGCACUCUGGUCUAAUGGCCUUCAGUACAAGAGAGCUCACCUUGCAACCAACAGUAGGCAACAAAGAUCGAUCUGUGAGAGGAUGUCCAAAAAGACCAGCGACAAAUUUCACUCUGAGUAUUCUUUCAACAGCAUCAUUGAUCCGAGCCAUUGGUAUUUCCCCUGACUCUACCAGAUCUGUCAUGUCCUGUAUGAACUGUUCGUACUUAAAUGGUACCAUAACCUGCAACAUGGAUUAUAUAAUCUUCGCUUCUUCAAUCAUCCGAGAUGAUGAAAAUCAUUUACUAAGCUGAAAUAUUUUGUGUACGGGGUUCACACUCUACCAUGUCAAUGCCAGCAUUAACCGCAGUUUUAAUGCAGUAGCGGUAGUUUGAUCCCUGAGGCUCACUAAGCCGGUCCAAACCUUCCCAGUCUGAGACUAGAAAUCCCUAGUAACAUAUACAAGCAAACUAGCUUAAUGCAUACACCUCUAGCUUAUUUUUCUUUCUAUUCAAUUAAAUUUACACGAACCUUGAAACCAAGUUUUUCCUUUAGAAUUUCUGUCAAGAGAAAACGGUCGGCGUGCAGUCUAGUUCCAUUCCAACUGGAGUAAGACGCCAUAACCGUGGAAACUCCCUGAGCAAGACACUUCAGAUAAGGAGGAAUAUGUAUCUUCUCUAAUUCUUCAUAUGAAGCGAUGGUGUUCCCUUCAUUUAUGCCCUUGUCAGUACCACCAUCUCCAACAAAGUGUUUGACACACGCGACGACGUUGUUUCUAUAACCCCAAUAAACAAAUCCAUGAGAAAUGACAUCAAACCUAUUAAUGUCCCAAAUAAGUUUACAGUGUACUGAUUCAUAUGAUACCUUCCUGCAACAAAAGGAUAACCAUUUGGGUGUUCUUCUGGUGGCACACCUUGUAGGCCCGAGACAAGAGAAGUCAUCUCACAGACAAGUUCAGGAUCUUCUCCAUAACUCUCAUAGCAUCUUCCCCACCUCGGAUCUCUCAAAACCUGCACAAAGACAAAACAACAACUUUCACAUUCAAUAUUUACAAAUCAUUUCGUUCAAUUUCAGUUGUUAAAUUAUAAAAAGGAACGAACUUACGGCCACGCAAGGAGAAAAUGCCCAAUGAACCCCGCUCGCUCUUACUUCAAGUGCAGUUGCUGCUCCAAUUCUUCUGACCAAAUCUGCGUCUCUACAGAGUUACCACAAUAACUACUACUGUUUUCACAUUAAUAGCGGCCAAACACAGCAUGGCUGCAAUAGAAGCACCAAUCUUGAACACAAACAGAUUCUACUCAUCCAUAGCCACUGCAAUACUACUUCUACUUUGUUUUAAGAAGCAAGCUCAGAAAUUUAAACUAGACCUGAAUCAACUAAGUAGCUUCGGUAAGGUAAGUUUCCAUCAGAUAGACCAGUAACAGAACAAAGCUUUAAGAGCACACUUCUAGUUUGCUUAUGGUAAAUCGAGAAUAAACCUGGUGGCUCCGAGGCCAAUGUUGUGAGGGAAGACAGUGGCGCCGUAGACAUUAUUGUUGCCGUGGACAGCGUCAGUGCCAUAGAUAAUUGGAAUUCCCAAACGCGACGCUAACGCUGAUCGCUGAAAACCAUCAAUCAUAUCAGCCCAAUCCGAUGACUUAGCGUCCUCGAACGGUACACUACCUCCAGCGUUUAGUACACUUCCUGCAAACACCAAAUCCAUAAAGUUACUAAUUUUAGUAAAUUGCAAAUGCAUUUUUCAAAAUUGAAAGUUCAAAAAAAAAAAAAAAAAAUGUGUGUACCGAUGAAGAAAUCUGUAAAGGCGGAGGGAGAAGCGACUCUGCGUUCGAUUUGAGUCAUCUGACCGAUCUUCUCCGGCAAAGUCAUGCGAGAGAGAAGGUCCUUCACACGCGCCUCCACUGGCGCGUCUCCGUUCUUGUAAACGCAUGAUGACUCCUCGACGACCAUUUUCUUUACUCUUCUUCUUCGUUGUAGUUGUUGUACGACUUUCUCUUUAUCUAUAACAAGAUGAGACGUGACACAUUGAUUUUGACUCAAAAUGCUUAAUUAAUGAUUAUUGCUUUAUGUAAAAAAUUCAUCAAUUUGAUUAACUUAUUAAAUUAAACGUGUGGUUCAUAUGGUAAUCGCAUAUUUUUAAUACAAGUUAACCGGUGAAGUUAAACCAGUUAACCGAAAUUGGAAGUGAGACCGAAACCAAGAGGAAACAAUGGGUCAUACGAAUUUGCUUCAGCGUUUAACGGCAACUGGUCAACGCGUUUGAACCAGCUCACUGGUAACUUCCCUUUGAAGUCAUAAUCUCCGAAAAUCACAUCACUCAUCCCUUGCCCUUCAGUUCCAGGGAACCAAGCAGCGACCAAAGCUUCAGUCUUUUCAAGAACCGUUGGCUCUAAAACCAUUGGACGUCCUGAGAACAAAAUCACUAGAGUCGGGAUUUUCUCUGCAACCGCGGUUAUAAUGUUGUUACCAUUGAAAGGUAUAGUGAGUUCCGAGUUAUCUCCCUUCAUUUCUGCGUAUGGAGGUUCCCCCACUGCAACAAUGGCGUAUGAGAAGCCAUCACUUGAUGCUAAGGUUUCCUUUGUUGGAGUUUUCUCGAAGAUGACUUCAGUUUUGUCUCCAACUGCUGCUUUUAUUGAAUCCAAAAGCGUCGUGCCUGCAUUUCAAAACAAACAAGUAUAUAAGUGUCCACAUCAUUUUUUCUGAUAUCUUCUAAUUCGAUUCAACUACCAAUUGUGAUUCUGCCGCUUUGACCGGAUUUUAUCUUUGUCCAUCCUCCACACUGAUUUCCAAGAUCGUUUGCAUGCAUUCCAACCACUAGAAUCCUCUUGGCAUUGCGGUCUAGUGGUAGAAAUGGUGUAUCAGCAUUUUUACCAUUCUUCAGCAACACUAAUGACUUUCUAACCGCUUCACGUGCCACUUCUCUAUGUUCCUGCAGUUGUGGAAAACAUAGUCAAUCAUGCUCUCGUACAUCUUACAAUAGUGGCCUCAGCUAUAGAUACCUCACCUUGCAGCCAACAGUUCCCAACAAAGAUCGGUCCGCAAGAGGAUGUUCAAAGAGACCAGCAACAAACUUCACUCUUAGUAUUCUUUCAACAGCAUCAUUGACCCGAGCCAUUGGUAUUUCCCCUGACUCCACCAAAUCUGUCAUGUCCUGUAUGAACUGUUCGUACUUGAAAGGCACCAUCACCUGAAAUAUCAUUCAUUAACAAUCUUCGUCUUCUAUAAAUCAUUCGAAACAUAUGAAAAUCAUUCGUUACCAUGUCGAUUCCAGCAUUAAUCCCGAGUUUGACGCAGUUACGGUAGUUGGAACCUUCUGGCUCGCUUAUCGUCUCCAAACCAUCCCAGUCUGAAACUAGAAAUCCCUGGUAACAAAAUGACAAAGUACAUUAAACGAGCUCAAUGCAUACACCUCUAGCUUAUAAAGAUUCUUUUCCAUAUUCAAUAAACCUUGAAACCGAGUUUCUGUUUAAGAACUUCAGUCAAAAGGAAAUAGUCGGAGUGGAGUCUACUUCCAUUCCAACUGGAAAAUGAGGCCAUAACGGUCGACACUCCCUGAGCAAUACAAUUAAGAUAGGGAGCAACAUGUAUUUUCUCCAAGUCUUCAUAUGAUGUUAUAGUGUUCCCUUCGCUUAAGCCUUUCUCAGUACCACCAUCUCCAACAAAGUGUUUAGCACACGCGAUCACGUUGUUUCUAUCACCAAGUAAACAAAUCCAUGAAAAAUGACAACAAGCCUAUUCAAGUCUACUGCAUUUUAAUGUUUAUAUGUACAUCUAUACCUUCCUGCAAGAAAAGGGUAACCGUAAGGGUGUUCUUCAGGUGGCUCGCCUUGUAGGCCCGAGAUAAGCAAACUCAUCUCACAUACAAUUUUAGCAGCUUCACUAUAACUUUCAUAGCAUCGUCCCCACCUCGGAUCUCCCAAAACCUGUGAGUAACAACAAUUUCAUUUCAAUAUUUACAAAUUAGUAUCCCAAUAUACCAACAAUCUACAAGGGACUUACGGCCACACAAGGAGCAAACGUCCAGUGAACGCCACUAGCCCUUAUUUCAAGUGCUGUUGCAGCACCAAUUCUUUUGACCAAAUCUGCGUCUCUAUCGAGAUACCACACAAAACUACGAUUGUUAUCACAUCAACAACAACCAAACACAGUACAUGGACAGAUCUUAAACACAAUCAGAUUCUAAUCAUAGCUAGUACUACUACUGUGUGAUCAAAAGCUAAUUGAAGCAAAAUCAUCAGAAACUCCAAAUUCUUGUGGAACAUGAAUUAAAACAAUCCGACAUUGCUUGUAACUUAACAAAAUGAUUCAAACUUUUUAAUCAAAAUUCAAAAGCUUUAAAUCCAUAGACUUCCUAAAACCCCAUUAUAUGCAAAACUCUCUCAUUCUCUGACUCUCUUUUGCAGAAACUAAAGUUUGCUUAAAGUGGAAGAGAAUGUUUAAGAACCUGGUGGCGCCGAGUCCAAUGUUGUGGGGGAAGACGGUGGCGCCGUAGACGUUAUUGUUGCCGUGAACGGCGUCAGUGCCGUAGAUUAUUGGAAUUCCCAAACGCGACGCUAACGCUGAACGCUGAAAACCGUCGAUCAUAUCAGCCCAAUCCGACGACUUAGCAUCCUCCAACGGCCAACUUCCGGCGCCGCUCUGUACACUGCCUGUAAAACCAAAGUUGUGAUUUUUAUUUUCGAAAGGAAAGUAGAAAAGUUUGGUUCGUUGACCAAAACAAAAACAAAAACCGUUCAGUGGUGUUAUUGUAUCACUAUUACCGAUGAAAGAAUUAGUAAUGACUUGAGGAGAAGCGACGGAGCGUUCUAUCUGAGUCAUCUGACCAAUCUUCUCCGGCAAAGUCAUGCGAGAGAGAAGGUCCUUCACACGCGCCUCCACCGGCGCGUCUCGGUUCUUGUAAACCCAUGAAGACUCCUCAGUCUCUGCCAUACUCUUCUUUUGUCUUUUUCUCUAACCGAAUCUAGUCACUCCACUUCUCUUUAUCUAGCCAAGCUGGAGGACACGUCACGUCACACUUAAUUACGCCACUACACUCAAAAUUCUUAAUUAAUUGGUUAAUAAUUGAAGAACAAACUCACUAAACACAUGUGCUAUCUCUUGGGCUUUUGUUUAUUUCCUUCUUUUUUUAGGUCUUAUUAUAAACCUCGUAGGCCUACUAUAUAUAGUACAUUGUAUUCCAUAAUUUUAAAUGAAACAAAAUUUUAAGACUUUCUCUGUCCAAAACUCUGAAAAGUUUCUGUCGAAGUUUAGGAUUCUAGGGUUUAGCAGCGCUAUGGAAAAAUCGCAGAAGCAAGUCACCCGCCCAAGCAACUCCCGAAGAGAAUACUCGAAGGAGAUACCAAUUGAUCUGUUGAUUGAGAUUUUUUCAAGAUUGUCUACGGGAGACAUUGCUAGGUGUCGUUGCGUGUCUAAGAUCUGGUCUUCCGUACCGCGUCUGCGAGAUUUCACUGAACUAUUCCUGAAAAUAUCUUCGGCUCGGCCGCGUAUAUUAUUUACCUUCCUACAUAACGGUAAGCGUAUGUUCUACUCCAUAUCUCAGCAUCUACAUUCAGACCCGAGUUCAUCUCCUUUGGUUCCCUACUAUCAUAUGUCUUUUUCCAAAGGUAUGGUUCCUUCCUAUGACAAUGAGAUUCAUGCCCCUGUACGUGGGUUUCUUUGUAGCAAAGCUAGUGUCUAUAACCCUAGCACAGGAGAGUGUGCAUACCCUUACCUAGAGCUUCUAGUAAGAGGAUUGAGAGAACCUAUUUUGGGUAUGAUCCUAUCGACAAACUAUUCAAGGUGUAGAAAAGGGGCUUUGGGACAUUCUCCCCGUAGAUGCUGAGAAUCUUGCAAAGAAAGUGUGCGUGCCCAAGGUAUUGUUGGCGUCCGAGGAUUUUGCAUGUCGAGUUUCAACAUUAGGAACGGAAGAAGUUUGCUGGAGAAUGAUCCAAUGCUCGCUACCCCAUAGGCCUUUUCGUGAUGAGAUAUGCAUUGAUGGAGUUUUGUACUAUUUAGCUAAGUGCAUUGGAAAUUAAACUCGAGAACCUUAUAUGGUAGUUUGCUUUGAUGUUAGGUCUGAAAAGUUCAAGUUUUUAGUUGUGGAAAAUAUAAUUUGGUGUUCAAGUCUCAUAAGUUGCAAAGGUAAAUUAGGCAUACUAUGGCCAGUGCCCUCUGGAGAUCAGAGUCAUGAAGUCACAAGAAGUUUUGUGUUGCGGAUUCUGGAAGAUGCCAAUAAACUGAUAUGGUCGAGGACUGUCUACACAUUGUCUUUUAAUUGGAAGAAACUUGUGAAUAAAUCUCUAUACAUUGUUGGGAUGACUAGUGGAGGUGAAAUUGUGUUAUCUACACGCCAUCUAAACUAUCCUUUCUACAUUGUCUACUAUAAUCCGGUGAACAACACUGCGGCAAAAAAUGAAAUCCAGUUUGGGAAUAUCGCUAAUAAGAAGGCUGAAAACUCAAGGAUUUAUACGUUUAUAGACCAUGUAGAGAAUGUAGAGCAUAUGGAUUAAAACUCUACAAGAGUAAUAGUUUGGGCAUCCCUUUAAACUUUGUACUCUUAAAUACUGUUAUUAUAUGACUAUUUUUAUGUGUUACUUUAACAAAGUUCAUUCAUCUUUUUACGGAAACUGUGUCCAUAAAACCAUGUACAUCGCUUAUAUUUUUAGAGUAUCAAUAGCCCAUUUAUAAUUUUUUAAUAGACCAAAUACAGAAAAUUGGGCUGAGUCGUAUCAGCCCAUUGAUACUUUUGAUACUCAAUUUCAUCUUACGUGGUAGGCACUGAUUGGUCGCUCAUUUGUUUUUUUCGGAAAAAAGGAAAAAAAAAAUAAAUUCCUUUUGUUUCUCUCAAAAUUUUUCUCUCUGGGCGAUUUCGCCGAUCAAUUUUCUUCUAUUUCGAUUCCUUUUGAAUCUCUUCCCUUUUCUCGAAAAUCCUUCUUAGAUCAUCAUCCAUGGCACUGACGCCGUUCACGGCAACUGCCGUAGACGUUGUUGUUGCCGUGAACGGCGUGAGUGCCGUAGAUUAUUGGCUUAUCAAUUUAACUUACACCAUAGAUAAUUAAUAUGUAGAUUGGCUUAUAAGAUAACUGAUUAUAUAUUUAAAUAAUAAAUAACAUUUUAAAAAGAUUACUUUCCAUGAUAUAGCAUGAAUUAGAACCUAAUGAACAACACACAAAUUGGAAAAUCAAAAUACUCCAUCCUUUUGAUAAAAAAAAUAUGGUUUCAGAUAUCUUUCAUGUGAAUUAAAUUUCUUAUUUAAAUUUAAUAAAAUGUCUCUAUUUAGUAAACUAGCAAUUAAUAUUAUGAAUGAAAAAAUUAAAGAUAUAUUUGACCAUAUAUAGUUAAGUUUGAUAACAUAGUCAUAAUGGUGAAAAAAAAUAAGGGUUUUACCUGGGUGUUUCCAUAUAUUAUAGCCUGAUAUGAAUUAUUUACACUAGGAUUGAACUUGAAAAAUGAAAACAACGUGGAAGUUAAUGGAAUUGACGUGUGUCCAUCUUUCAGACCACCAGUUUUCCUUAACAAAUAGAUAAAAGAUCUUAAAACUGUCUUCUGUCUUAAUCUUCUUAAUCCCAAAAAAAAAAAAAAAAAAAAACACAAGUCGCUGUCAUGUCUGGGAUGUUAGGGUUAAGCGCCGUCAUGGGAAAACGGCCGAAGCAGCAAGUCACCGCCCGUCCAAGGAAGUGUCCAAUAGAAAAACCGGAGGAGAUACCAGAUGAUCUCUUGAUUGAUGUUUUCUCAAGAUUGUCCAUUGAAGACGUUGCAAGGUGUCGUUGCCUGUCGAGGUUUUGGUCUUCCAUACUACGUCGUCGAUAUUUCACGGAACUGUUCCACAAAAUGUCAUCGACCCGGCCUCGUAUACUAUUCACCUUCCUUUACUAUGGUAAGCGACUCUUUUACUCCAUGCCUCAAGAUCUAGACCCCAGCAACCACUACUCGCCUCUACCUUAUUUUUCGAUAUCAUACUCUCCUAUAUCUGCCCAUUACCAGAUGCAUUUCCCUAAAGUUCUGGGUGCUUCAGCAAAGGUGUGUCCCCCUAUACUUGGCUUGAUCUGUUGCAAAUCUAGUAAGACGAUGAUUUUUAACCCUAGCACAAGAGAGUCAAAGUUCAUUUCAACAACGAAGAGGGUUGGCGUGAAGAGUACUUCAUUUGGGUAUGAUCCUAUCGACAAGCUAUUCAAGGUAUUGUCCAUGUCCGAUGAUUUUGUGUGUCGAGUUUCAACAUUAGGAACGGAAGUAGUGACUUGGAGAACGGUCGAAUGUUCGGUACCCCAUCACCCUUUACAUAGUGAGAUAUGCAUGGAUGGGGUAUUGUAUUAUUUAGCUAGGCGUGUGGGCGAUGAAACUCCAAAACCUUAUAUGGUAGCAGCCUUUGAAGUUAGAUUGGAGAGAUUCAAGUUUCUACCAAUGGAUCUCAGAUGUAAACACAUUGGUUGUUCAGCAGUCAUAGAUUACAAAGGUAAGUUGGCCGUAGUAUGGCUAAAUGUGGAUCGUGACAAUCAACGACACAUAGAAAGUUUUGAGCUGCGUGUUCUAAAUGAUGUUGAUGAAGUGAAAUGGUCUCAAAUUAUUUACGAAUUGCCAAAUUAUUGGAAUAAUCUACCUGCGGAUAUCGACGUAUCCAUUGUUGGGAUGACUAGUGCAGGUGAAAUUGUGUUGGCGACAAGCCAUAUACGGCAUCCUUUCUACAUCUUCUACUACAGUACCGUGACUCUUGCUAUAGUACAACUUCGAAUCGAUUUCGGAAUUGAAGCUCCGGAGGCUAAUCACUGCUCAACGAUGUCGACAUUUGUAAACCAUGUGGAGAAUGUAGAGCUAGCUUGUGGAUUAGGUCUUUCUAGCAUAGCCAUGUAGCUUGCCUUCUAAGGUUGCAUCCAUCUUGUUCGGUUAUUGUUUGAAUGUUCUAUUUAUGAUUGUUUGUUGUAAGCUAUGUUUUAGCUAUUUGAACUUUUCUUGUUAUAAGCUACUUUAAAGCUAUUUGAACUUUUCUUGUUGUAAGCUACUCUAAAGCUAUUUGAACUUUUAUAUUCUUGAGCAACCAACUUUGUCUUCGUGAAUUUUACUGUUAGUUUUAUAGAUAGUUAGAUACAAUUAAAAAUAGAUUUUGAUCCAUAGCUUGUUGAAUCGGUCUUUAAACACUAUCCAACCUCUAGAUUUCUCUAAAAGAAGGAAUUUGGUAACAAAGAUACAGUCAAUCAAUGAUCAUUCUCAUCAUUCAUUUCUUCUCAGUUCUCACCAUCAAUCAAUUAUCCAAACAGGUACAAGGUUGUCGAGUCGUCAAAUCAACUGUCCAACCGAAUUUCAUUUAUAGUAACCAAUAGUAAAGAAUUGUACAUUACCAAAUUAGAGUUUCACAA
rnacentral:lncRNA from 1 species